rnacentral:lncRNA from 1 species
GGUGAGAGGAUAAACUAUAGACACAUCUGAACCUACAACAAACAAGGGCACCGAAGACAAAAAUAAAAAUAAAGGCCAAAAGGGUUGUGUCUACCAGACCCCUCUGUUUACACACAGCAACGAUAACCAGCUCAGCUAGCAGUGGAACGUUUAACAAGAUGCAUAUCGGCUAGACAUGUACACACGCUAGUGCAGAACUGUCGCGGGAAACAUAAAUAACACAAAAUAAACAUGGCAAAAUUGGUGAGAUGCAAUAGGGUGAGAGGAUAAACUAUAGACACAUCUGAACCUACAACAAACAAGGCACCGAAGACAAAAAUAAAAAUAUAGGCCAAAAGAGCUGUGUCUACCCAUACCCCUGUGUUUACACACAACAACGAUGACCAGCUCAGCUAGCAGUGGGACGUUUAACAAGAUGUAUAUCGGCUCGACAUGUACACACACUAGUGCAGAAAAUAAAAAUAGGGAAGCCUGGGAUUUGAACCCAGAUGAACCCCAGAUCCAUAGUUUAGAAGAUAAGCGCGCUACCAACUCGGCCACUCACAUGCUCGUGCUAAAACAUACUGGCGAUCCUAGAAAAAUAGCAGCACGCCAGAAUAGAUCUACAACAAACAAGGUUCAGAUACGGAGGUUAUUCACAGCGGGGGGAAACAGAGGGCGCUCGCGUGCAGGUCUCGCUACGGGAUGCAACGCUGGGGGCAAAUGGACCUGGGCGACGUCAUUGCGCGUCCGCGCGCUGGCUGCGGACUUGUGCGUCCGUGCGCUCGCUGCGAGAACGCUGAAGGAGGCGAGUCAACACGUACACGGCAGCGGUAAUAGUUGAAGCACGCGAGGCGAGGGCAUGCUGGGCAUGGGGACGACCCGAGGACGACAGAUCUAGAAGUGGGGACGCUAGAUCUGGUGGAGAGGAAUCCAUUCCCGAUGGCGGCGUGCUCCUGCUUACCCAAAUGACGGAGCACCGAUGGCGGCAACACCGGCAGUGUCAUGGCUUACUGCAAACACAGGAAAAGAGAGAACUGAGAGAGGGGGGGUCAAUAGGAGAGGAAACGAGAGGAGGGAAAUGGGCGUAGGGGCCUGCUACUCGUGGGCUUGGUCGUCGGCGGCAGCCGGAAGUGGCUGCGGGAUCAGGCACGGCCGCAAGCUCGGCUCGGAACUGCGGGAGCUCACGGACGAGAGUAAGGCUGGGGCCUGGGUUGCCUGCAGUCACUGGACUUGUCCGCAGAGCUGGGGCCUGGGCUCUGUGAUGGAUCGAGCGGAAUCAGAAGGAGCGACGCUCGUUGGAUGGAUGUUGGAUCGGCGAGACACGGGAAAUCCCGAGGUUGGAGGAGAUUGGACGGGAGUGGCGGCGCGGCGCUGAUGGGACAAGGAGAGAAUUUUUAAGGAUUAGGUUUAGGUUUUUUAAAAUGAACUAGAGAUGCUAUGUGUAUAUAUAGGGGGGGGGGGGGGGGGAAUUGGACGAGAGUGGCGGCGCGGCGCUGAUGGGACAAGGAGAGAAUUUUUAGGGAUUAGGUUUAGGUUUUUCAAAAUGGACUAGAGAUGUUAGGAAACUAUGGUGAAACUAAUUGCAUCCGUGUGAUGAUGAUUUGAUGGCCACGAACGGAGGUGGGGGUUUUCAUGGGCUAGGUGGUUGUGUAGUUGGGCUAUGUGGGAAUGAGAGGGAAAUGGUGCGGCUCGUGAUAGAGUUUUAAAACGUGAAAACGUCCGGCAAUAAACCAACGACGAUGCCCCUACGGUCGACCAUUCGGUUACUAAAUGGACUCUAAUUACGACGAAAUUUGACACGCGGUCUAGCUACACUAUAUUAAGACCGCACGCCAACUUUCAACCCGAUCCGAGAAUAUUUUAAACACACUUCUAAAUACAAAUAUAUUAAUGAUGCCACGGGCGCAUGCGUGUGUGAUUGGUCUUAAAACGGUAAACGGUAAAACGGAGAGAACCGACGACUACUAACAGAUGUAUGUUUUGAAAACUGAUGGCAACGGAAUGUCGAUGCAAUGCAGAUGAUGCGCAUGAUGCGAUGAUGAAUGCGACAAAUAAAAUUAUCACAUAGCGGCGACGGAAUAAAAGGGGAAUCUUGUGAGGCGUCGGUCUCGGACUGUUACAACUCUACUACACUAAUAAGAGAUCUCGCCCCAAGAUCUAAGAAUGAAAAGGGGGAAGAGGAAGAGAAAGAGCAAAUGGUAAAGCUUAGUUGCUUCUUGACAAACGAGUGAAACCAAUGCAUCUUGAAGGUUGCAAAGAUACGAAGAAUGACAUAAGGAACAAUCAACAAUUCAAACAAAAUUUCGGCAGCACUUCGAUAGGAAAGGGAGGGGAAAUUCGAUAAGAUGGAGAGAUCUUGAAGAUUCACAACAAUCCAACUAAAUUGAAUAAGCAAGGAGAGAACAUGAUCUUGACAAGAAGAGAUAAUUGACUGAAAAGAGCAACAUCACAAUGCCUCCGAAAUAAACAAUAGAAACUAGAUCAUUGGGAAGAAAGAAUGAAGAACAGAAUGACAACUACUAUCACAUUUGAAUUUGACAGGCAGCCUUGCAAGAAGCAUUGAACGGAGUUGUUGGCAAACCAAUAACUGAAAGAACAAGCUUGUAGUGGACUUAUGAAAACUAUCUCAACAAUGAGGCGACAACCAGCCAUAAUUGGAAAACAAUUGAUUCAUUGGGAGCAACAAGGUAUGAAAACUUCUUACGCCAAGAGGAAACAUUGAAAACUUUGAUUAAUGGCAACACCAUAAUAGCAACAAUCCUAAGACAAAGCUUUAGGUGAAGUCUAAACCAAGAUAGCUCAACGAAGAAAUUAUGGGUUGAAAUAUCUCAUGAUUGAAGGAAUUGGUGGUUUUAAUUAUCUCAUUCUUGAAAAAAAAACUCUUUGAGACUCCUCCACUAACAAGAAUGAUAUAACAACACCUCAAAGAUAAAGGAGGGAGAAUUGCACUUCGAAUGCAAAACACAGGAUAUUUGAGCCUCUCCAACAAGAAUGUUGAAGAACACUUCGAGAAAGAAUUGAAACCUUGAUGAAUCACCAUGAAGAACCACUUGGAGAACACCGGGAUGAAAGGAUGAUAUAAAGAGUUGAAUGUUGAAAAGAAUAAGCUUUUAACCUUGCAAAGAUUUAGAUGGUGCUUCACGAAGAAAAAACUAGAGAAAAACUUGGAACCCCAGAAAAGAAAAGAUGGAGCAGUUGGGAUAAGGAAUUGAUAUCAUGAACCACUCCGGGAGAAGAAUUGAAAUCACCUUGAUGAACAAAAAUAAGAAUUAUGUUAUGUUCAUCCUUCUUCAAGUUAAAUUAAUGACAAGUAAUGGAUUUAGAAUACCACUUAUUCUUCUUGGAAAAGAUUGGGGAGAGAGAGAUGGAGCACAAACUGAAGAAGUCUUGAAAGAACCACAUAUAAGAAUUUGGAAUGAAAGAGGAUAAUACAAAUGAAAUGGGCUACAUGAGGGCAAAAGAGCAUGUUUCGACUAGAGAAUGCUUGAACAAGCCACAGGUAAGAAUUUUUAACGAAUGGGGGAUGCCAAGAAUGAAUGGAGAUACAUGAGAACGAAGAGAUCAUGACCCACCUAGAAGAAAAACUCCAACAAGGCACCAGAAUAAUUGAGAAACGAACGAAGAGAUACAACUAAGAAUAAUUUGAGAAUGAAAGUUGAAAGCUGAGAACGAAGAAUCUUUUGAAAUGAUGGCCUUCGGAGGAUCAAGAAAUGAAAACAACACUGAAAUGCACCGGAUAAAUAUGGUAGGAAUUACUCGUGAUAAAAAGACAAAUGAGAGGAUAACACGAAGCUGAGAUGAAAAUCUUGAAAAGAAUGGACCAAGAUUUAAGAGAAACACUCCUUCGAACUUCCAAGCUGAGAAAGAUGGAAACAAGCACCAUCAAGAAUCACUAAGACACUCCGGAAGAAAUGAACAAGGAAAACUUGAGAUAAUGAUGAGAAAUAAAUUUGAAUUGAGCUUGAAGAAGGAAUAGGACUGAUGGGAUUCAUACUUAUGUCAUAAUUAAAAGAAUUAGAGAUCUGCGGGAAAAGAUUAGAAGAGCCAGAUAAGAUCCUGGGAUAAACCUAUGGGUUAUGGGCCCACUUAAGGAAAACACCAUUGAAACAAUUGAUUAGGAAGAGAGAUAAUGCACCAAUAGAAAUGAAAACUUGAUGAGGUUGAGAACCUCGAAAUUAUUGAAAGGGUUGAAAACAAGAAACUUCUGAGAUAUCUUGAACACUGAGGAUAGAAUAGAUAGGGAUGACUAAACAUGAGAGACUUUGAUAAGAAUUUCCAACAUGUGAAAAGCAUUGAACGAAUGAAAAUGAUAUGAUGAACACCGAAACUUAAGUUGAAUUGAAUCCACUCGAGAAGAAAACAAGAAUGAAGAAUGAUGAACUCGAAACUCCUGAGAAUCUUCACAAUGAAUCACUGGAUACGAUAUAGGGUAAAAGACAGCGGAAGCAUCAUGAAAAGAAAUGCACUUGGAUGAUAAUUAAAUCAUUGAUGAAAAAUGGAGGGAGGGAGGGAAAAACAAAGACAACUUGGGGCAGAUGAGAGGAACUCUGAAAGAAAUGAGAGAUUGACCUUACAAAUCUUGAAAAUGAUAGAAUUGACUUGAAGAGAAGCACACCGAAUGAAAAAGAAUUGACAUGACGACUCCGGUUGAAAAGAAUUGAAAAGACAACUUGAUUGAGCAAAAGAAUUUGCAUUCCCAUAAAAAUAUGAGAACACCUCUUGGAAAGUCAUAAAUUCACCACUUGACAUCGAAGCAACUCGAAUUACCAUAUUCGAGCAAAACAAAGGAUGAGGCUUACAACACAAGACAGAACAAAUUCAUGACAGAGAUUCCGUCCGAUAUUUCCGUCGAUAGGAUCGCACGGGCUCUAUCCUACAGUAACCAUCAUGUACAAGGAAGUGCACAUGACAUACGAAGUGUCCCCGAGUCAUAGCAAGCUACAAGGACUCUUUAAGACACAACGAGAACCGCACUAAGACGACCGUGGACAAACGAAUCAACUAGAUGUGGAACCCCAACCUCACAUCAUGCAUCUAUUGCAAGAUUGUCCUAUAAGUAACUUCUUGAAUUCUCACCUAAGAACUCCCGAAAUUUUCUGGUCAUGCAAUCGGGUCCACGGAUACAAGAAGUAAAAUCCAUCACUCAACUCCUAGAAAUAACACUACCGGUCCAGUGUAUCACAUCCGUCAACACAAAUCCAGAGAUCUCGGAAACUCAUCUAUCUCAGACCCUCGUAAUCAAAAUGAUACUAAGUAUACAUUCAGACCUAUCUAUACCAGUAUUGGGCAAGCCAAACUCCUCUCGCCACUACUAGUAUUGAAGCAAUUUCGAACAUCCUCCGUCGUGAGAUACUAAGAAAUCUGAAUGAUAGCGAUGUGCUCAAGAAUUCCCUCGAGCUCAACUCUCGAGAAUAAAAUCAACACAGCAGGAGGCACCAAGUCAAAACUCCAUCACAUCGACAUCAUAUAGAUUCCAAAAAUAUCAAUGUGAUCCUACAAAAAUUGUGAGUGAGAAGAGGAGUAGAAAUAAAAUUCUUACAUCAAGAUUCCUCACCAGAGCAUAGAAGAGGAGAACAAAGAAUCCUACUCUUCGAUAUAUAACUAGACUCAAAGCAGUUUUUCACUAGACUCGACUAAGCCAAGUUCGAUCGAUCAAGGGGGCUCCUAGGUCGGUACUGCUCUGAUACCAACUUGUAACGCCCAAAAUGCAAUCCUAUCCUUAUUUUGGCGCGAGGGCCUCGACAGGGAUAGAAGCGCAUCUCAUCGUUUCGUGAGAAUGGAUAUCGUUACCAGUACAUUUACAUAAUAGAUGAGUAUAUGGAAUUGGCUUACACUCGCCACAAGCUACAUCAGAGUCACAUCAAUACAACAACAUAAUCAGUCAUCAUGAAGAAGAGCAGGGUACGAUUACGGACAAAAACAAACGAUAAAAGAACGACGUCCAUCCUUGCUAUCCCAGGCUGUCGGCCUGGAACCCAUCCUAUAUCGAUGAAGANNNNNNNNNNNNNNNNNNACUCCAAAUAGCAUAAUCAGCACGCUCAUGUCAAAGUAACUCCUUAGAUGUACCUGCAACUGGUGGUGUAGUAAUCUGUGAGCCACAGGGGACUCAGCAAUCUCAUUUCCAAAGGUAUCAAGACUAGCAAAGCUUAAUGGGUGAAGUGUGGUUAAGUGGUGAGGCUGCAACACGUGACUAAGCAUUUAUUUGAGGUGGCUAACUUACGAGUACAAGAAUACAAGAGGGGGAUGUUCUACGCAUAGCGGACAUGAACUACUGAUGAUCAAUUGAAUGAUCCUGAACACCUACUUACGACAGGCAUAACCCCAGCGUGUCCUCGAUCGGAGAAGGAGCUCACGAAAGAGACAAUCAUGGUUACGCACACAGUUGGCAUACUUUAAUUAAGAUUGCUUUGAGUUUUCUUGAACCGGAUGUUAAACAAAGUUUCCACGUUGCCACAUAACCGCGGGCACGACUUUCUGAAAGAUAUAACCCUGCAGGGGUGCUCCAACUAUUACAUCACAAAUUACCACAAGCCACAUAGAAAACCUCAAUCACGAAACUUGUGAUCUCCUCAGAUUCCUUAGUGGAAAACCUCAACUUUGAGAUAGCCCAAAGCAUCACCGGAAUCCCGAUGCACAAGAUAUUUCGUCAAAGGUAAAACUAAUCCAGCAAGGCCGCUCGAUGUGUCGACGAACCCAAUAGGAGCCGUGUAUCUCAUUCUCAGGAGACGACGGAUGGGUCACACUAAAGUAAACCAAACCUCGGGUUUCCCCACGGUGGCCCCGUAGUCUGCCAGCUUGGACCAACACUUAUGCCUAGCACUCGCCCGGGGGUUGAUUAAAUUUCCUCGGGUUAAUUACUCCCUAUGUGGUUCAUUAGUUAUUAGGCAAAUGUAGGACCAAAGUUGGGCCCCAUAACAACGCCGAUCGUGUUAGGAGAGCUCAAUUAUGAAAUAUAACAUCGUUAGCCGAAACUAAGGGCGGCAAAGAUGGAACAAAGCACCAGGCUAGAAAGUCGAGCCUUCCACCUUUUACCAUGUAUAUAGGUGCAUUAAUUUAAACAGCAUUAAUAUCGUGAUAUAACAAGGAACCCAUGUUUUCACAUGGAAGCAAGUGCAGCUGCAACUAGCAACGCUCUCCAAUCAUCCAAUGGUUAAGCCAACGGUAAUAUAGCCAAUCAGUGGUUUGCUAGGUUGUAGAAAGGUUGAAGGUUUCAUGGCAAUGUUGGGAGGCUGGCAUUUAAGUGGUAGGCAGCGAGACAUAUCAAAAGAAAACAACUAGCAUGGCAUUGAUAGUAAUGGUAUCUAGGGAAAUGAUCAUCUUGCCAUAGAUCCCGCUUGGAAGAAGAAUGACUCCGUGAAGCUGAUGAACCGACAUAGUCGAAUGGGUGCUCACAUUCCGACACGCUUGCCGAACUCUAUCAAGACGAAGCAAACCGGAAACAAGAAUCAACACACGAUAUUCACCACGGCACAUGCACGACAUGAUGCUCAACACAUAUGAUGCAUGAUCAGUUUCAAUUAUGCAAGGCAUGGCACGACAAUCAAACACUACACAUUAAGUGAAGCUCAUUAUGGAACGAGUUGCAUAUUAACGAAACUCCAUGUUUAAUUAUUUAGUCCACUCUCGUUUAUUUCCAAGGAAAAAUUAAAUGUUGUUAAACAUGGCAAGAGGUGAAGCAUGUGAUUCUACACGACAUACUAGAUGGUUAACACCUAAGAACAUUGAACAUAACUACAGUUAAAAGAUACGUGCAACACAAGAUAUUAUGCCAUGGAUGCAACAUGCACGCAAAAUAUUGAUUUGGCUUGGCAAGCGAACCCAGAAUAUUGUGCGUGUUUAAAAGGAAAAAAAUAAACAUGGCAAAAUUGGUGAGGCUGGGAAUCGAACCCCAGACUAGUGGGUGGUGAUGCAAUGGGUUGACCAACUGGGAUGACUAGAUGUUCGUGAUAUAAUAGGGUGAGAGGAUAAACUAUAGACAUAUCUGAACCUACAAUAAACAAGGGCACCAAAGACCAAAAUAAAAAUAAAGGCCAAAAGGGGUGUGUCUGGAAUUCGAACCCGGACCCCUCUAUUUACACACAGCAACGAUGACCAGCUCAGCUAGCAGUGGGACAUGUAACAAGAUGCAUAUCAGCUCGACAUGUACACACACUAGUGCAGAACCGUCGAAUCUGAAUUACCAAAACGAAUGGCAUGCAGGAAAAAGAAAUAACACAAAAUCAAAAUGGGGAAGCCUGGGAUUUGAACCCGAGAUCCCUCGCUUAGAAGAUAACUACGCUACAAACUCACGUAUUGACAUGCUCAUGUUAAAACAUACUAGCGAUCCUAGAAAAUUAGCAGCACGCGAGAAUAGAUCUACAACAAACAGGGUUCAGAUAUGGAGGUUACUCACAGCAGGGGGAAACAGAAGGUGCUCGUGUGCAGGUCUCGCUCGGGGACGCAACGCUGGGGGCAAAUGGACCUGGGCGAUGGUUGUGACCUUGUGCGUCCGUGCGCUCUCUGCGAGCAUGCUGAAAGAGGCGAGUCAACACGUAUACGGCAGCGGUAACAGUUGAAGCACGUGAAGCGAGGGCAUGUUGGGCAUGGGGACGGCCCGAGGACGACCGAUCUAGAAGUGGGGACGCUAGAUCCGGUGGAUAGGAAUCCAUUCCCGAUGGCCGCAUGCUCCUGCUUACCCAAAUGACGGAGCACCGACGGCGGCAACACCGGCAACUUCAUGGCUUCGUGCAAACAUAGGAAAAGAGAGAACUGAGAGAUGGGGACUCAAUAGGAGAGGAAACGAGAAGAGGGAAAGGGGCGUAGGGGCCUGCUACUCGUAGGUCUGGUCGUCGGCGGUAGCCGGACGUGGCUGCCGGAUCGGGCACAGCCGCGAGGUCGGCUCGGAGCUGCAGGAGCUCAGGGACGAGAGUAAGGUCGGGGCCUCGGUUGCCUAUAGUCACUGGACUUGUCUGCGGAGUUGGGGGUUGGGUUGUGUGAUGGAUUGUGACAGCCCGAGACCGACGUACCAGAAGAUUCCCCUUUUAUUCCGUUUUCGUCGUGUUAUUAUUUUAUUUGUCGCAUCAUCAUCGCAUCAUGCGCAUCAUCCGCAUUGCAUCAGCAUCCCGUUGCCGCCAGUUUUCAAAGUUGCAUCCGUUAUUAGUUGUCGGUUCUCGUUGUUGCCCAUUCUGAGCCCGACCACACACGCAUGCGCCGGCGGCAUCGUCAUACCUUGUUUUUAAAAGUGUGUAUAAAAUUUUCUCUGAUUGGGUUGAAACUUGGCGUGCGGUCUUAUUUAGAUAUAGGUAGGCCGACAGCCAAAUUUCAUCGCAAUUGGAGUUCGUCUCGUACCCGAACGGUCGACCGUAGCGGCACCCUAUUCGGUCUAUCUGUUGGAAAUAUGCCCUAAAGGCAAUAAUAAAUUAGUUAUUAUUAUAUUUCUUUGUUCAUGAUAAUCGUUUAUUAUCCAUGCUAUAACUGUAUUGAUUGGAAACACAAUACUUGUGUGGAUACAUAGACAAAACAUUGUCCCUAGUAAGCCUCUAGUUGACUAGCUCGUUGAUCAAAGAUGGCCAAGGUUUCCUGGCCAUAGGCAAGUGUUGUUACUUGAUAACGGGAUCACAUCAUUAGGAGAAUCAUGUGAUCGACUAGACCCAAACUAAUAGACGUAGCAUGUUGAUCGUGUCAUUUUGUUGCUACUGUUUUCUGCGUGUCAAGUAUUUGUUCCUAUGACCAUGAGAUCAUAUAACUCACUGACACCGGAGGAAUGCUUUGUGUGUAUCAAACGUCGCAACGUAACUGGGUGACUAUAAAGAUGCUCUACAGGUAUCUCCGAAGGUUUUAGUUGAGUUAGUAUGGAUCGAGACUGGGAUUUUUCACUCCGUGUGACGGAGAGGUAUCUCGGGGCCCACUCGGUAAUACAACAUCACACACAAGCCUUGCAAGCAAUGUGACUUAGUGUAAGUUGCAGGAUCUUGUAUUACGGAACGAGUAAAGAGACUUGCCGGUAAACGAGAUUGAAAUAGGUAUGCGGAUACUGACGAUCGAAUCUCGGGCAAGUAACAUACCGAAGGACAAAGGGAAUGACAUACGGGAUUAUAUGAAUCCUUGGCACUGAGGUUCAAACGAUAAGAUCUUCGUAGAAUAUGUAGGAUCCAAUAUGGGCAUCCAGGUCCCGCUAUUGGAUAUUGACCGAGGAGUCUCUCGGGUCAUGUCUACAUAGUUCUCGAACCCGCAGGGUCUGCACACUUAAGGUUCGACGUUGUUUUAUGCGUAUUUGAGUUAUAUGGUUGGUUACCGAAUGUUGUUCGGAGUCCCGGAUGAGAUCACGGACGUCACGAGGGUUUCCGGAAUGGUCCGGAAACGAAGAUUGAUAUAUAGGAUGACCUCAUUUGAUUACCGGAAGGUUUUCGGAGUUACCGGGAAUGUACCGGGAAUGACGAAUGGGUUCCGGGUGUUCACCGGGGGGGCAACCCACCCCGGGGAAGCCCAUAGGCCUUGGGGGUGGCGCACCAGCCCUUAGUGGGCUGGUGGGACAGCCCAAGAAGGCCCUAUGCGCCAUAGGAAGAAAAUCAAAGAGAAAAAUAAAAGAGGAGGUGGGAAAAAGGGGAAGGACUCCUCCUUCCAAACCUAGUUGGACUCGGUUUGGAAGGGGAGGGUUGCCCCCCUUGGCUCGGCCGACCCCCUUGGGGCCCCUUGAGCCCCAAGGCAAGGCUCCCCCUCUUCCCCCUAUAUAUAUGGAGGUUUUAGGGCUGAUUUGGGACAACUUUGCCACGGCAGCCCGACCACAUAUCUCCACGGUUUUACCUCUAGAUAGCGUUUCUGCGGAGCUCGGGCGGAGCCCUGCGGAGACAAGAUCAUCACCAACCUCCGGAGCGCCGUCACGCUGCCGGAGAACUCUUCUACGUCUCUCUUGCUGGAUCAAGAAGGCCGAGAUCAUCGUCGAGCUGUACGUGUGUUGAACGCGGAGGUGCCGUCCGUUCGGCACUAGAUCGUGGGACUGAUCGCGGGACGGUUCGCGGGGCGGAUCGAGGGACGUGAGGACAUUCCACUACAUCAACCGCAUUCACUAACGCUUCUGUUGUACGGUCUACAAGGGUAUGUAGAUCACACAUCCCCUCUCGUAGAUGGACAUCACCAUGAUAGGUCUUCGUGCGCGUAGGAAAUUUUUUGUUUCCCAUGCGACGUCCCCAAGAGUGGCAUCAUGAGCUGGGUUCAUGCGUAGAUGUCUUCUCGAGUAGAACACAAAAGUUUUUGUGGGCGGUGAUGUGCGUUUUGCUGCCCUCCUUAGUCUUUUCUUGUUUCCGCGGUAUUGUUGGAUCGAAGCGGCUCGGACCGACAUUACUCGUACGCUUACGAGAGACUGGUUUCAUCGCUACGAGUAACUCCGUUGCUCAAAGAUGACUGGCGGGUGUCAGUUUCUCCAACUUAAGUUGAAUCGGAAUUGACCGAGGAGGUCCUUGGAUGAGGUUAAAUAGCAACUCAUAUAUCUCCGUUGUGGUGUUUGCGUAAGUAAGAUGCGAUCCUACUAGAUACCCUUGGUCACCACGUAAAACAUGCAACAACAAAAUUAGAGGACGUCUAACUUGUUUUUGCAGGGUAUGAUUGUGAUUUGAUAUGGCCAACGAUGUGAUGUGAUAUAUUGGAUGUAUGAGAUGAUCAUGUUGUAAUAGAAAUAUCGACUUGCAUGUCGAUGGUACGGCAACCGGCAGGAGCCAUAGGGUUGUCUUUAUACUAAUGUUUGUGCUUGCAGAUGCGUUUACUAUUUUGCUAGGAUGUAGCUUUAGUAGUAAUAGCAUAAGUAGCACGACAACCCCGAUGGCAACACGUUGAUGGAUGAUCAUGGUGUGGCGCCGGUGACAAGAAGAUCGUGCCGGUGCUUUGGUGAUGGAGAUCAAGAAGCACGUGAUGAUGGCCAUAUCAUGUCACUUAUGAAUUGCAUGUGAUGUUAAUCCUUUUAUGCACCUUAUUUUGCUUAGAACGACGGUAGCAUUAUGAGGUGAUCUCUCACUAAAAUAUCAAGACGAAAUUGUGUUCUCCCCGACUGUGCACCGUUGCUACAGUUCGUCGUUUCGAGACACCACGUGAUGAUCGGGUGUGAUAGACUCAACUUUCACAUACAACGGGUGCAAAACAGUUGCGCACGCGGAACACUCGGGUUAAGCUUGACGAGCCUAGCAUGUGCAGACAUGGCCUCGGAACACAUGAGACCGAAAGGUCGAUCAUGAAUCAUAUAGUUGAUAUGAUUAGCAUAGGGAUGCUUACCACUGAAACUAUACUCAACUCACGUGAUGAUCGGACUUGGGAUAGUGUAAGUGGAUCAUGAACCACUCAAACGACUAGAGAGAUGUACUUUUUGAGUGGGAGUUUAGCAUAUAAUUUGAUUAAGUUGAACUCUAAUUAUCUUGAACAUAGUCUAAGUCUACUUUGAAUAUAUUUGUGUUGUAGAUCAUGGCUCACGCGACAGUCAUCCUGAAUUUUAAUACGUUCCUAGAGAAAGCUAAGUUGAAAGAUGAUGGAAGCAACUUUGUAGACUGGGCUCGUAAUCUUAAGCUAAUCUUACAAGCUGGGAAGAAGGAUUAUGUCCUUAAUGCUGCGCUAGGAGAUGAACCACCCGCUACGGCUGAUCAGGAUGUUAAGAACGCUUGGUUAGCACAUAAGGAGGACUACUCAAUAGUUCAAUGUGCAGUCUUGUAUGGCUUAGAACCGGGACUUCAACGUUGCUUUGAGCGUCAUGGAGCAUUUGAGAUGUUCCAGGAGUUGGAGUUUAUCUUUCAGAAGAACGCCCGGAUCGAGAGGUAUGAGACCUCCGAUAAAUUCUAUGCUUGCAAGAUGGAGGGAAACUCGUCUGUCAGUGAACAUGUGCUCAAAAUGUCUGGGUACUCAAACCGUCUAGCUGAGCUGGGGAUUGAACUCCCGCAAGAAGCUAUCACUGACAGAAUCCUUCAAUCACUGCCGCCAAGCUACAAAGGCUUUGUGUUGAACUACAACAUGCAAGGGAUGAACAAGUCUCCCGGCGAGUUGUUUGCGAUGUUGAAAGUCGCAGAGUCUGAACUCCGUAAAGAGCAUCAAGUGUUGAUGGUGAAUAAGACCACUAGUUUCAAGAUAAACGGCAAAGGCAAGAAGGGCAAUUCGAAGAAGAGCAGCAAGCCUAUUGCCAAUCCGCCGAAGAAACCCAAGGCUGGACCUAAGCCUGAAACGGAGUGUUUCUAUUGCAAGGGUAUGGGUCACUGGAAGCGCAAUUGCCCCAAGUAUCUGGCAGAUAAGAAGGCGGGCAAAGAAAAAUCAGGUAUAUUUGAUAUACAUGUUAUUGAUGUGUACUUAACCGGCUCUCGUAGUAGUGCCUGGGUAUUCGAUACCGGUUCUGUUGCUCAUAUUUGCAACUCGAAGCAGGAACUGCGGAAUAGACGAAGGCUGGCGAAAGACGAAGUGACGAUGCGCGUAGGAAAUGGUUCCAAGGUUGAUGCAAUCGUCGUCGGCACAGUGUCGCUUCAGCUACCAUCGGGAUUAGUGAUGAACUUAAAUCAUUGUUAUUUAGUGCCUGCGUUGAGCAUGAACAUUAUAUCUGGAUCUUGUUUAUUGCGAGACGGUUACUCUUUUAAGUCUGAGAAUAAUGGUUGUUCUAUUUCUAUGAGUAACAUCUUUUAUGGUCAUGCACCGAAUGCGAGAGGAUUGUUCAUAAUGAAUCUUGAUAACGAUACGCAUAUACAUAACAUUGAGACCAAAAGAGUUAGAGUAAACAAUGAUAGCACCAUAUUUUUGUGGCACUGCCGCUUGGGUCAUAUUGGUGUAAAGCGCAUGAAGAAACUCCAUGCUGAUGGACUUUUGGAGUCACUUGACUUUGAUUCACUUGACACGUGCGAACCAUGCCUCAUGGGCAAGAUGACUAAGACUCCGUUCUCCGGAACAAUGGAGCGUGCAAGUGACUUAUUGGAAAUCAUACAUACCGAUGUGUGUGGUCCAAUGAGCGUGGAGGCACGCGGCGGAUAUCGUUAUUUUCUCACCUUCACUGACGAUUUAAGUAGAUAUGGUUAUGUCUACUUGAUGAAGCACAAGUCUGAAACAUUUGAAAGGUUCAAACAAUUUCAGAGUGAAGUGGAAAAUCAUCGUAACAAGAAGAUCAAGUUCCUACGGUCUGAUCGUGGGGGUGAAUAUCUGAGUUUCGAGUUUGGUGCUCACUUAAGACAAUGUGGAAUUGUUUCACAGUUAACACCGCCUGGAACACCACAGCGUAAUGGUGUGUCCGAACGUCGUAAUCGUACUUUGUUAGAGAUGGUGCGAUCUAUGAUGUCUCUUACUGAUUUGCCGUUAUCAUUUUGGGGUUAUGCAUUAGAAACAACAGCAUUCACUUUAAAUAGGGCACCAUCAAAAUCCGUUGAGACGACACCAUACGAACUGUGGUAUGGCAAAAGGCCAAAGUUGUCAUUUCUUAAAGUUUGGGGAUGUGAUGCUUAUGUCAAAAAGCUUCAGCCUGAAAAGCUGGAACCCAAAGCGGAAAAAUGCGUCUUCAUAGGUUACCCAAAAGAGACAGUUGGGUACACCUUCUAUCUCAAAUCGGAGGGCAAAGUGUUUGUUGCUAAGAACGGAACUUUUCUCGAGAAGGAGUUUCUCUCGAGAGAAUUGAGUGGGAGGAAGAUAGAACUUGACGAGGUUGUCGAACCUCUCAUCCCUCUGGAUGGUGGCGCAGGGCAAGGGGAAACCUCUGUCGUUGCGACGCCGGUUGAGGAGGAAGUUAAUGAUGAUGAUCAUGAAACUCCAGUUCAAGUUUCUGUUGAACCACGCAGGUCGACGAGAUCACGCGCUGCUCCAGAGUGGUACGGUAAUCCCGUCUUAUCAAUCAUGUUGUUGGACAACAAUGAACCUGCAAAUUAUGAAGAAGCAAUGGUGGGCCCAGAUUCCAACAAAUGGCUAGAAGCCAUGAAAUCCGAGAUAGGAUCCAUGUAUGAGAACAAAGUGUGGACUUUGGAGAUACUACCUGAGGGCCGCAAGGCUAUUCAGAACAAAUGGAUCUUUAAGAAGAAGACAGACGCUGACGGUAAUGUGACCGUUUAUAAAACUCGACUUGUGGCAAAGGGUUUUUCACAAGUUCCAGGAAUUGACUACGAUGAGACUUUCUCACCCGUAGCAAUGCUUAAGUCCGUCAGAAUCAUGUUAGCAAUAGCUGCAUUUUUCGAUUAUGAAAUCUGGCAGAUGGAUGUCAAAACGGCGUUCCUUAACGGUUUCCUUAAGGAAGAGUUGUAUAUGAUGCAACCCGAAGGUUUUGUCGAUCCUAAGAAUGCUAACAAGGUGUGCAAGCUCCAGCGAUCCAUUUAUGGACUGGUGCAAGCAUCUCGGAGUUGGAACAAACGCUUUGAUGAGGUGAUCAAGGCAUUUGGGUUUAUACAAGUGGUUGGAGAAUCUUGUAUUUACAAGAAAGUGAGUGGGAGCUCUGUGGGGUUUCUAAUAUUAUAUGUGGAUGACAUAUUACUGAUUGGAAACAACGUAGAGCUUUUGGAGAGCAUAAAAGGUUACUUGAAUAAAAGUUUCUCUAUGAAGGACCUAGGAGAAGCUGCUUACAUUCUAGGCAUUAAGAUCUAUAGGGAUAGAUCAAAACGCCUGAUAGGACUUUCACAAAGCACAUACCUUGAUAAAGUUUUGAAGAGGUUCAAAAUGGAACAGUCCAAGAAAGGGUUCUUGCCAGUUUUACAAGGUACGAGAUUGAGUAAGACUCAGUGCCCAGCAACUGAUGAAGAUAGAGAGCAUAUGCGCUCCGUCCCCUAUGCUUCAGCCAUAGGUUCUAUCAUGUAUGCGAUGCUGUGCACUAGACCGGAUGUUAGCCUGGCCAUAAGUAUGGCAGGUAGGUUUCAGAGUAAUCCAGGAGUGGAUCACUGUACAACGGUCAAGAAUAUCCCGAAGUACCUGAAAAGGACUAAGGAGAUGUUUCUCGUGUAUGGAGGUGACGAAGAGCUCGCCGUAAAAGGUUACGUCGAUGCAAGCUUUGACACAGAUCCGGACGACUCUAAGUCGCAAACUGGAUACGUAUUUAUUCUUAAUGGGGGUGCAGUAAGCUGGUGCAGUACCACGCAAAGCGUCGUAGCAGAUUCUACAUGUGAAGCGGAGUACAUGGCUGCCUCGGAGGCGGCUAAGGAGGGUGUCUGGAUGAAGCAGUUCAUGACGGAUCUUGGAGUGGUGCCAAGUGCACUGGAUCCAAUAACCUUGUUCUGUGACAACACGGGUGCCAUUGCCUUAGCAAAGGAACCACGGUUUCACAAGAAGACCAGACACAUCAAACGACGCUUCAACCUCAUCCGCGACUACGUCGAGGAAGAGGACGUAAAUAUAUGAAAAGUGCACACGGAUCUGAAUGUAGCAGACCCGCUGACUAAACCUCUUCCACGGCCAAAACAUGAUCGACACCAAAACCGUAUGGGUGUUAGAUUUAUUACAAUGUAAUUCACAUGGUGAUGUGAGGGCUAGAUUAUUGACUCUAGUGCAAGUGGGAGACUGUUGGAAUUAUGCCCUAGAGGCAAUAAUAAAUAUAGUUAUUAUUAUAAUUCCUGUAUCAAGAUAAUAGUUUAUUAUCCAUGCUAUAAUUGUAUUGAAUGAAGACUCAUUUACAUGUGUGGAUACAUGGACAAAACACCAUCCCUAGCAUGCCUCUAGUUGGCUAGCCAGUUGAUCGAUGAUAGUCAGUGUCUUCUGAUUAUGAACAAAGUGUUGUUACUUGAUAACUGGAUCACGUCAUUGGGAGAAUCACGUGAUGGACUAGACCCAAACUAAUAGACGUAGCAUGUUGAUCAUGUCAUUUUGUUGCUACUGUUUUCUGCGUGUCAAGUAUUUAUUCCUAUGACCAUGAGAUCAUAUAACUCACUGACACCGGAGGAAUGCUUUGUGUGUAUCAAACGUCGCAACGUAACUGGGUGACUAUAAAGAUGCUCUACAGGUAUCUCCGAAGGUGUUGGUUGAGUUAGUAUGGAUCAAGACUGGGAUUUGUCACUUCGUGUGACGGAGAGGUAUCUCGGGGCCCACUCGGUAAUACAACAUCACACACAAGCCUUGCAAGCAAUGUAACUUAGUGUAAGUUGCGGGAUCUUGUAUUACGGAACGAGUAAAGAGACUUGCCGGUAAACGAGAUUGAAAUAGGUAUGCGGAUACUGACGAUCGAAUCUCGGGCAAGUAACAUACCGAAGGACAAAGGGAAUGACAUACGGGAUUAUACGAAUCCUUGGCACUGAGGUUCAAACGAUAAGAUCUUCGUAGAAUAUGUAGGAUCCAAUAUGGGCAUCCAGGUCCCGCUAUUGGAUAUUGACCGAGGAGUCUCUCGGGUCAUGUCUACAUAGUUCUCGAACCCGCAGGGUCUGCACACUUAAGGUUCGACGUUGUUUUAUGCGUAUUUGAGUUAUAUGGUUGGUUACCGAAUGUUGUUCAGAGUCCCGGAUGAGAUCACGGACGUCACGAGGGUUUCCGGAAUGGUCCGGAAACGAAGAUUGAUAUAUAGGAUGACCUCAUUUGAUUACCGGAAGGUUUUCGGAGUUACCGGGAAUGUACCGGGAAUGACGAAUGGGUUCCGGGUGUUCACCGGGGGGGCAACCCACCCCGGGGAAGCCCAUAGGCCUUGGGGGUGGCGCACCAGCCCUUAGUGGGCUGGUGGGACAGCCCAAGAAGGCCCUAUGCGCCAUAGGAAGAAAAUCAAAGAGAAAAAUAAAAGAGGAGGUGGGAAAAAGGGGAAGGACUCCUCCUUCCAAACCUAGUUGGACUCGGUUUGGAAGGGGAGGGUUGCCCCCCUUGGCUCGGCCGACCCCCUUGGGGCCCCUUGAGCCCCAAGGCAAGGCUCCCCCUCUUCCCCCUAUAUAUAUGGAGGUUUUAGGGCUGAUUUGGGACAACUUUGCCACGGCAGCCCGACCACAUAUCUCCACGGUUUUACCUCUAGAUAGCGUUUCUGCGGAGCUCGGGCGGAGCCCUGCGGAGACAAGAUCAUCACCAACCUCCGGAGCGCCGUCACGCUGCCGGAGAACUCUUCUACGUCUCNUAGUGGCUGGUGGGACAGCCCACAAGUGCCCUAUGCGCCAAGGAGAAGAAAAUCAAGAGAGAAAGAAAAAAAAAGGAGGAGGUGGGAAGGAAGGGGGACUCCCUCCCACCAAACCUAGUCCAACUCGGUUUGGGGGGGGGAGAGUCCUCCCCCUUGGACUCGGCCGACCCCCUUGGGGCUCCUUGAGCCCCAAGGCAAGGCCCCCUCCCUCCCAACUAUAUAUACGUAGGUUUUAGGGCUGAUUUGAGACGACUUUUCCACGGCAGCCCGACCACAUACCUCCACGGUUUUUCCUCUAGAUCGCGUUUCUGCGGAGCUCGGGCGGAGCCCUACUGAGACAAGGUCAUCACCAACCUCCGGAGCGCCGUCACGCUGCCGGAGAACUCUUCUACCUCUCCGUCUCUCUUGCUGGAUCAAGAAGGCCGAGAUCAUCGUCGAGUUGUACGUGUGCUGAAAGCGGAUGUGCCGUCCGUUCGGUACUAGAUCGUGGGACUGAUCGCGGGAUUGUUCGCGGGGCAGAUCGAGGGACGUGAGGACGUUCCACUACAUCAACCGCAUUCUCUAACGCUGCUGCUGUACGAUCUACAAGGGUACGUAGAUCACUCAUCCCCUCUCGUAGAUGGACAUCACCAUGAUAGGUCUUCGUGCGCGCAGGAAUUUUUUUGUUUCCCAUGCGACGUUCCCCAACAAAAACAUUGUUUCCUCAACGGUUUCCUUGAGCAAACAUUGUAUGUGAUACAACCAGGAGGUUUUGUCGAUCCUAAAGAUACUAGCAAGUAUGCAAGCUCCAGCGAUCCUUCAAUGGACUGGUGCAAGCAUCUCGGAGUUGGAAUAUACACUUUGAUGAGAUGAUCAAAGAUUUUGGGUUUGUACAAGGUUUAUGAGAAACUUGUAUUUCCAAAGAAGUGAGUGGGAGCACUAUAGAAUUUCUGAUAAGUAUAUGUGGUUGACAUAUUGUGGAUCAGAAGUAAUGUAGAAUUUCUGUAAAGCAUACAAGGUUGUUUGAAAGGAGUUUUCAAAGGAAUACCUGGAUUGCGCUACUUGAAUGUUGAGCAUCAAAGAUCUAUGGAGAUAGAUCGAAAGCGCUUGAUAGAAGUUUCAACAAGAUGCAUGCCUUGACAAGUUUUUGAAGGAGUUCAAAAUAGAUCAGCAAAGAAGGAGUUCUUGGUUGCGUUGUAAGGUGUGGAUUAGAGUAAGACUCAACACCCGACCCCGGCAGAAUAAAGAGAAUAGACGAAGGUCGUCUUCUAUGCCUUAGCCGUAGACUCUAAAGUAUGCCAUGCUGAGUACCGCACCUGAUGUGUGCCUUGCAGCAAGUCUAUUGAGAGGUACAGAGAGUGAUCCAUGAUUGAAUCACUAGCAGCGGUCAAAAUUUAUCCUUAGUAACUGAUGGACUAAGGAAUUUUUCUCGAUUAUGGAGGUGGUUAAAGAGUUUGUCGUAAAGGGUUACGUCGAUGUAAGCUUUGACACUAAUCCGAAUAACUAUGAGUAGUGAAACGGAUUCUUAUAGUAGAGUAGAUAUUUGGAGUAUUUCCGAAUAGCACAUAGUAGCAGCAUCUAUAAGAUGACAUAAAGAUUUGUAAAUAACACACGGAUCUGAAAAUUUCAGAACCGUUGACUAAAACCUCUCUCAUGAGCAAGACGUGAUCACACCCCAUAACUAUAUGGGUGUUGGAUUCGUUGGAAUCACAUGGUGAUGUGAACUAGAUUAUUGACUCUAGUGCAAGUGGGAGACUGUUGGAAAUAUGCCCUAGAGGCAAUAAUAAAUUAGUUAUUAUUAUAUUUCUUUGUUCAUGAUAAUCGUUUAUUAUCCAUGCUAUAAUUGUAUUGAUUGGAAACACAAUACUUGUGUGGAUACAUAGACAAAACACUGUCCCUAGUAAGCCUCUAGUUGACUAGCUCGUUGAUCAAAGAUGGCCAAGGUUUCCUGGCCAUAGGCAAGUGUUGUUACUUGAUAACGGGAUCACAUCAUUAGGAGAAUCAUGUGAUUGACUAGACCCAAACUAAUAGACGUAGCAUGUUGAUCGUGUCAUUUUGUUGCUACUGUUUUCUGCGUGUCAAGUAUUUGUUCCUAUGACCAUGAGAUCAUAUAACUCACUGACACCGGAGGAAUGCUUUGUGUGUAUCAAACGUCGCAACAUAACUGGGUGACUAUAAAGAUGCUCUACAGGUAUCUCCGAAGGUGUUGGUUGAGUUAGUAUGGAUCAAGACUGGGAUUUUUCACUCCGUGUGACGGAGAGGUAUCUCGGGGCCCACUCGGUAAUACAACAUCACACACAAGCCUUGCAAGCAAUGUGACUUAGUGUAAGUUGCAGGAUCUUGUAUUACGGAACGAGUAAAGAGACUUGCCGGUAAACGAGAUUGAAAUAGGUAUGCGGAUACUGACGAUCGAAUCUCGGGCAAGUAACAUACCGAAGGACAAAGGGAAUGACAUACGGGAUUAUAUGAAUCCUUGGCACUGAGGUUCAAACGAUAAGAUCUUCGUAGAAUAUGUAGGAUCCAAUAUGGGCAUCCAGGUCCCGCUAUUGGAUAUUGACCGAGGAGUCUCUCGGGUCAUGUCUACAUAGUUCUCGAACCCGCAGGGUCUGCACACUUAAGGUUCGACGUUGUUUUAUGCGUAUUUGAGUUAUAUGGUUGGUUACCGAAUGUUGUUCGGAGUCCCGGAUGAGAUCACGGACGUCACGAGGGUUUCCGGAAUGGUCCGGAAACGAAGAUUGAUAUAUAGGAUGACCUCAUUUGAUUACCGGAAGGUUUUCGGAGUUACCGGGAAUGUACCGGGAAUGACGAAUGGGUUCCGGGUGUUCACCGGGGGGGCAACCCACCCCGGGGAAGCCCAUAGGCCUUGGGGGUGGCGCACCAGCCCUUAGUGGGCUGGUGGGACAGCCCAAGAAGGCCCUAUGCGCCAUAGGAAGAAAAUCAAAGAGAAAAAUAAAAGAGGAGGUGGGAAAAAGGGGAAGGACUCCUCCUUCCAAACCUAGUUGGACUCGGUUUGGAAGGGGAGGGUUGCCCCCCUUGGCUCGGCCGACCCCCUUGGGGCCCCUUGAGCCCCAAGGCAAGGCUCCCCCUCUUCCCCCUAUAUAUAUGGAGGUUUUAGGGCUGAUUUGGGACAACUUUGCCACGGCAGCCCGACCACAUAUCUCCACGGUUUUACCUCUAGAUAGCGUUUCUGCGGAGCUCGGGCGGAGCCCUGCGGAGACAAGAUCAUCACCAACCUCCGGAGCGCCGUCACGCUGCCGGAGAACUCUUCUACGUCUCCGUCUCUCUUGCUGGAUCAAGAAGGCCGAGANGUUCGACGUUGUUUUAUGCGUAUUUGAGUUAUAUGGUUGGUUACCGAAUGUUGUUCGGAGUCCCGGAUGAGAUCACGGAUGUCACGAGGGUUUCCGGAAUGGUCCGGAAACAAAGAUUGAUAUAUAGGAUGACCUCAUUUGAUUACCGGAAGGUUUUCGGAGUUACCGGGAAUGUACCGGGAAUGACGAAUGGGUUCCGGGUGUUCACCGGGGGGGCAACCCACCCCGGGGAAGCCCAUAGGCCUUGGGGGUGGCGCACCAGCCCUUAGUGGGCUGGUGGGACAGCCCAAGAAGGCCCUAUGCGCCAUAGGAAGAAAAUCAAAGAGAAAAAUAAAAGAGGAGGUGGGAAAAAGGGGAAGGACUCCUCCUUCCAAACCUAGUUGGACUCGGUUUGGAAGGGGAGGGUUGCCCCCCUUGGCUCAGCCGACCCCCUUGGGGCCCCUUGAGCACCAAGGCAAGGCUCCCCCUCUUCCCCCUAUAUAUACGGAGGUUUUAGGGCUGAUUUGGGACAACUUUGCCACGACAGCCCGACCACAUAUCUCCACGGUUUUACCUCUAGAUCGCGUUUCUGCGGAGCUCGGGCGGAGCCCUGCCGAGACAAGAUCAUCACCAACCUCCGGAGCGCCGUCACGCUGCCGGAGAACUCUUCUUCCUCUCCGUCUCUCUUGCUGGAUCAAGAAGGCUGAGAUCAUCGUCGAGCUGUACGUGUGCUGAACGCGGAGGUGCCGUCCGUUCGGCACUAGAUCGUGGGACUGAUCGCGGGACGGUUCGCGGGGCGGAUCGAGGGACGUGAGGACGUUCCACUACAUCAACCGCGUUCACUAACGCUUCUGCUGUACGGUCUACAAGGGUACGUAGAUCACACAUCCCCUCUCGUAGAUGGACAUCACCAUGAUAGGUCUUCGUGCGCGUAGGAAAUUUUUUGUUUGCCAUGCGACGUCCCCAACACUAUCAUCGGACGUUUUUCGGUGUUUUAAAAUCGCGUUACCGCGCCGCGCUAUUUCCCUCUCACCUCCGCCAAGCCACUCUAUACAGCCACCUAGUCAUUCCCGCGUUCAUGGGCGUUUGAUCGCGAUCCCGUGAUCGAAAACAGAGCCGGAUUCGGAUAACCCUAGCCUCCUUUCCUAUUUAAUCUUCCCCUCCUCUCCAUUUUGGACACCCAACUCCCUCGCCUCGAAAUUCGUGGCAGCCUCUACCUUCUCCACCUCUCAGAUCUGAUCUAUCCUCUCCACCGAUCUCGGCCGUCGGAUCAAAGAUCCAACGGCCGAAGACCCUCCUGCUUCCUCCCGGAGCUCUCCCCUGAGCUCCUCGUGCCCAAGCUCCUCCCGAGCCCGACUGGCCGAGCCCCUCGCCGGAACAGCGCCGCAGCUCGGCGGACCUCCUCCUUCCUCUCCCUUCUUUUCCCUCUCCCUCUCCUUCUCUCUCUCGGUCUCACCUCCCUCUUCUUAUUCUCUACAGGAGCCCCGAGAUCGCCGCCGCCCGAUCUCCGAGCACCGGCCGGCCCCAUCUCUUCCUCCUCCGGGAAUGAGUCCCCGAGGACCGGAUCCGCCGGACCCCGGCCAUCCCAUCACCCUCGUCCCUCCACCGGAGCUCCUCCCGACGGCCUCGUCGGUGCAGCAGCGCUGUUGUGGACUGCCGGACCGAUCCCAUCGAAUCGAUCCCAUGGCCGCGUUGACCACCAGGUCUGGCCAGGCCGUAGCCUCGAGGGCCCAGGCUGGCCUUCUCGCGCCUCUCUGCUAUCCUCCGCCUAGGCGCAGCUCGCAUGUGCCCCGCCUCCUCAACCGACCUGGGCCAUGCCCAAGGUGAGACCGCCCCGAGCCCCUCUAAUUUUUCGCUCGUGCGUUGUAUAGUUUUAUUGCGCCUAGGUACUGUAGGCCCAAUUGGUGUAGAUUCGGCCCGUGUAUUUAUUUAGAAUAAUCUGUGUUUUAAUAUUUUCAAGAAUAUGCUAGAUAUUAAAAUGCCCGUAGAAUUUAAACCAUGCCUCGGAUCGGAACGAAUUAUAUAUGAAACUUGUGUAGUUUAUCGAGUAGAUUCAUAAUUUGCAACUUGCAUGCAUGUUUGAAGUGAUUUGACUCGCCAUAUGCCUAGAUUUACGUGUUGUCCUAUUAUGUUAAUUAUCCCGUAAUUAUUUUCGUGCGUGUCCGGAUUGCUCAAAUCCCGUAGUUUAAAUGCUCAUGUUUUUAGGGACCUUUUGCCAUGCAUUUUAGAGUAGUUGUCUGUAUUUUUGCAUGUAGGUUCCGUCGCUAGUUUAUUAUAUCAUGUUUAGGACAUAAUCUCGCAUAUUUGUGUGGCAAUAUUUUUAUUUUGCAACCCCACAUAUUAUAUAUGUUUUCGGGGCAGAAAAAUCCAUAGAAUUUAACUAUGCAUUUAGUUUUAGCUUUUGAGCAAGUUAAUGCGCGUGAUAUUUUGCCAUGUUGCCCUUUUGUCUAUUUUUGUGUGAUUUAAUCCGUGCAUGAUAUGAAUUAGAUUUGAACUAGAGAUAUGCCCUUGGAUGUGUAAGCUAGCCUCUGGUAAUUUUGGUUGCAAUAGAAAUCCAUGUUUAGGUGUGAUUUGCUUGUACUCAACUUGCUAGAAAAUAGUGCUUAUUUGGAGACGCUGAGAUAUUUCUAAGUCUGAAAUCUGUUAUAUUUUGUUGCUGUCUUUUCAUGAGUUUAUCUGGUGUUCCGCACCUCUUUUGAGGUUGGUGCAAUGGAGUUAGUUGUAGACCUUAAGAUUCUCUACCAUGCUGUCAAUUUUCAUGCCAUUUGGAGUCCUGUAGCUUAUAGUUUUUUUGUUGUCAAUAUGCCUUCAGAUCGAAAACUGCAUUGUCUAAAACUGAUAUUUUCACUAAGUCUGAAACUGUGUGUGACAUGCCAUCUUGUGACUUCUUUUCCUAGUGAUUCAUGCUUCCAUGCUAGAUGUUAUUAGUAGUAUGUUGUAGUGCAUCUUGAACUCUAUUGCCUCGUGUCUUAUUUGAGCAUUUUGGAUUUAUGUAGAUUGUUAUUGUGGGGUUUACAAAAUGCUAUGUGGCUGAUUUUGGCAGGUUGUAGUGAUUUCUUGUUUAGCUCGUAGUUGUUGAACCGUUGCUCCGUUUUGAUCGUUUCCUAUAUGAAACUUGCUUAGAAUCUCGUGUAGUUUCAUAUUAUCUUGCUAGUUGUAUCAUUUGAGAUGCUUGCGACUGUCUUUGCACAUAUAUUGCAUUCAUGCCAUCAUAUCUUGUGGUGUUCGUAUCUUUGGAACUGUAGCUCCGUUGGAGAUGUUCUCUAUGUGUAAAUUGAUUGUAACGACGCGUAGAAUCACAUGAACCUAUUUAUUUUGUUGUUUAAUAAAUAUUAAAACAUGUUAGUUCAGAUCUGGGCAGAUUUAUAAUUUAACGUGUGGGGUCAGCUCGGAGAUGCUAUAUGUCAUUUCCGGCCUCAUUUAAAAUGCCGAGAUAGAUAGUUUAGUUACGCUUCAUCUCUUGCUAUGUUUAAACACAUUUAAUAUUGUCGUGUACCUAAUCAGGAUGCAACUAAAUAAUUCAUAUGUGGAGUUUCGUCAAUAUGCAACUCGUUGCAUAUUGAACUUCACUUAAUGUGUAGUGUUUGAUUGUUGUGAAUUGACAUGCCAUGUCUUGCAUAUAUUCAACCGUUCAUGCAUCAUAUGUGUUGUGCAUCGUGUGGUGUAUAUCGUUUGUUGAUUCUUGUUUCCGGUUUGCUUCGUCUCGAUAGAGUUCCGCAAGCGUGUCGGAAUGUGAGGACCCGUUCGACUACAUCGGUUCGUCUGCUUCACGGAGUCGUUCUUCUUCCAAGCGGGAUCUCAGGCAAGAUGACCCUUUCCCCAAAUACCAUUACUAUCAUUGCCAUGCUAGUUUUACCGUUUCUAUCGUUAUGUCUCAUUGCCUACCACCUGUUAAAUAUCAGCCUCUCAACAUUGCCAUGAAAAACCUUCAACCUGUUCACAACCUAGCAAACCACUGAUUGGCUAUGUUACCGCUUGCUUAACCAUGUGUUAGCGUUGCUAGUUGCAGGUGCAGUUGCUUCCAUGUGAUAACAUGGGUUCCUUGUUAUAUCACCAUAUUAAAUGCUAUUUCAUUUAAUGCACCUAUAUACUUGGUGAAAGGUGGAAGGCUCGGCCUUUCUAGCCUGGUGUUUUGUUCCACCUUUAUCGCCUUAGUUUCGGUUACCGGUGUUAUCUUCCAUGAUUGAGCGCUCCUAACACGAUCGGGGUUGUUAUGGGGACCCCCUUGAUAAUUCGUUUUAGAUUAAAGAUGGUUUGGCAAGGCCCAACAUUAGUACUAUAUUCGACCAACAUAAUAAUUCUGUUAAUAUUGAAAAGCAUAGGGCGUCAUGAACUCGAGGAGUAAUUCUACAUAAUACAGGGAGGGACAGUGCUGAUGGUGAUGGUCCAAAACAGAGCAUUGUGCGGGGCCAUACCAGGGAAACUUGGGUGAUUUCUAUCAGGCCACCGUACGCGUCGCUUAUCCGUCGUGUCCUGAGAACGAGAUACGCGGCUCCUAUCGGGAUCGUCGACACGCCGGGCGGCCUUGCUGGAUUAGUUUUACCUUUGACGAAUGUCUUGUGCAUCGGGAUUCCGGUGAUGCUUUGGGUAAUCUCAGAGUUGAGGUUUUCCACUAAGGAGUCCGACGAGAUCGCGAGCUUCGUGAUCGAGGAUUUCUAUGCGGCUUGUGGUAAUUUGUGAUGGACUAGUUGGAGCACCCCUGCAGGGUCAAAUCUUUCGGAGAGUCGUGCCCGCGGUUAUGUGGCAACGUCGAAACUUGGUUUAACACUGGUUCUUGACAACUUGAAGUUAACUUAAUUAAAACUUACCAACUGAGUGCGUAACCGUGACUGUCUCUUUCGUGAGCUCCUUCUCCGAUCGAGGACACGGUGGGGUUAUGUUUGACGUAGGUAGGUGUUCAGGAUCAUUCAUUUGAUCACCAGUAGUUCACGUCCGCUAUGCGUAGAAUAUCCCCCCUCUUAUUCUUGUACUCGUAAGUUAGCCACCUCAUAUAAAGCUUAGUCGCUUGCUGGAGCCUCACCACUUAACCAUGCCUCACCCAUUAAGCUUUGCUAGUCUUGAUACCUUUGGAAAUGAGAUUGCUGAGUCCCCUGUUGCUCACAAAUUACUACAACACCACUUGCAGGUACAAGUAAAGGUUACUUGACGUGAGCGCGUUGGUUGCUCAUUUCUUCUUCAUCGAUCUAGGAUGGAUUCCAGGCCGGCAGCCUGGGAUAGCAAGGAUGGACGUCGUUCUCUUUUCUCGUUUGUUUUCGUCCGUAGUCGGACCCUACUCUUCUUCGUGAUAUUUAUGUAUUGUAUUGAUGUGACUCUGAUGUAGCUUGUGGCGAGUGUAAGCCAAUUCCAUAUAUCUCAUCUUUUCAGUACAUGUACUUGUAACGAUAUCCAUUCUUGCGAAACGACGAGAUGCGCUUCUAUCCCUGACGAGGCCCUCGUGCCAAAUUAAGGAUAGGGUCGCAUCCAGGGCGUUACAAGGAUCUAGCGGAAUCAGCAAGAGCGACGCUCGUUGGAUGGAUGUUGGAUCGGGGAGACACGGGAAAUCCCGAGGUUCGAGAAGAUUGGACGAGGGUUGGCGGCGCGGCGCUGAUGGGACAAGUAGAGAAUUUUUAGGGAUUAGGUUUAGGUUNGUAAAAUUACCUCGAGUGAGGAAUAAUUUAUUCUCCACCCUGGGUGAUGAAUAGAGUUUAUAUAUAUGGGCUAGGUGAUGAUGGUUUGAUGGCCACGAACGGAGGUGGGGGUUUUUGAUGGGCUAGGUGGUUGUGUAGUUGGGCUAUGUGGGGAUGAGAGGGAAAUGGUGCGGUCCAUGAUAGAGUUUUAAAACGCGAAAACAUCUGGCAAUAAACCGAUGGCGAUGCCGCUACGAUCGACCGUUCGGGUAAUAAACAGACUCUAAUUACGAUGAAAUUUGACAAGCGGUCUAGCUACACUAUAUUAAGACCGCGCGCCAACUUUCAACCCACUCCGAGAAUAUUUUAAACACACUUCUAUAUACAAAUAUAGUAAUGAUGCCACGGGCGCAUGUGUGUGUGGUUGGUCUCAAAAACGGUCAACGACAGAACAAAGAGAACCGACAACUACUAACGGAUGCAAGUUUUGAAAACUGACGAGAACGGAGUGCCGACACAAUGCAGAUGAUGCGCAUGAUGCGAUGAUGAAUGCGACAAAUAAAAUAAUCACACGGCGGCGACCAAAUAAAAGGGGAAUCUUGUGAAGCGUCGGUCUCGGGCUGUUACAACACCUCAUCACUCUCUCUACCCGAUGUCCUCAUCUUCGUCCGCUAGAUCCGCCGCGCCCCUCCCCAAGACUUAGCUCCCUCCUCAAACCCCUCUCGCCUCUGCUCUCAUCCGGCCCACACAACGCCACCCUCGCCUCUCCAGGUAGGCCCCCUCUCCACAUAUGUUGCAUGAUUCGCGUCAUUGAUGGUGCUCCUGCACCCAAUGGCUACACGACGGACGCGCACGGCGGCCAAACUCUGGUGCGACGGUCGCUCUCUCCGACGGCUUCCUCCAUGGCAUGACGGUGGUAUAUAAUCUUGCUCUAUUCUCGUAUUGUGCAAUAAACAUAUUAGAAUAAUUUUGCAUAAUUAGUGGAGCCAGAUACUAGUUAGUUUGGGCAAGUUUCCUAUGUGUGCUAGUAUUUAAUCUCAAAUGUUUCAUGAAUACAAUUUGUGCCAAGUUUUUUAAUAGGAAAUCAUAUGUUGAGUGCAAAUGAUUUGGCAAAAGUUGAUUAAAUUCUUUUUCACCAAGUUUCUUGCACUUAAUAUGUCCAUUGUUAAGAAAAUGUCAUGCCAAAAUUUGCACAUGUAAAUAUUUAAUGAUAUGCAGUUCGUUUGACAACAUUUAAAGGGAUUCCAUGGCUCCUAGACGUUCUCGUGAACCAGAGUUGAAGUGGCGGAGGAAGUUGGUGGUGCAGGGAAAAAGGAUUGAUGAUGAAGUGUUCAAAUGGAGAGAUUGUAUGCGGGAGCUAAAAGAGGCGGAGAAUACGUUCCAGCAGACUCAGUGUAGUCAAUGGGAGCACGAAGUCAAUAUGUGCAAGAGUUGUGCUGAAACACAACUAAAAGUUGCGAAAGACGUCAUCUUCUUGAAGGCCAACACUGCAGAACAUGCUUGGAUGCCGCGUGUGAGCAUUUGGUUAUGGAAUGGGCGCGACAACAAGUGACAUCUUCGUGCCCAACUGAAAGAGACCGAUGGGGAAGUGUUGUCGGGAUACUUCCGCCGAGAAUGUCCCCACCAUCAUCAGAUUCUGCACCAUCAAAUUGUGCUCACUAAUAGUAUAAUAGUAAAAUUAAGCUAUAAUUUAAGGUUUAAUAGUUUUAUCAUUAUUGGUCUCAUCUAGCAGUUAUGUUUGGAAUUGUAAGGUCUUUGAAAUCUAGUUAUCUGUUUGAACUCAAGUGGUCAUCAAUAAUGGUAUAUAUAAACCCAUCCACGUGUUUCUUUCAUUUAUGCUAAUGUGUGUCAACAACGACUACUUUCGAAUAUUACUUUAAUCCUAGUGAAUGGAUCAAUGGCGGGCACUAGCGACAACCCGCUACUGCAGAUUGCAGUAACAGUGGCGGGCCAACUAGCAUCAGCUGCCACUACAGAGGCUCUAGCAGUGGCGGGCGGGCGCUCGCCACAGAUGACUAAUGUGGUUAUAGCAGUGGCAAGAGGUCAGUGGCGGGCACCCCUAGGAUCCUGGCUCGCCACUGAUGGCCUUUUUGCACCCGCCACUACUAAGCAUUCCUGCAGUAGUGUGUGUGCAUUAAGCCUUUCAGAUAAUCUAUCAUAUGGAACAAGAUGAUCCGAGCCCCCUCGGGGAUAGUAGUGAAGACGAUUAGUUUCCCACGUUUCGUUUUUGGUGGAAUUGAGUCCUAGGAGAACCGUACUAUUAAGAGAGUGUAUACUUCAGAAAGGUUUGGGUGGAAUCAACACGUACACACUUUCAUUUGCACCCUUGUUCCUUUCCCGCAUCAAUGGAGUAGCUCCUCUAGGUAGAUUGCUGAGGUCGUGAAGGCCCCAAGCGGUUGUACCGCUCUGGCAAGCGGUAGUACCUCCUAUAAGCGGUAGUACCGCUCUGGGCAAGUGUUAGUACUACCUACAUGCGGUAGUACCCCUGUCCAGUGUCGUGUGUACUACCACUUCCUCUGGGGGUCUCGACUUUUCAUGUCUGACUACGCGGUACUGGGAAGAUAGUGCGGCGCGGUAGUACCGCCCGUCAUUACCACUCCAACUACCGCUCCCCUUCAGGACCUUAGAACUCUCAAUGGAGGUAGGGCGGCAGUGGGGCGAGGCACUACCGCUUGUAAGCAGUAAUACCGCUUAAGCGGUACUGCCUCCGUCCCCAAUCUCUAUCGUGCCUCUAGGAGCCCUUUGCUGCAACCCCAGUGGUAGUAACGCUUGGGCGAGCAAUAGUACCGCUCCGAUGGCACUACCACCUCGUGGCUUCAUGCCAUUGCACUGCAUAGCGAGCACUGCGACCCAAGCGGUAGUACCGCUCCCAUGAGCGAUAGUACCGCUCCCAUGAGCGGUAGUACAACUUGUGUGCGGGCUAAGAGGGGGUAACAGUUGGAUCUUUUCCCAAAAAGGGGGUCUUCUUCCCAAAGAAGACCACUUCUUCCUUCUCUAAGCUCCAUUUCCACCUCGUCUCUCUGACUAGCCAACAUAACUUGUUAAUUCUCUAGGGUUUGGUUGAGAGGGCCCCGAUCUACAAUUCCACCAAGAGAAAUUUGAUCCCCCCACUAAUCCCUUGCAGAUCUUAUUACUCUUGGGUGUUUGAGAACCCUAGACAGUUGAGGUCACCUCAGAGCCACAAUCCAUUAUAGUGAAGCUUCGUGGUGGUGUUGGGAGCCUCCACUUAAGUUGUGGAGAUUGCCCCAACCUUGUUUGUAAAGGUUUGGUUGCCGCCUUCAAGGCACCACUAGUGGAAUCAUGGCAUCUCGCAUUGCGUGAGUGUGUGAGGAUAAUAAGGUGUCCCUAGUGGCUUCUUGGGGAGCAUUGUGCCUCCACACCGCUCCAAGGAAGACGUACUUCCACUCAAAGGGAAGGAACUUCGUUAACACAUCCUCGUCUCUAACGACUCCACUUGGGGUUACUUCUUACCUUUUAUUUGUGCAAGAUAUAUUUUUGUUGUAUUCUUUGCUUGCUUGUAUUGUUAUUGUUGCUAGCAUCAUAUAGGUUGCUCACCUAGUUGCAUAUCUGGACAACCUAUUUGUUGCUAAACCUAAUUUGUUAAGAAAGGAUAAAAAAUGUUGGUUGCCUAUUCACCCCUCCCCCUAGUCAACUAUACCAAUCCUUCCACCAACCAAAAAAUAUCGCUCUGAUGUCCCAAAUUUUAAACAGGAACUAAUUUUGUAACUUUCUCCACAUUUCAGACAAGCGCAUCCCAAAUACAUGGUUCCCCCUCCCCCCCUCCGUUUCCCAAUUCAUACACCAUCGGUGCCAAAACACCCUCUCCACCCUAGCCAGCCUCCUCCGUCUGCCACACCAUCCUCCACCAUACCAAAGCCGCUACCCCGACCCCGUCGUCCAGUGCAAGAUAUCGACGUCUCCCAUCCACGACACCGGACGAGGAUCCUUGCAUCGCUUCGUCCACACUGUCGUCCACCUUGUCGGGGCCGCUCCUACAGACGCCUCAUCUACCGUAAUGGGACUUAUCCCCCAAUGUCGCCGUCUGUCGUCUCAGAUAUGCUUCCAUACCGCCGACAACCAUCGCACACGCACCACCCACAAUGUAUCACCAGAUGCCUACACAUCACCGCAAGAGAGGUAGUACUCUUCAUAUCUGGUCAACUUGUAUAUCUCAACCACAAAAUAGAUCGUCGCUUGUUUUGGCGCCCACUUGCUUUCCGACCACAACAUCGUUUCCUCACCGGUGUUGCCCACCCCCUGAUUGUAGCAUCAAUGGCGACAACGUCGUCACUCACACCCGAAGUCGGUGGUAGCAAAAAGUUAUGUGUUGAUUCCAGCAAAAUCAAGGGACUGUUGUACCAAAAUUAUGUGCUCGUUGCAGCAAAAUCAAGAGACUGUUGUAGCAAAAACAUGUGUUGGUCCCAACAAUAUGAAAAGUCAGUGGUAGCAACAAAAAUGUACUGGUUCCAGCAAAAUCAAAACAUGAUGGUAGCAAAUAAAUAGUCUUGUUCCAGCAAAAAUCCGAAGAUGGUGGUUGAAAAAGAAGUGGAGUUGUCUCCAUGAAAAUCAAAAGAUGGUGGCACCAAAAAUUAGGACUAGUUCCAACAAAAUCGAAAGAUGGUGGUAGCAAAAUUUAGGACUAGUUCCAGCAAAAUCAAAAGACCAUGGCAUCAAAAGAAGUGGGCUAGUUCUAGCAAAAUCAAAAGACGAUGGUAGCAAAAAUUGUGGCUGGUUCGAGCAAAAAAAAAUUGUUUUGGCUUCCUGGAAAAUUGGAUUGUCUGAAACGCCGAAUGCAUCGAGGAUUUCCUACAUCCAUGGUCUUCGGUUGUAUCAACGUCGUGUGCUGAUAGUAGCAAUGGUGGUACGCGCUCCACCUUGCAGCAUAGGUCGCGCGAGCGCCUCUAAUGGCAACGCCGACGGACUCUCACCAACGCUCACCAGUGCCACUCAAGGUGACGUCGACGGCCUCGCACCAACGCUCGACGUCGCUCGCGGGUAGUCCUUCAACGACAUGGAUGACCACCUCGAAGCGGUAGGAUUGGAGAGGGAGGCCAUGGGCGGGUCAGAGAGGUAUCCCACUGCUGUGUCAAGGGAGAUGGUGUCUGAUGAAGACAUCAAUACCAUUGUUACACCCACAACACCUGCUGAUAUACAUACAUGACCAGUUGUCAGAGCUCGCGCACGCUAAUUGAAUUACCAGGUACUUUCGUUUCUUGGAAAUCAUUCUAAUAUUUAUGAACAUAUGAUGCUGUCUAAGUUAGAUACUUUUGUUUUACCUAUGAAUGAAGGACCUCACAUGGACAAGAAGGAUGACCAUUGGAGCGAGAACAAGCAUGGAGAAGAAGGUGCGCGCGCGGGAAAGAACAAUAAAGCUUCGAGUGGUGAUUUUCGCACUUUAAAGCCACUAUAACGAGAGCAUGAAGGCUUGGACGAAAUACUAAAGACAUCACUUUACAAAUUUCGUUUGUAUGUUAUUACUCGUGUUGCGCCACCUUAUUUUUGGGCCGAGUCCAUGUGAUUUUGAAAUACCAUAUUAUAGGCUGUUUUUAGAGUUUGUAUGUGUGGGGAAACUAAGUUAGGGCCGGUUUCGGACCCCACCUCCAAGAGGCCACGAAAUUCCCCUCUAUUUCCCCAUAUAUACAGCCCUUAGGGCACCAUUUAGACUUGUGUUUUGUUUAGAUUACAAGUUCGCCAUAGCUGCAACUUCGCGUCCUUCGUUUGUGUUCUAGGACCAGACAAAGACGUCAUAGAACCCCACUUUCAUCAAUAAAGCAUUCCUCGUAUAUUCGCAAUAUCCAGAUUGCAAUUUCAGUUUUUUGCUUGUUCUUCGUUUGCGUGCAGGAAACAGACCCUCGUGGUCAGGUUGACCGUGCUUCGGCGUGAUCAAUAACCUCUCGGAGUUUCUUUUGCGAUUGCUAAGGCGCGAUGUCUUCCACCGUUCGUAGUCGUAUCGUCAAAGUCUACUUCAUCAAAAAAUGAUAGUCGCAUCUCAUGAAAAGACAGGAACAACUUCGCCUUUAUCAGUGUCGAGGUGCCAUGUUGGGCGACGGCGUGCUGGUUGUAGGCGGUGGCGGCAUCAAGCAGGAAGAGAAGGCAUGCGGGGCAGGUGGCCGUGGGAAGAGAUCACCGACAUUGGUCAGAUUACGAAGAAAUGAAAAGAUGAUUGAAAAUGAUACAAAGAAAUGGAUAAGGACGAAGGAAAGCGAUGCCCAUGAUGAGCCGCACUCACGAAUUGUAGACCUGGAUAUGUCCCUGAUCAAACAUCGCACACGUGUCCGACAUGACGCGUGAUGAGUCGUCCGAUAAGAAACAUUUUCUCUAUUAUUAAGCGUGGGAUUCAUCCUACUUUCUGUGCCCAAAAUCGUUACAUUUAAGAAAUAAUGCAAAUGUAAAAGCAUUCUAAAAACGGUUUUAUAUUACGAGACAAGGCGAGUAUUUGUUUAUAUAAGAGAUUUACUAAAAGUCUAAAACUCUACAUAAGCUAACCGUCGUUGGAUCGAACUGAGUAAGUAACUUUUUUGUAGAAUCUGUGCGUAAAAAUAGCGUUGGUCUUUUUUUGAAGUGUGGAAAUCCUUCUACUUUCCAUCGUUACACUUAAACUCGGACUUAUAGAUAAUCUAGCUGAAACGAGUCGCACACAAGGUGGUGAAAACGAGUCCCCAGGUCAUGUUACGUCCACAUAGCAUUUGCUAAUUAAAUUUGCAAGGAUUAGGCUGGGCGGAUCAGUAAAACAGAUUGCCCUGGCCUUUGAUCCUGAAGGGCAUCCCGAAGUUCUGGUACACCCUUAUCUCGCCGCUCAAGGUGGCCGUGACUACCACCAAGCCCCACGCGUUGCCGGUGUCCGAGGCGUUGGCUCCGCUCUUGCUGGCGUGCCGCGUGUCUAGCGGGCCCGAGUNGAGACAGCUCUUGCUCACCCUGCUCAGCUCGCCGCUCUUGCUCACGUCCGGCUUGGCGGCGUGGCUGGCCAUGCUGCACACCUCGUCGUUGCACGACACGACGCCAUGGUGUGACUGCGGGCUGCCUGGCAGGGACGGCGAGUGGGUCCACGGGAUGGCGGCGGAGACGUCCUUGCAGUAGAAGUUCUCGUAGGAGCGGAUGGUGCACCACGUCUUGGGCUUCAUGCCGAUGCCGAUGGCCGCCGCGGCGGGCGCGCUCCGGGUGGUCCUCCAGAUGUAGACGUGCGAAUCCUCGCUCGCGCACACCACGUACCGCCCGUCGGAGGUGUAGGCCGCCGCGAUCUGGCUGCUNNNNNNNNNNNNNNNNNNNNNNNNNNNNNNNNNNNNNNNNNNNNNNNNNNNNNNNNNNNNNNNNNNNNUUUUUGCUGGAAAAAAAUAGUAUUUAUUUAAGUGAGAGAUACCUCUGAACUUCUGGACCAUGGUGACGCCGUCGAAGACGCGGAUCUGCGAGUCGGCGGAGGUGACCAGCACUUCCGACGGGUUCCCCGGGGCAAACUGGAUGCCGUCCAGGAUGAGCAGUCUACGUUAGAUACUGGAUAGAGUCAUGGCAAAAUCAAUCAGAAUUGUGGUGUGGUGCACUGCAUACAACCCAACCUGGAAUCCGGUGAUCUUCUUGGCCUGCGACUUGCGCUUCUUGCUCUGGACGUCGAUCUGCGCCUCCGGGCUGAGCUUGCAGUCUGUAACCGCGCCGCGCCGCGAGAUUAAGCAAAACAUGAGAUACCUGCUGAAUUUCGUGAUGCAAAAUUGUACUAGUCGUACCUGCUGUCUUGUAGAACCGGCAGCUCCCUUGGUGCGAGCCGAUGAUGGCGCCCUUAGGUACAACCAACGACGGCGUGUCAGAGAAAUGUGGGCCUGGAGAAAUGUCGACGGCGCCGGGGCACACGUAUACGUACCUGGCCGUCGGGGGAAUAGGAAGUGGCGGUGACCAUCUCGUUGACGUCGGUCCAGUCGACGACCUGGCGGUUGGGGAUGCUCCACAGGCGCACCUUGGCGUCCAGCGAGCCGCUGAUGAAGUAUCGGUCAUCCACCGGGUUGAACUGGAUGCUCGUCACUGCACACGGUCGGUCCCUCCCUGCUGUUAGGAAUAGCUAGGAGUAUGAGAUGAGAGGCGCCACGGUCACUCACCGUAGUCGCUGUGCGAGAACUUCUUCAGGCAGGCCUUGCUCGCCGUGUCCCACAGCCGCACCGUCUUGUCCAUGGACGACGACAGCAACUGCGGCGACAAGAAGCCGUACGUGUCUAUGCGUGAGUAUUUUUAUUUUUUUGGACGAAAUAUGCUAGUAGUAUGCGUGAUAUGCAUGAUGAGAGAGAUGGGCAAGACCUGAUCGGACUUGGACCAGGUGAGGUCCAGCACGUCGUCCUCGUGGCCCUCCAGGACGCACAGCGCCUGCUCGGCCAGCGCGAACACCUUGUCGGGGACCACGAGGUGCUCCGGGAGCACGGUUUUGCCGCCCUUGGUCGUGGACUUCUUGGACAGCCCCGGCGCCUGCGACGACGAUCCGUCCGAGCCGCCGGGCAGAGGGGGCAGGGACCCGUCCUGCGGCACGGAGCUCGGCCUGUCUCUUAUACACAUCUCCGAGCCCACGAGACACCAAGAGUAUCUCGUAUGCCGUCUUCUGCUUGAAAAAAAAAANNNNNNNNNNNNNNNNNNNNNNNNNNNNNNNNNNNNNNNNNNNNNNNNNNNNNNNNNNNNNNNNNNNNNNNNNNNNNNNNNNNNNNNNNNNNNNNNNNNNNNNNNNNNNNNNNNNNNNNNNNNNNNNNNNNNNNNNNNNNNNNNNNNNNNNNNNNNNNNNNNNNNNNNNNNNNNNNNNNNNNNNNNNNNNNNNNNNNNNNNNNNNNNNNNNNNNNNNNNNNNNNNNNNNNNNNNNNNNNNNNNNNNNNNNNNNNNNNNNNNNNNNNNNNNNNNNNNNNNNNNNNNNNNNNNNNNNNNNNNNNNNNNNNNNNNNNNNNNNNNNNNNNNNNNNNNNNNNNNNNNNNNNNNNNNNNNNNNNNNNNNNNNNNNNNNNNNNNNNNNNNNNNNNNNNNNNNNNNNNNNNNNNNNNNNNNNNNNNNNNNNNNNNNNNNNNNNNNNNNNNNNNNNNNNNNNNNNNNNNNNAGAUGUGUAUAAGAGACAGGUUUGAGCAUGUCGCGCGCGGCGGCCAGCCCCGACGGCGGCGCGGCAACGCUCGGAGUCGGGGUGCUGGCGACGGGCAACGACGGUGGCAUCUGCUGCAUCCUCCUGGACACGCUCCGUGGCACGUCGACGAAGCGCUUCUUGGUGCUGUGGCGGCGCAGUGCGAGGUCCCGGCUGCUGACCAUCCCCAGGCCCUGGUGCAGGCGGCGGCGGCGCUCCUGGAUGGACAUGGGCUCGUCGGACAUCCACAUGUCGUACUUGGACGCGUCCUCCAUCUCCGGCUCCGGCUCCUGGUCCUCGUCCUCCACCAGCAUGCCCGCCUGGGCCCGGCGGAAGCUCUGGAAGUUGCGGUCGCCCAUGGCGGAGGAGAAGGAGCCACGGGCCUCUUCCUCGUCCUCGUCAUCGUCGUCGUCGGAGGGGUGGUCGGUGUCGAUGUGGAUGCCGGACGGCACGCGGUCCAGGCAGUGGAAGAAUGCCUCCUUUUCGCCGUCGGCGCCCCUCAUCUCGACGUCGAGUUCUUGGCCGUGCCCGAUGCGCGUGGCAUAGCACCGUGGUUCGCGCGCGCGGAGACAAGGGAGAGAGAGAGAUGGGAGGGACGGAGAGGGUGGUGGUGACGCUGCUUGUGCCAAGUUUAGGUUGGUGAUUUGAGAGGUGGACGUGUAUCAAUGAGAGAACGUUUUCCGUCCGUGUGCGGGCCGAACGUUUCCCGACGCGUGCGGUCCGUGCGAUCUUUUCUCAUCCUGGGCGGCUCACGCGGUCCGUGCGAUCUUUUCUCAUCCUGGGCGGCUCACCGUGGUGAGGCGCAUGGCAGAGGUCCAUCAUGGCAGAGGUCCAUCAUCUGUGCGCCCCUGCGCUGCUGCCGUCGACAUCGCCGGUCCCUGCCCCCAUCGACGUUCCCACCCCCGUCGGUUGCUCGCAUCGCCGGAUCCAGUCUCCGACCUCAUCCUCGUCCCCUGCCGCCAUGACCGGGCCGUGCGUAUAAGCGUCAUCCAAAAUUGCUUCAACGGUUUUCUAAAACAGCUUCAAACCCAGAUGAAAAAGCUGCAAUCAAAUAUAUAAAAAGCUGCAAGCGGUCAUCACCAUGACGGAAUGCUACAACUGUUGCUGAAAAAAGCUGCAACUAGACAUAUAAAAAGUUGCAAACGGUCAUUGCCUUGAUGAAAUGCUACAACCGUUGAUGAAAAAUGCUACAACCACGGACAAGGAUGGCCUGCAAGGUGCUUGCAUUUGUUGGCUCUGCAAGAACGGCGACCGGCGGCAAGGACGUCCGGCAAGAUGGGACGACGGGAGAAGAACCCCUCAACCACCAGGGGGUAGGGGGGAGGGGAGGGGUGGGGAGCGCUGCCGCGCGUUGGACGAGAUCAGCGAGACGCUCGCGUUCAUGGCUCGAAGUUGAGGACGAGACGAGAUCUAACGGUCAAAGGACCCCCAAUCUCACGGCUGUGCUGUGACCGGCGCGAGCGUUCAGACCGGCGCGCUGACGCCCGGUACUGCUCUUUUCAGGUGGGUGGGCUCGGUUUGAAAGAGUCGCGACGUGCAUGGGCAUUGGGCAAUGAGCAGCGUUAAGGAUCAAAUCAAAAUACAGCAACUACUUCGAUCCCAAACAAAACCAGAUGUAGCAAGCCCAAGCCAUCUUUCUUUCUUUCUUUCUCAUCAUGCUAAAGUUCCUAAGCAACAUCUCAAGCUUACACCACUUGCGAGGAACAGUUUUUAUGGAAUGAUUGAAACAUGUGCAUACACGUUGACAAGUAGAGCAGAUCAAGGAAAUGAUUCAUAUUUACGUCUGAAUAAAGUAAAGUACCGGUAGCAAGUCACACAAGGUGGAUUAUUAUUAGUUUAUUGCAACAUCGAAAUACUCCGCCUCCCUACCUUAGGCAUGUUGUCUAACCUGGAGAGAAUUGAGCUUCUUACUUAUUUCGGUGAAUUUCUCUUUUAAACACUUCAUCUGAAUUCAAGAGCAAAAUGUUAGGUUGAAGACUGAUAAUUAAGGUAGCUAUAUGGUAAGUGACUAAUUAGAAUGGUUUCAGAGACUAUCUACCUGCUUCAAUUCGAUUUCUAGCACUCGCUUCUUCUGCCCAAGUGAGUGGCGCAGUCGAGUGACACUCAAGAUGUUGUCAAGAUCGUUUUCAAAAGCUGAUUCAAGGUCUUCACGUAGAAGAGCCGCUAAUUUGUCAACAAUUGGCAUCAGGAGGAAGCAAUUGAACUGUGUUUGCAUAAUGAAUGGGCCAAAGCAUUAACAACAUAAGUAGAACAUGUCUAGACGGCUAGAAAGUGCAAGGUUUACUGCAUCCAGACCUUUAGUUCUGUAGUGACAAGAAAAUGCUCUUUGAUCCCAUGAAAAAUCUGGUGAACCAGUGCAUACACAAGUCGCUCAGAUGAGGGCGCCAGCCUUCGGUUCCAGAGCGUGCUGUCCAAGAGAUCCACCAGUCUCAUUUCUGACACACCACCUGAUGGAUUUGAGUCUGAAGGAUGACUAGAUUUCAGCUCUCCCUUUGGUCUAUCCUGUUUAUUGUCAUUCAACCCAGAGGAUUGCUCAUGCAGCCCAGCUGAGUGGGCAGUAUGUGUGUUAGCACAUAAUUGCUCCGGUGCAACAAACGAAUCGAGAAAAUGUCGCAAUCCGGCACGGUUCUGUAUCCAAUGUGGCAUAUAUCAUUAGGCAAGCCGAUAAAAAUUAACUAGUUUUAAUUACCAAGUAAAUAAAUUUCAAUAAAUUUACUUUGUUAUGAAGGGACCAGGUAACAUAACGAGUGGUGCUCUCCAAAUCUUCCAUACAUCUGCAUUACAUAUUAGAACAUGAAAAUACUAGGUCAACAGAUAAAAACAAAACAUAAGAAUGCAUCUGUGGUACCACAAAGCACCGUGAGACAAUAGUCUGACAUCACUGGUUGCAAUAUAUGCUAUGGAAUACACUGAAUAUAACGCACAGACAUCAUAUGGAGGCAACUGAUAUGGUGCGGAUAUGGUUUGCUACAUAAAAAGGAGGACAUCUAACAACAUCAGUGAAUAAAUUUCUGAAAAGGAAGCCUGGAGAAAAUAACCAGUUGGCGAAGGAUUCAGGCAUUCUAGUGGCUGCCAAGUGCCAACAUUGCUACUAGAUAACAAUAGGAAGCGUCGCUGAAGGAAAUGUACAUUAAUGUCAUAAAUUGAUGUAACUACUAAGUUAGACAACAACUUUAAGACCUCCUAGAUAGAGUCACAAACAGAUGUUUAGUUUAACAACGCAAUGUUAAUAUGAUGGCUGUAGACAAGAGGAAAUGUUAAAACAUAUAUUUAGUUGGAACAAGCCUCAAGGAGUUAGUUGCAACUGAUUUUGCAAUAUAAUGUGACUAGAGUGCACACAACCAAUAAACUGAAAGAUAAUAAUUUAAAGGUAUUGGAAUUGAGAACACCAUCACCUUUCACGGCACGAUUGCUCUGUAGAUUCAGCAAACCUGUUGAAAGCAGCUUGGACACGCUUCACAAGUACAUCAUGGCUGCUAAAGUGCUCAGCGUCCUUCUGUUGGAGUUCUACCAGAGCAUUAGUAAUGGAAAAAAAAUAAAAAUACAUGAAUUAAAUAAACCGUGGAUAGAGAUUAGUACCUCCAGCAGAAAAACAGAUAUCGGACUCAGUCUUUUCAGUAUGUACAACAGCCUAAAACUCAACUGCACCAGACAAAAGAGAAGAUUUAUUUUAAUUUAAGGGACAUAUUAAUCAGAGAAAGCUGGUAGAGGCUGUUAGACCUUUCAGCCUGAGCAUUGAUAGUUGUGGAUGACACUAGGAGAGUUGGGACAAUUUUCGUUGGUUUAUUUCUCACACAAAUGCCAUGCCAACCUGAGGGGUUGGGGAUACAUAUUUAUAGGCUGCUAGCCAGCCAAGCAUAUGCUAAGAUGCUAGUCUAAGAUGCUGCUAAGAUGCUAGUCUAAGAUGCUAUCCUAACUGCCAGUCCUUGAUGGUCAAAGAUUCUAUCCUAACAGCCACAAGGACCAUGUGCUGCAGCCCCACAAAGGACUAUGUGCUGCAGCCCCACAAAGACCAUAGUACAUAGACUUAUCCAUCAUUCUCCCCCUAAGUCUUGUACGUCGUCUUGUGGGAGAGUCGAAUCAUCCCAAUCCUGGAGCAGAGUUCGAGGAACUUGAUCCUCCCAAGAGGCUUGGUGAGCAGGUCUGCGAGCUGGUCCGUGGUGUUGAUGUAGCUCGCCUCGAUGCUCCCUUCUUCCAAACAGCUGCGGAUGAAGUGAUACCUCAGUCGGAUUUGCUUGCUCCGUUCGUGAAAAACGGGGUUCUUUGCCAGGCCAGGGCGGACUUGCUGUCCACCAGGAGCUGCACCGUUCUGGUGUCUCGGACGAGGAGAUCACCAAGCAGUCGAGCGAGCCAGAGCGCCUGAGUGCAGGCGGUGGAGGCCGCUAUGUACUCGGCCUCACAGCUGGACAGGGCCACCACCUGCUGCUUGACCGAUUGCCAGCUCACGAGACACUUGCCGAGGAAGAAGAGGAUCCCGCUCGUGCUCUUGCUGGUAUCGAUGUCGCCGGCGUGGUCGCUGUCGCUGUACCCGACGAAGUGUGCCGCCCCCGGACACCUAGGGUAGUGGAGGCCGUGGUCGAGUGUCCCUGCCACGUAGCGGACGAUCCUCUUCACUGCCUGCUGGUGCUCCGACGUCGGUCGCUCCAUGAACUGACUAACAUAGCCCACGGAGAAUGCCAAGUCCGGCCGUGUGUGGGCGAGGUAGCGAAGGCUCCCCACAAGGCGUCGGUACUGCGUAGCGUCCACUUCCUCCGUCGUGUUGUCGCGGCUCAGUUUCAGCCUCUCCUCCAUCGGAGUGAGAGCUGGGUGGUAGUCGGUGAGCCCAGCUAGCUCAACGAUGCGCUUGGCGUAGGCGGACUGUCGAAGCGCGAUCCCGGAGUGAUCCUGGUGCACCUCGAUCCCUAGAUAGAAGGAGAGGAGCCCCAGAUCACUCAUCUGGAAGGUGGCCUUCAUGUCUUCCUUGAACGCCGCCACCUCUGCAUCUUUGAUGCCGGUGAUCACCAAGUCGUCAACAUAGACGCCCACCAGCAGGGCAUUUCCUCCACUGCCCCGUCGGUAGACGGCCGCCUCAUGCGGGCUUUGCUCGAAGCCCAUCUUCUUUAGCGUGGAGUCCAGCUUGGCGUUCCACGCCCUAGGUGCCUGCCGUAGGCCGUAGAGAGCCUUACGCAGGCGGAGUACCUUGCCCUCCUGGCCAGGGAUCGCAAAUCCCGGUGGCUGAUGCACAUAGACUUCCUCCUUCAAGUCGCCGUUGAGGAAUGCCGACUUGACAUCCAUGUGAUGGACACGCCAGCCCUCCUGGGCAGCUAGCGCAAGGAGAAGUCGCACGGACUCCAUCCGUGCCACGGGAGCGAAAGCGUCAUCGAAGUCGACUCCUUCCUGCUGCAAGAAGCCUCGGGCCACCAAGCGAGCCUUGUGCUUGAUGAUGGCGCCGGCUCCAUCCCUCUUCAGCUUGAACACCCACUUAAGGGUGAUUGCGCGGUGACCACGAGGGAGGUCAACGAGCUCCCAGGUGCGGUUCUGCUCGACCGCAUCCAUCUCCAACUGCAUCGCGGCGCGCCAUGCCGCGUCUCUCUCAGCCUCUGCAAAGGACCGAGGUUCGCCGUCCUCACACGCGAGUUGUAGCUGCGCCUCCAGGUCGCGUGGCACCAGUCCCGGCACCGGCUGGUCGCCGAGUAGAUUAUCCAUCGUACGAUACCGCAGCGGUUCGCCGCUAUGACACGCGUCGAUGCGCUCCUCGUCGUGAGUGAGCGGGGAAGCGAACUUCAUCGGGUUGUGCUCUGCGUGAGCUGGUGCUAAUGAAGACGAGCCCGGAGUGGUGACUGCCGGGGCUGGAGUAUGCGGCGUCGCCGGUUGUGGUGCCGUCGGCGUAGCAGGUACCGAAGUCGAUGUAGUUUUGGGGGCUGGGGUAGACGUGCUCGGCGAAGAGGAGCUGCUUGCUCCCCCAGCUUCCUUGAAGUGGACGUACUCGACAAUGAAGUCGUCAUACGUCGGCGUCGAGCCGUCGUCGACCGCCUUGUCCCAUUUCCACCCUCGCCCUUCGUUGAACACGACGUCUCGCGCCGUGUGCACACGCUGUGUCUCUGGGUCGAGGAUGCGGUAGGCCUUUGAGCCCUCCGCAUAGCCGAUGAAGACUCCCGGAGUACUCCUGUCGUCGAGCUUGCCGGUGUGGCCGAGCUCUUUGGCGAACGCAAGGCAGCCAAAGACCCGCAAGUGGGAGACCGCCGGCUUACGCCCAUGCCAGGCCUCGUACGGCGUCCUGCCGUCGAGUGCCUUAGUAGGCGAGCGGUUGAGGAUGUAGACGGCCGUUAGCACCGCCUCUCCCCAGAAAACAGCCAGCAUCCCUCUCUGCUUGAGGAGAGCCCGAGCCAUCCCCACAACCGUCUGGUUGCGCCGCUCGACGACGCCGUUUUGCUGCGGGCUGUACGGCGCGGAGUAGUGGCGCUGGAUGCCCUCAUCAGCGCAGUACGACGCGAAUUCAGCCGCCGUGAAUUCGCCGCCGUUGUCAGUGCGCAACACGCGCAGUUUGCGGCCGCUCUCCGCCUCCACAGCAACCUGCGCGCGCCUGAUGGCGUCCGCCGCCUCUUCCUUACUGCCGAGGACCAUCACCCACAUGUAGAGAGAGAGGUCGUCGACGAGCAGCAGGAAGUAGCGUCGACCUCCUGGUGUGGCUGGCGUCACCGGGCCGCACAGAUCUCCGUGCACGAGCUCCAGCCUCUCCUUGGCCCGAAAACUCGCUUGCUGGGGAAAGGGGAGUCGUCUCUGCUUCGUCAGCACACAGAUGUCGCAGAACUGCUCCACAUGGUCGAGGCAUGGCAGGCCUCGCACCAUCUCCUUGGCACUUAGACGCUUCAGGGCCUCAAAAUGAAGGUGCCCAAAGCGCUCAUGCCAUUGCCACGCCUCGUCGUCUCGACGGACAGCGAGACAGACCUGUUGUGCCACCUGCACAUCAAGGACGUAGAGUCGAUUUUCACCUCUGGGUACCUUGGCGAGAAGGCGACGCUGGCGAUCCCAGAUGCGUAGGACCCCAUGCUCAAUCAGCACGCGUGAGCCGUUCUCAUCCAGCUGUCCCAAGCUGAUGAUGGAGUUCCUUAGCGCGGGGAUGUAGUAGACACCGGUGAGCAGCCGGUGCUCUCCCGUCUUGGUGGUGAAGAUGACGGAGCCGACGCCCUUAAUUUCCACAGCUGAGGCAUCCCCAAACUUGACGGAGCCUCGCGCGUCGGAGUCGAGCUCGGCGAAGAAUUCCCUUCGACCGGUCAUGUGGUGGGUGGCGCCGGUAUCGAGGCACCACCCCGCAGCCUUGUCCUUCCCGGAGCCAUCGCCGAGAAGAGCGUGUGCUUUUGGCUCGUCGAGGUGGAGGAGAGCCUUUGCGACUGGUGUCACUAAAGGUAGCUCGAUGCUUGCAUGCGCCAUGAACAGAGUCGUCUCCUCCUCCUCCGCCUGUGCGACGUGAGCCUGGCCUUGUCGUGGUUGUCGACACUCAUUGGCCCAAUGGCCAAGCCGGCCACAGUUGUGGCAGCUGUUGUCCUGUGCCGGCUUGGGCUUGCCAGCGACGCCUUCCUUGGCGCCUCCACGGGCGUCACCUUCGGCACGUCCUUGUGCCUUGCCGCCCCUUCGCGCCUUGCGUUGCUUGCCGCGCUUGCGGCCGCCCGUCGUGGAAGAAGGCUCCCCCUUCUUCUUGUCACCAAGGCUGGCAUCCCACUGCUCCCGAGUUAGGAGCAGCUUCCCGCCGGUGGUGAUGGGCCCCGAGGGAGGCUGUGGUUCGUCGGUGUCGACGACCUUGAGGCGACCUAUCACCUCCUCGAUUGUCAUCGUGGAGAGGUCCAGCAAAGACUCGAUCGAGCGAGCCAUCUGCUUGUACUUCUCGGGAAUGCACCGGAAAAGCUUCUCGACAGCUCUCUCCUCGGUGUAAGUGGCAUCGCCGAACUUCACCAUCUUCUGCAGCAAAGUGUUGAGACGGAGAGCAAAGUCAUCAACGUCCUCACCUGGCUUGAAGGCCAGGCUCUCCCACUCCUUACGAAGUGCCUGCAGUGUGGACUUGCGAGCACGGUCGCUGCCGAUGCGUGCCGCGGCGAUGGCGUCCCAAGCCUUCUUGGCAGUCCGCUUGUUGGAGAGCGAGAACUGCAUAUCGGGCGGGACUGCGGCGAUGAGGGCGUCCAGCGCCCGUCGAUCCUCUUGGUGGUCGACGUUGCUGUCCUGGACCGCCUCCCACAACCGCCGCACCUGGAGCCUGAUCUUCAUGAUCGCGGCCCACUCGACGUAGUUGGUUUUAGUGAGGGUAGGCCACCCAACACUGGGACCAACAUCCCUGACCACAGUCCGGACCUCGUAGAGGCCGCGGUCCUGGUCGUUGCAGCCGCCGUCGCCGUGCGCAGCUCCACCUGGAGCGAGGGCGUGCUCGGCUGCCCACUGCGCCANUAGCCGUGUGCUGAGAGCGACCUGCAGACAUGGCUCGCUGCAGGGGGGCUGUUGCGUGAAGAGGAGGCUGUUGCUGACGAGCUGCUGCUGCUUGACAGUCCGGAGGGAGGGAGGUAACUAGGGGCAGUCGGAGCAGCUGCUGCUACCGGCUUAGGCUGCUCAGCUCCCGGUGAGAGAGGUGAGCAGGAAAUGCUCAGUGUACAAGAUAACGAGGCUCUGAUACCACUUGUUAGAUCUUUCAGCCUGAGCAUUGAUAGUUGUGGAUGACACUAGGAGAGUUGGGACAAUUUUCGUUGGUUUAUUUCUCACACAAAUGCCAUGCAAACCUGAGGGGUUGGGGAUACAUAUUUAUAGGCUGCUAGCCAGCCAAGCAUAUGCUAAGAUGCUAGUCUAAGAUGCUGCUAAGAUGCUAGUCUAAGAUGCUAUCCUAACUGCCAGUCCUUGAUGGUCAAAGAUUCUAUCCUAACAGCCACAAGGACCAUGUGCUGCAGCCCCACAAAGGACUAUGUGCUGCAGCCCCACAAAGACCAUAGUACAUAGACUUAUCCAUCAGAGGCUAGGGUUCUACCAGGUCUCGGACGUAGGUUGUAGGGGUGGAAGUGCGGGCUGCGAGGUUGGGGACGCCGGCGCCGGCGGUUGGGCGCCGUCGCGGCGUGAGAGAGAGUGGCGGCUAGGGUUUGGGGCUCUCUCAGGAGACGACAACAGAAUAUACUGUUUAUUGUCUGCUUAAUAUCGAAGGGGUGCAUGUGGUUAUAUAGGAGGACAGCCUCCACUAAACCCUAGAUAACUUGGACUCUAACUUGGACUCUAAUAUAACUUGGACUCUAAGAUAGGUAAGAUAACUUGGGCUAAGCCCGUAAUUAACCCUGCCCAUUGGGCCUCCUCCGUUGGUACGUUGUACCGGUCAUAACAUCUCUCCCCGCCUUCUCAAACAGCUCGUCCUCGAGUUGAACAUCUGGAAACUGCUGGCGGAAAUCGUCGAGCUUCUCCCAAGUCGCUUCCUCCUCUGGCAGGCCGGUCCACUGUACCAAGACAUGCCAGACGCCGCGACGCUGCUGCGCCUGCAGCACCUUUGCCACCUGUGCGGAAGCUGGAAGGAGGCGGCCAUCCGAAGUAGGAGGAAGGGCCGGCGUCGCUGCAGGAGGGUCCCCGCGGUAGGCCUUCAGUAAGCCGACAUGGAAGACGCCGUGGAGGCGAGAACCAGCUGGCAGCUCCAAGCGGUAUGCGAGUGUGCCGACACGCUCCAGCACAUGAAAGGGACCGGCGUAGCGAGGUCCCAAUUUGCACUUGGAGCGCGGGUCCAGAGACUGCGUGGUCCUGUGGAGGAGGCGCAGCCACACCCAAUCGCCCACCGCGAACUCCGCCUCGCGAUGAUGAGCAUCGUAGUACUUCCGAGCCAGCUGCUGUGCUUGGAGAAGACGCUGGCGUGCCUCAGCCAGAAUGUCGUCGCGGGUGCGGAGUAAGUCGCCCGCCGUCUCGGACCGAGCCGUCCCAAGCUCGUAAGGGAGCAUCGUCGGAGGUGGGCGCCCGUAGACCACCUCGAAAGGCGUGGUGCGCAGGGCGGAGUGAUAGGAGGUGUUGUAGCAGUACUCCGCCCACGCCAACCAGUCCACCCAAGCUCGUGGACGAUCACCAGUAACACAGCGCAGGUACAUGGCGAUCACCUUGUUGACCACCUCGGAUUGGCCGUCUGUCUAAGGGUGGAACGCCGUGCUCAUGCGGAGCUUCACGCCCGCCAAUCGAAAGAGAUCCCGCCAGACAUGUCCCGUGAACACGGGAUCACGAUCGCUGACGAUGGACGAGGAAAACCGUGGAGGCAAACGAUGCCGUCGAAGAAGGCCCGCGCCACGGAGGCGGCUGUAUAUGGAUGACCCAGGGCGAUGAAGUGCGCGUACUUGGAGAAGCGGUCAACCACCAUGAGGAUGACGGACUUGCCGCCCACCUUGGGAAGGCCCUCGAUGAAGUCCAUGGAAAUAUCCGCCCACACCUGGGAGGGUACGUCCAGCGGCUGCAGUAGACCCGCGGGUCGUAGUGUCUCCAUCUUGUUCCGCUGGCACGUCACGCACGACCGCACCCAGUCGCGGACCAUCGCGCCAUCACCGGGGAUGUAAAAAUCAGCACGGAGACGAUGGAGAGUCUUCUGCAUGACCUCGUGCCCUGCAGAGUGCGCCAAGGUCAGGACCUAGUGGCGCAGGUCGCCAUGGUCGGGCACGAAGAUGCGGCGGCCAUGUAGGAGCAGCCCCUCGUCCAAGCGCCAGGGCGCGUCCAGCUCGCCGGCGUCAAGGCGCUGGCGCAGCCCCUGGGCGUCCACGGCCGUCGAAGUUGCCCGGCGAAUGUCGUCGAUGAAGGCGAAAGAUGGCCCGGAGCGAAUGCACAUGAUAGUGCCAGCCAUGGCGACGUCGUCCGCGACAUCCUCAGUGUCGCGGCGGGACAAGGCGUCGGCGACCGUGUUGAGACUGCCGGGGCGGUACUCAACAGUGAAGUUGAAGCCAAAGAGCUUGCUGAUCCACUGGUGUUGCGGAACUAUGGAGAGGCGCUGGUUCAGCAAGAACUUGAGGCUGUAGUGGUCCGUGCGCACACGGAAUGACCGGCCCCAAAGAUAAGGCCGCCAGUGGCGCACCGCCUGAACCAGCCCAAUAAGCUCGCGCUCGUAGGCCGCGAGCUUGUGAUGGCGAGCGGCGAAGGGGCGGCUGAAGAAGGCGAGCGGUCCCUCGCCCUGGUGGAGGACGGCGCCGAAGCCGAUGCCAGAGGCGUCGCAGUCCACCAUGAACGGCAUAUCAAAGUCCGGCAUCUGGAGGACGGGUCCCGUCGUGAGCGCCCGCUGGAGAGCCUCGAAUGCCGUAGUCGCCUCCUCGUCCCAGGAGAAGGCAUCGCGUCGAAGGAGACGCGUCAGUGGCACGGCGAUGAGGUCGAAGUCCCGGAUGUACUUCCGGUAGUAGCCGGCGACGCCCAAGAAGCCGCGGAGCGCCUGCGGUGACCGCGGGAUCGGCCACGCGGCGACGGCGGCGACCUUGUCCGCGUCCAUCGCUACCCCGUCCACCGAGAUGACGUGCCCCAGGUACGCGACGGAGGUCGUGCCGAACGAGCACUUCGAGCGCUUGAGGUGAAGACGAUGCGCUCGAAGCUCGUUGAAGAUGAUGGCCACGUGUUAUAGGUGCUCCGCCCAAGAUGCACUGUAAAUGAGAAUGUCAUCAAAGAAAACAAGCACAAAGCGGCGCAAGUAUGGGUUGAGCACGUCGUUCAUCAGGGCCUGGAAGGUCGCCGGCGCGUUGGAGAGGCCCAACGGCAUCACCAGGAACUCGAAGUGGCCAUGGUGAGUGCGGAACGCCGUCUUCUCGAUGUCGUCAGGGUGCAUGCGCACCUGAUGGUAGCCCGAGCGAAGGUCGAGCUUGGUGAAGAAGCGCGCUCCGUGUAGCUCGUCCAAGAGCUCAUCCACGACGGGAAUGGGGAACUUGUCCUUGGACGUCAGGGCGUUGAGGGGGCGGUAGUCGAUGCAGAAGCGCCAUGUGCCGUCGGGCUUGCGCACAAGGAGCACCGGGGCGGAGAACGGCGAUGUCGAAAUCCGGAUGAUGCCCUGCGCGAGCAUGACCGCCACCUGACGCUCGAGCUCGUCUUUCUGCAGCUGAGGGUACCGGUACGGAUGCACGGCUACAGGUGCCGUGUCCGGCAGCAGGUGGAUGCGGUGGUCACAGGGCCGCGCGGGAGGGAGGCCUUGUGGCUCGUCGAAGAUGUCGCUGUGCUGCUGCAGGAGGUCGGCCAGGAGGGAAUGCGCCUCGUCCAAUGCGGCCGCCAUCAACUGGAGCUGUGGAGUCACGGCGCCGGAGCCGCCGAUGCCUGUCCACUGAACGCAACGGCCGCCGUCGCGCCAGAAGAUGAGGGACAGCACAUCGAGGUCCCAAAGGAUGGGGCCGAGAGUGGACAGGAAGUCGAUGCCGAGGAUGAAGUCGUACCAACCCAGGUCGAUGCCGACGCAGUCGAUGGAGAACGGCUCGUCGCCGAUGAGGACGGGAACCUGUCGCGCCAUCCCCUGGCAAGCAAGGCGGUCCCCGUUGGCGACGGUGACGCUGAACUUCUCCGAGCCCGCCGGUUAGAGUGCGAGGCGGCGCAUGGCGUCCCCGGAUAGGAAAUUGUGCGUCGAACCCAUGUCCACGAGCGCGGUGAGACGCUCCCCGUUGAUCGUCACCGGAAGCAGCAUCGUCUUUGCCGUCUUGAUGCCAGCCAUGGCAUGAAGGGAGACGACGAAGGCGGUCGCGUCGACCGGCCCGUAGGUCGUGACGCCGGCCUCGGAGAGUGUGGUGGCGUCGAGCUCCGCGGUGAGGGCCUCCACCUCCGCGUCGUCGACGGUCUCCAAGUAGAACAGGCGGGCGCACGUAUGACCCGGCGCAUACGGCUCGUCGCAGUUGAAGCACAGGCCCUUGCGGCGGCGGUCGAGCUGCNNNNNNNNNNNNNNNNNNNNNNNNNNNNNNNNNNNNNNNNNNNNNNNNNNNNNNNNNNNNNNNNNNNNNNNNNNNNNNNNNNNNNNNNNNNNNNNNNNNNNNNNNNNNNNNNNNNNNNNNNNNNNNNNNNNNNNNNNNNNNNNNNNNNNNNNNNNNNNNNNNNNNNNNNNNNNNNNNNNNNNNNNNNNNNNNNNNNNNNNNNNNNNNNNNNNNNNNNNNNNNNNNNNNNNNNNNNNNNNNNNNNNNNNNNNNNNNNNNNNNNNNNNNNNNNNNNNNNNNNNNNNNNNNNNNNNNNNNNNNNNNNNNNNNNNNNNNNNNNNNNNNNNNNNNNNNNNNNNNNNNNNNNNNNNNNNNNNNNNNNNNNNNNNNNNNNNNNNNNNNNNNNNNNNNNNNNNNNNNNNNNNNNNNNNNNNNNNNNNNNNNNNNNNNNNNNNNNNNNNNNNNNNNNNNNNNNNNNNNNNNNNNNNNNNNNNNNNNNNNNNNNNNNNNNNNNNNNNNNNNNNNNNNNNNNNNNNNNNNNNNNNNNNNNNNNNNNNNNNNNNNNNNNNNNNNNNNNNNNNNNNNNNNNNNNNNNNNNNNNNNNNNNNNNNNNNNNNNNNNNNNNNNNNNNNNNNNNNNNNNNNNNNNNNNNNNNNNNNNNNNNNNNNNNNNNNNNNNNNNNNNNNNNNNNNNNNNNNNNNNNNNNNNNNNNNNNNNNNNNNNNNNNNNNNNNNNNNNNNNNNNNNNNNNNNNNNNNNNNNNNNNNNNNNNNNNNNNNNNNNNNNNNNNNNNNNNNNNNNNNNNNNNNNNNNNNNNNNNNNNNNNNNNNNNNNNNNNNNNNNNNNNNNNNNNNNNNNNNNNNNNNNNNNNNNNNNNNNNNNNNNNNNNNNNNNNNNNNNNNNNNNNNNNNNNNNNNNNNNNNNNNNNNNNUUGGGGCUCUCGUCUCGUGAGGGAGACGACAACAGAAUAUACUGUUUAUUGUCUGCUUAAUAUCGAAGGGGUACAUGUGUUUAUAUAGGAGGACAGCCUCCACUAAACCCUAGAUAACUUGGACUCUAACUUGGACUCUAAUAUAACUUGGACUCUAAGAUAGGUAAGAUAACUUGGGCUAAGCCCGUAAUUAACCCUGCCCAUUGGGCCUCCUCCGUUGGUACGUUGUACCGGUCAUAACAAAAGGCCCAACCUUAUCCAGCCACGGGGAAUUCAACUAAUCCCUCCGUUUCUAAAUAUAAGGGUUUUUAGAGAUUUCAAUACGGCCUAUAUACAGAUGUAUAUAGGCAUAUUUUAGAGUGUAGAUUCACUCAUUUUUUUCGUAUGUAGUCUAUAUUGGAAUCUCUAAAAAGCCUUAUAUUUAGGAACGGGGGGGAGUACUUUCUAAGUUUCUAUAACUAUGUUCACUUUCAUUUGACUUCAAAUGAUUUAUAUGGAAAUACUAUUCACAUGUUAGCCUCAGUCCAGAACAGAACGAAGCACCGAGCACGGAAAACAUGGUCGAUGAUUUCGUUGAAACCAUAAUCACACAAAUAAUAUGCAAGAGCUGCAGUGUGACUGUACAAGUCUGGAAUGGGCAGCCAUGAAUAAAGGUGAAGAGGGGCAUCUAUGCAUAGUUUGUUGAUAUGCCCACAGUUCAGGUGAGCUCACCAACCUGAUGAAGGAAAGGCUCAAAUGUGUCGCGUGCUUUUGCCACAGCAAUUACACAAGCAGUCCUAGCAAAACAAUAUCAAAAGUGAAUAAAUAUACUAUAUAAGUACAACAGAAGCAUUUCUAACAUGUGGAAAGAGAAUACCUGGAGUAAUUCGUCCCAUCAUGAAUAUCUUCAACACCACAAGCGUUGACUAUUUCCUCCCUAGUAAUCGGGGGGCACUUAAUACUUCCAACAACCAGACGAAAUUCAGCCAUUGCCCGAUGGUAUUGUGCACCACCGUAAAGACGCAUUCCAGCAUUCUGAGAACCAAAACGUGGUAUGCAUUUUGCAUUACAAAAAUACAUAUCAAAGACUCCAGUAGUUAUAAGAGCACAGUCAUGGUAUAUAGGUAUACAUUACAUGACGGACUGCGUUUGAGCUUUCAAGACAAAAUGUGGUUAUCUUUUCUCCACGAGAAAUUUUUGGGGGAUUAAAGGGUUGGAAAGAAGUUAUGAAGUCAAGCGAGUCCACAGCAACCCCCCGUAAACAAAUCAUCUAUUUAACCUCCUAAAAUGGACUCGACAACUAUAGCUAAAAGGAAAAUAUAGGCCACUGAGACAGAAUGAGUCAGCUUGCUCCCCACUGAAUGAAUUCCGACGCUACACAUGAGAAGAACGUCAUCCCAGCCUCGAGUAGCGCGAAUACCAGGAGGAUGGUGGGAGGGGCUUGGAGGUUCAGAAACGAUGAAACUUGAGAGGGUGGAGGGAAGGGUUCAACAUGGUUUAUGGCUGCUGAUUCAGUCAAGUUGGGGUUGGGAGGUAGAGCGAGAGGAGAGGGAGAACGAUGCGGAGCAUCCCAUGGACACCACCAUGAACCCAUCAUCCAACCCUCAAGCUCCAUGUGGUCUAAUGACAAGGGCUCGUGUGCGCGCUAUCGACACCGAGGUGACUUCCUACAUGAGCUUCCUAUACUUGCAUAUGAGACAUCGUUGCUACCUUACUCAGGAACCCUAUACAUACUUAGGUGUGAUGGAAACAAGCCUGGAGAAGUGAGGAACGAAGGCCAAGCCAUGGAGGAGAAAAAAAGGACUCAAGAAGGAAGCAAGAAGUCCCCAAAGAGCUCAUCCUGCUGAGAACCGUCUUUGAUGCCCAACUUGCAAGACCUAUCUAGACCACAUCGGAUGAACCUGGCAAAAUGUUUGUCUUUUAGUCUGACAUGUUGGAUAGUCCGACUUGAUGUCGGACUUUCCCAGGCUCUCUGGAUCAGGUCAAAUAUUACGUCGGACAUGGGGUCAGAAAGUCCGACAAGUCAGACUAUCCGACUUUGCCUGCAAGCACGAGAUUCAGGCCCAGACAUUAACCCUCCCUUCUUCAUCCCCUUCCGUCCCUAGACUAUAUAUACCGUACUCCUCCUCAUUUAUCGGGUUAGCAAAUAAAAAAGGCAGCCCGGUGCACGUAGCUCCCGCUUGCGCAGGGUCCGGGGAAAGGUCCGACAACUUUGGGUCUAUUGUACGCAGCCUUUCCCUACAUUUCUGUAAGAGGCUGUUUCCAGGACUUGAAUCCAUGACCUCAUGAUCACAAGGCAGCAGCUUUACCACUGCGCCAAGGCUCCCCUUCUUUGGAGAUCAAGACCUCCAAUUUGGAGAAGAAUCCUCUUGGAUUAUCAAGACCUCCACAUCCUUCUGAUUGGGGAAGAUUGGGAAAGAACUAUCUCUCAAGACUUCCGAUUCCUCUUGGAUUUGGGGACGAACUCCUACCCUAGUUAUCUUUUACCUUGUUGAUGUUUGGAUCUUGAGAUGUAUCCUUGUUUGUCCUUGUGAUUUGAGUACUUGUGUAUGAAUCCUUGUCCAUGUGAGUGAUUUCCUCUUGAGUGUUGUGCUUUUUUCGAGAAAGCGCAAAAAGCCUUUGCGUUUCAUUGUAUUGAAAAGAAGGGGGGGGGGGUGUUACAUCCUCCUAAGAGGCUAGUACAGCAGUGUUACAUGAGGAUUAGGCUAGUACAACAGCGUUACAUGAGGAUUAGGCUAGUACAACAGCGUUACAUGAGGAUGUGGGCAAGACUACCCUGAGCCCUUUGGCCCCGGCUCUUGCCCAACAUCUGGUCUCAUCCUUGAUCCUGUCCAUGAGCUCAUCGAGCGAUGGUGUUACAUGGUCAAAAACACACGCGUUUCUAUGCUUCCAAAUCAUCCAGGGUACCAGUAGUGCGGCCGACAUCAGCGCCUUGCGAAGCGAUAGUGGCGUGGCAUCCCUCGCCCUCAGCCACCAGUCCUGGAGUGAGGCGUCGUGUUCUGGCGACGGGGCCGGCAGGCGCAACCAAGAUAAAGAUAGGGUCUCGUGCCAGGCCUGCCUCACGAAAGGGCAUGUAAGCAGCAGAUGCCGGAUGGUUUCCGGCUCUUGGUCGCAUAGAAGGCAUCGAGGGUGAUGAUGAAGGCCGCGGCGAGCGAGCCGCUCAGCUGUCCAGCAGCGGUCCUGGUUAGUGAGCCAGUGAAAGAACUUCACUUUCGGCGGCGCCCAGCCCUUCCAAAUAAGCUUCCAGGAGCGGCAUGUCAUCGAUCCGUGGAAGGUGGCCCGGUAGUAGGACCUCGCCGAGUAGACGCCAUUGGUCGUCCAGUUCCAGACGAGCUUGUCCGGCUCGGUGGACAGUGUUGUGUGCGUCACAAGCUGCCACGUCCGCAGGUACUGCCCAAUCUCUUGCAGGCCUACAACUCCGCGGAUGUCACGUGCCCAAGCGUUGCCAUCGAUGCCCUCCGCCACCGUCCGCGCUUUUCUUCUGUUUUUGGGGACGCAUAGGUAGAGCAGGGGCGCGAGCUCGCGAAUGGACUGAUCGCGAAGCCAGCGGUAGCGGUCUUCCCAGAAUAGGGCUGUCAAACCGUUCCCGACCACCAUGGAUGUAGAGGCGUAGAAGAGGCCGCGCUCCUCAGGUGUGAACUGCAGGUCGAAGCCCUGCCAGGCACGGUCGGUGUCCGUCCUCGAUAGCCAAAGCCAUCGGAGUCUGAGGGCGAGCCCCGUGCGCUCAAGGUCUCGGACGCCCAGCCCGCCAUAUUCGAUCGGCCGGCAGACCGUGCGCCAGUUCACGUGACAGUGUCCUCCAUGGGCGACCUCUCGGCCAGCCCAAAGAAAACCACACUGGAUCUUCUCGAGUUGCUUCAGGGUUUUCUUCGGGGGCGCAGGGGCGAGCAUCUGAUGUAUGGGGAUCGCACUGAGCACUGACUUAACAAGCGCCAGCCGCCCGGCCUUGUUCAUUAGCCAGGCUUUCCACGACGGGAGGCGCCCAGCCACGGCGUCGACAAGCGGCAGCAUCUGUGCCGCUGAGGGCCGGCGCGUGGUAAGCGGGAUGCCCAAGUAAGUGAUGGGCAGGUCCGCCGUCUGGCAUCCGAGAGCCUCCAACAGAUUGGCGCUGGACUCGUAUCCGUGCAGUGUCAUGGCUGAACUCUUGCCGUAGUUGACCUGUAGUCCUGAUGCCGUCCCGAAGAUACCCAGGAUGCUCUUCACGGCGAGAACCUCAUCCAUCUCGGCGUGGCAGAACAGCAUCACAUCGUCGGCGUAUAGGGAUAUGGCUGGGAUGUUGCGGCGUGGGUGAAGGCGCCGAAGGAUGCCGGUCUGGAGUGCCCGAUGCAUGAGGCGAGCAAGCGUGUCGACAACCAAGACGAAUAACUGGGGGGAUGUGGAGUCGCCUUGGCGCAGCCCGCGGCGAUGCCAUAUCGGGGGUCCGGACACUCCAUUGAGCAAGACACGGGUGCUGGCCGAAGAUAAGAAUAUGGCCAGCCAUUCCCUAAAUCUGUCCCCAAACCCAUACUGGCGCAGAACCUCAAAGAGGAAAGGCCAUGAUAUGGAGUCAAAGGCCCGCGUGAGGUCGAGCUUGAGCAUGAUGCGCGGCGCGCCCAGGUGGUGAAGCAAACUUAGGGAUUGUCGGACGAGGACGAAGUUGUCGUGAAGCGUGCGUCCGCCGAUGAAGGCGUUCUGGUUGCGGCUCACCAGGUUGUCGAGCUUUGGAGCGAUGCGCAAUGACAGGACCUUCGCGAAGAUCUUGGCCACGAUGUGGAUCGGGCAUAUCGGCCGGUAGUCGCCGAGCUUGUGGGCGUCCGCGCGCUUUGGCAGCAGGGUUAGCAGGGCUUGGUUGAGCUUGCUGAAUCCUCGCCCGCGCAACGAAUAGAGCAGCUCAAAGGCGUCGAUGAUGUCCUACCUGAUCAUGCUCUAGCAGGCACGCAGGAAUUCGGCGAUGAACCCAUCCGGACCUGGCGCCUUGUGCGCGGGCAUGCGUCUGACCGCUGCCCAUAUCUCCUCGGGGAUGAAUGGCGCCUCCAGGUUGUCCAGGUCACCGGGCGUGAUGAGAUGCUCGAGGUCGAGCGUGUGAACCCGGUCAGCGGCUGUGCCCAGCAGCCCGUCAAAGUGCGCAAAUGCCGCAUGAGCCAUCUCCUCGUGAUCACAGAGCACUUGCCCGUCCACAAGCAGGUUGUGCACUCGGUUCUUCUGCCGGCGAUACGAGCAUUGCCUGUGGAAGAAGCUCAAGCGAGUGUCACCGUCCGCGAGGAAAGAUAUGCGAGCGCGCUGCCGGGCAAUUGUGCGCUCAAGCGAAGCCAUGCCAAGGUACGCCAUCUUUAGCUGCUUGUGCAGCCAGUCUUCCGGCGGGGUGAGCUAGCGGCACUCAAGCGCUUGGUCGAAGCGGGAGAUCAGCUCGCGAGAGAUGGCCAGUUUGUCCUGGAUGUUGCCCGUGGACUUGGCGCUCCAGCUAGUGAGGGCACGGGCCGUGGCUUGCAGGCGCCUAACCAGCCGCCGGAAGGGAUCAUGAUCGUGCACCGAGCUCCAGGCCGUGGCGACUGUGUCGUGGAAGCCAUCGAGGCGCGGCCAGUAAUCCUCGAAGCGGAAGCGCUUGUGGGCCGCGGGCAUUGGAGAGCAAUCCAACAGCAGCGGGCAAUGAUCGGAUACGACAGACGCAAGGCAGCGUAGAUGACAUUCACCAUGGUAGUCCUCCCACUCCGCGGUGCUUGAUCAUCGUGUUCUUAGUGUUUCACCUCAAAUCGACCUCUAAUUCGUGAUUACCCCGUAUCAUUUGGUAUCAUGAGCAAGGUUGCCACGAAUUGGAGCCCUCCCCACCCCCUCAUAUUUCUAGCCUAAUUUUGUUUUGUUCUUGCCAAUUUCGAAAAACCACGUAAAUAGCCUCGCUCAAUUUCGAGAUAUUAGUCUACUGAGAUUUCGUUGGAUUUGAUCCAUGGAUCCAGUGUUAUAUGAGUCGAUCUACCUUUGAUUUGCGUCCACUUGGCCAAUUUUGCCCCCAAUUUUUCUUUUUCCUACUUCCAAUUUUUUGAGUUCACUCUCGAGUUGACCCACACCUGCUUGGGCAAAGUCAGACUAUCCGACAUAGGAUCAAAUGGUCCAACUUUUUAUCUGACUGUGUAUCCGACUUUGUCCAACAGCCCACAUCUCCGGCAUCUUCACCAGCUUUGAGCUAGGACUUCAUCCACAAGAUCGACAAGUACCACUACAACGCCUUCAUUGACCAACAAGCUCACCCUCGACGACGAUCCAUCCAUCCUUUUGAUACCGACACCGGAAGCAAGGCCGGUCCCUUCCGAUUUUUUCAAGGUAGAGGUGUCGAUGAAGUAUAACAAUCGGUCACACAAACUUUACCUUCAUUGUCAUUACCCUUAUGAGCCAUCCAUUCCUUUGCGAAAACCUUGAUCCUAUGCUCAUCGAGUAUUGUCGGGCAUCGAUCACUUGUCUUCCUUAGUCACCUCGAUCUCAUUGAUCUUUCGGUACCUUGUGAGGUUUGUUUUGGACCCUCGCAUUAUCUUGAUAGCUAUACUCUUGUGAUUUCGAUGUUGGCUCAAAGAGAAAAUGCAAAAGCAAGAAAAAGAAAUAUCAAAUAAAUUGUAUGCAAAAAGGUGCAAAGAACAAAAAAAAACGAGUGCCAAGGAUACUUAUAGGAAAACUUCAAAAUUUGAUAGUAGUAGAGUGGUAGUCAAGUGAUCGAAUCCUUGCCCUUCACGUGCAAUCGAGCAAGCGUCUCUUCUCGAGUUUGUGCAACACGAGCUUAGUCUUCGCUAGGUUAAUUUGGUAUGCUUAUUUACUUGGUUGCACAAGCCCCAUCAUCUUCGUGCGUGCACUUUUUUUAUUUUUGCCUCUCUAUCCUUACAAUUGAGAUCCCUUGCAUGGCAUUUUGAGUUCAUUGUGGUUCACUUCCAACUUUUACAAAAUCUUGAAUUCAGCUUGCUUGAUUUCAUGCCACCAAUCCCUACCAAGCUUCACUAUAAACCUUUGUGUGUAGGUGUGAGAUUGGACAAGGGUGAAUACCAAGUUAUUUACUUUGCAUUGACAUGUGUGACAUCGUGUGAUCCUUCACCAACAUAAAAAAGAGGUAACUUUGAUAUUGUCCAUCCCCAUUCCUACUCACAUUUUGCCGAAUAUGAUGGAUAGGGAAGGUACUUCUUGUCUGAUUUUCGACGACCAAGAGGGCCAACAGGACUUCCUCACUGAGUCUCACCACUUCAAGACUCCAAAGAGCUAUGAAUGAUGCAAAUAUCAUCUUAAAUGAGCGCAUCGAGAACCUCUUCGUUGACAUGCGCCAAUCCAAUGUCCGCAUGAGGGACCACCUCGCCGCCAAGAUGGACGUGCAAAUGGACCGCAUUCAAGAGACGCUCAACAAUCGCAAAUCGUCUUCAUCUUCAAGAUGGAACUCAAGUGCAAGUACCUCCGGGAUACCAUCCGGCGCAAGUACCACCGCUCUCGACACCACCACCAUCAUGAAGAACAAGAGCAUCAACGGCCGCCACAACCUCAGUGGCAAUGGCCUUCGAAACCGCAUUCUUGACCGUGAGCACCGAGAACGACAAGCUAAAGAUGAACGUGCAACAAUGAGCGCCACCAUCAAGAUGAAGAAGACGAGUGCAAUGUUCAUCGCCAAGAUGAAGCUCGCCGUCAAGAGCAAGCACAUGAAGCCCUCCGUGCACAACAACACAUUUAUGAAGAACAUGCAAGGCAAGCACGAGUGGCAAGACAAGAAGACGAGGCUCGCAUGGAACAAUGUAAUGAAAUGUGCCGCAUAGCAAAUGCACCUCGCAUUGCUCGCCAAGAACAAGACGAAGAGCGAGUCACCAACCGACACCCUCCACCAGAAGAACAAAGGCGACUCCACAACAAUCAAGAGGGCGAAGAACGUUUCGGUAAGCUCGAGUUCACAAUGCCAGAGUUCUCUGGCGGCACUGACCCCGAAGAAUAUCUUUCUUGGCCACUCAAGGUGGACAAGAUCUUCUAUGUCACAACUUCAGCAGUUGAAGUAAAUGGCGAUGGCCUCACUCGAGUUUGAUGAGUAUGUUCUCAUAUGGUGGGAACAAGUUAUUGAAGGUUAUUGAACGUCGACAAGAGCAAGUAGAACCUCCCAUCACUACUUAGGAUGCUAUGAAACAAGUCAUGAGGGCAAGAUUUUUGCUCACACGCUGUACUCGCAAUCUCUUCAAGAAUCUCCAAAUUAUUGAGCAAGGCACCAAGUCUCUCAAAGAAUAGUACAAGGAGAUAAAAAUCAUGAUGAUCCGAGCCAAUAUGAAGGAGUCUAGUGAGCAAACCAUGGCUCGUUUUCUCAAUGGACUCAACCACCCCAUCAAGCGGAAUGCAGAUUUCCAACCAUACAACAACACGCUAGAGUUGGUCCAGCAAGCAACAAAAGCGGAGCAACAAGUACAAGAAGAUGCCAAGUACUCCCAAGUACUCAUCCUACACAUCAAGAACCUUCAACAUCAACUCUCAAGUCUCUUCAAGCACGACGCCUUACACUCGAGCUACACCCGGUAGUGGUGCUACUACAAGCUCCAAUUCUCCGUGACUACUUCAAUUCGGCCACCUACAAGUGCCUUCAAGCCUCGCAUUAUGACAUGCACCACUCCAUGGGACAUCACCGACAAAACAAGCCAAAUUCAAUGUUAUCCUACAAGACGGGCAAUGAUCAUCGAUGACGGUGGCGAGUAUGAUUCCAGAACCGAAGGAGAAUUGGAAGCUUUGGACAAUGUUGCUCAACAUUGGCAAGUCAAUGAUGAUGAAGUUGAUCAAGUGUUUUUUGACAACGACUCAGGUCCCACCCUUGUUAUCUCCAAGAUUUUGACUAUUCAACAACCAAAGAUGUCAUAUCUUUCACACCAAAGAGGGAAUCAAUGAAAGAUCUAUCAAGGUUAUCAUAGAUGGUGAAAAUUGCCAUAAUUUGGCAAGUGAAGAGCUAUGCACCAAAUUGCACCUCAAGUACAAGCAACACUCAGGGCCAUACAAGGUGCAAUGGUUGAGUGACACCGACGCAAUCAAGGUCAAGCACGUGGUGGAAGUAUUCUUCAAAAUUGAAGUUUAUGAGGACACGGUGGAAUGUGAUGUGGUGCCCAUGACCGUGUGCCACCUAUUCCUAGGAAGGACAUGGCGAUUCGACCGUGUGCCACCUAUUCCUAGGAAGGACAUGGCGAUUCGACCGUGGAGCCAUGCACAAUGGUCGCACCAACCAUUAUAGCUUCAAGUGGAAGGGCAAGGAGUAUGUGCUACGUCCCAUGUCACCCAAUCAGGUCAUUGCCGACAAGGCACAAGCUCCACCAAGACAUUCACAUGAUCAUGGAGAACCUAGUGGGCGAGAGAACCACAAUAAAGUGAGUGAGCGUCACAAGCAAAAAAAUGAGUGUCUCCAUGAUGAGUGCCAACAAGGACAUAGUUCUCUUAUCCACCAAAAGAGAUUUGAGGGAAGUGAGCGAGAGCCCAUCACAUGUGCUCCACUUUGUACUUUUGUACAAAGAGGAAGCCAUUUUGACUAACGACUCACCCCCACUUCCUAUCUUUGUCUCGUGUUUUGCAUGAAUUUGAGGGUGUGUUCCCACUGAGACGCCAUCGGGCCUUCCUCCACUAUGCGGGAUUGAACAUAGGGUAGAUCUCAUUCCUGACGCACCACUACCAAACCGACCCCUUACCGCGUCAGCCCCGAGGAGACAAAGAAAUCCAACACCAAGUACAAGACCUCCUCAACAAAGGGCAUGUUCGUGAAAGUCUUAGUCCUUGUGUGGUACCAGCUAUCAUUGUCCCUAAGAAAGAUGGCACUUGGCGCAUGUGUUGUGAUUGCCGCCCGAUAAACAACAUUACGGUUUGCUAUAGGCACACCAUCCCACAUUUAGAUGGCAUGCUUGAUGAACACUCCAAAAUUGGUUUGAAGAGUGAUUAUCACCAAAUCCACAUGCAAAUAGGGGAUGAAUGGAAGGCGGCUUCUAAAACAAAUUUGGUUUUUAUAAAUGGUUAGUCAUACCGCCUGGGUUGUCUAAUGCCCCUAGCACCUUUAUGCGCUUAAUGAACCAUGUUCUUAGACACUUCAUUGGAAAAUUUGAUGUAGUCUAUUUUGAUGGUAUUCUCAUAUAUAGCAAACACACUGGAAAAGAACUUACAGGCAUUAUCUUGUUUGGGAGCUGGAAAUUCUCGCUUCCAGUAAAUGUUCCUCCACUGAUCCUCUCAUUAACUAAAGUUUCUCCUAAAGGCCCAAGAGUUCCGAGAAAUUGCUAGCACAACACAGUUAACAAGGACUCUUUCAAAAUGAACCGGAUGAGAUAAAACACUCACCAAACUUAUCAGGAGGCGCCACCACCAUGCCUUUCAGUAGCAAAGAUAACUGAAACACGAGAUAAUAAACAAAUCUUCAGAUUUAUAUCAAGCUGUGUUUUCCUGGGUACUAGAUGCAGUGAACAAUUCAGUAAUAUACUGUAUGUCUCAUACACAUACAAUGAAGAAAUGGUUAAUUGAUAAAUAUGCUGCAACCUAGAAGUAUAGCCAUAUAUUUAAGAUAACAUUUAAAGAUUAUUUGUUGUUCUUAUAAUACAUGAAAGAUGCUUCAUUUUAAAUAAUGUAAGACACUGUCGGUAUUUAGCUAGAGUAGUAAGCACUAAGCACCUUUGUCAAAAAUGAAUCAUGAAAUAGGCGAGCUUUCUCCUUUAGUUUUGCUUCGUCCAAAUCACUGUCCAGAUACAGAAUGCCAUUAGCAGGAUAGCAGGCUUCUUGAAUGAAAAGCUUGGCUACAAAGCACAUGAGGACAGAAGGAACAGACCGCCUUAGCUUUCUUUUCUUCAUAAACUUAGUACUUCAGAUAACCUGUUAUGCUAUAUGGAAGUGAGACUAGAACAUAGUUUUUGUUUUGUUCCUCUUUUCUUUACUAACAGUAUAAACAUACUCCAAGACAGAUUUAUUUGUCACUUUCAGGAAAUAUUGGAGGCAUUACACUGCAUUGCUGGUGCAGCAGAUGUGCAUACCAAGCUGGCUUGCAAUUAUCAGAGAAGAAAAAGGUUAUUUUCGAAAGUGCAGAGGAAAAUAGUUCAUUCACCCACUCAUCCAAAUAGCUCUAUAAGAUAAGCUUCGAAUUCCAACAGGAUAGCAUUGUACUAUAGGAAAUGGGUCACAAGUGGCCACUUAAGUGCACUGAACUAUAUACAUACUUGCUGGAAAUCAAGUUAUCACCUGAUUUCUUGUGUGACUUUGCGCAACUUCCACGAUGCAGCGCGAUGUUCCUUCUCAAGAAGUGGAAUAAUCGACGGAACACUCUCAAUGUACCUUGUUCAUAUUAAUUUGUAUGAAUCCACAGAUACAAAGAAUGAUGAAAAACUAUAUGCUCUGGCCUCUGGCUCUGCAAAUAAUAUACAAGAAUACCUGUUCUGCAGCAAUUCUUCCAAAAAUAAUCUUAAGUUACUCACUCCUAUCCUGUUCUUCUCCUCCCUUGUAAGUGACCUUCCUAGCUUGUCUUCAAGAGAUGUAACAUCAUCCAACUCUCUCAGUGAAAUUGCCUGCAGAACCUAGAAAAAUUAGAUGCCUUCCAAGGAUCCAGUAACACAAAAGGUUCUUGAUAACUACACAGUACAGAUAGGAGAAAAGGCAAAUCAUAAUUGGCUAACAAGUGCUGACAGAGAAUAACCUGUCAGACCCAGGAGUGUCUGAAGAUCAACAAUCAACACAUGACAGCAGUAUUUCCCUGCAAAUAGCUCGAUUUCAGGGACGUAUUCAGGGAGUUCUAGUACAGGUAGAGGAACCUAAGCCGACCAGGAACACUGGCGGCACAAAAGGGGGAAACCCUAUAUCAAGUUAUGCCCACAAACGAGCUGGAAUUCAUGGCUUUAUAGCCUUACAAAGUGAGGUAAAAAGAAGAGGGUAAAAAUGGUGGCCGGCGUUCCUGUAGCAGGCGCUGGAGAGCCACAGCGACGCGCGCGCAGGGCAGAGCCGUCCGAUCGAAGAUGAACGCGACCCGAGGCCACCUAACUCAGCGAAGCGGUACGGCCGACAGUGGAGUGUUGGAUCGAAGAUGGACGGCUGGAGCUGGUUCGCGCCAACGGCUGGAAGUUCAAAACAUGCUGUAAUCACUGGAUGGAAACCUGCAUCUUCAGUUGGGUCCUGACAACUCCCCCCGAUCGACUCCAAGCCUGUCCUCAGGUCUGAAUGCUGGGAAUACUUUCUGGAUGAAGGUCGCAUCCUCCCAGGUAGCGUCUUGCUCUUCCAAAUUAGCCCAUUUGAUUAGCCAGCGAGCAACAGGGAUCUGGAUAUCACCCUGGGUCCUGGGGAUGAGUUUUCUAUCCAACAGUUUCUCUGGUUCGAGCACAAUAGUACCAUCUUUCAUGGAGUAGUGGCAGGUUGGGGUUUGGAAUGGCCCGAGGACCCAGAUGUUUCUUCAACUGGCUGACAUGAAAUGUGGGAUGAAGUUUGCAAUGGUCUGGCAGGAGCAACUUGUAAGCCACAGGGCCAAUUUUCUGAAUAAUUCGAAAGGGGCCAUAGUACUUGGAGUCUAGCUUUAAGCAUCUGUGAAUACUGAGUGUAGUAUGUUUGUAAGGUUGUAGUUUGAUGUAAACCAUAUCCCCCAUAUCAAGUGACCUUUCAGAUCUUUUCUUGUCAGCAUAGUGUUUCAUCCUUUCUUGUGCUUUUAGAAGAUUUGCUUUGAUCUGGGCAGCAAUUUGUUCUGCGGUGAGGAUAGAAGAGAAUUCUUGAGCUUGUUCAGCAGGGUACAAAGCAGCUUCAGCCAGCAUGCUGGGUGGUCUGUUGUAAAGUGCCUGAAAAGGGGUGAUUUUUAAUGAUGUGUGGUAGCUUGUAUUGUACCACCAUUCAGCCAGAGGAAGCCAGUUCAUCCAUUUCUUGGAUUGCAAGAAGGCCAUGCAUCUGAGGUAGUUUUCCAGACACUGAUUAACUCUUUCAGUUUGCCCAUCUGAUUGAGGGUGGUAUGAGGUGCUCAUUUCAAGUUUGAUGCCCAAUUUCUUGAAAAGUUCUUGUCAAAGGAGGCUAGUGAAAAUUCUGUCUCUGUCAGUAACAAUGACUGAGGGUAGGCCAUGCAGUUUGAAGAUGUUUUCAGUAAAAGUUGUUGCUACAGUGCUGACUGUAAUUGGGUGUUUCAUUGCAAUGAAAUGCCCAUAUUUGGUGAAUCUAUCAACCACAACCAGAAUCAUGUCCUUGUUUUGGGAGGUGGGUAGCCCUUCAAUAAAAUCCAUGCUAAUGUGACACCAAGCAAAAUCAGGGACUGGGAGAGGCUGCAAUAAUCCAGGGUAUUUGCAGCGUUCAGGUUUGUUGAUUUGACAUGUUGGACACUGCUUGAUGUAAUCAACAAUGAAUUGUUUCAUUUCAGGCCAAUGGAAUAGGAGUUUGAGUCUCUGAUAUGUGGCCCUGUGUCCAGAAUGGCCACCCAAUUCAGAGUUGUGUAGGACAGCUACCAGCUUAGUUCUGAGAUUAUUGUCUUUGCCAAUGAAAAUUCUGUUUUUGUACCUUAUGAUGCCCUGUUGAAGUACAUAGUUUGGGAUGGCAGUUGCAGAGAUUGCAUGUUGGGAGAGCAGAUCUUUGCAUCUCUGGUCUUGUGCAUAGCUGGAUAUUACUUCAGAUAUCCACACUGAUUUUGCUUGACUUGCAACCAAUGAGUGUAGACUGUAUUUUACUCUAGAUAGAGCAUCAGCAACCUUGUUGUUCUUUCCUUGCUUAUUCAACUUUAAAGUUGUAAGCCAACAGCUUGAUGAGUAAUUUGUGUUGAACCCCUUCUAUGAGUUUCUGUUCCUGAAUGUAUUUCAAACUUUGCUGAUCAGUUCUUAUGAUCAAUGAUGAUGCAGCAAAGUAGUGCUUCCAAUGUUUCAAAGCUUCAAUAAUGGCCAUAGCCUCUUUGUCAUAAGUGGACAUAGCAGCAGCUUUGGGGCCAAUUGUUUUGCUGAAGUACGACAGGGGUCUGCCCUCCUGCAUAAGUACAACCCCAAUUCCAUAAGCACAAGCAUCUGUUUCCAAGAUGAAGGGUUGGGAAAAGUCAGGGAGGGUAAGGACAGGUGCUUGAGUCAUUUUGUUUUUCAAUGUGUUGAAGGCAUCCAUUUGCUCAUUACCCCUUUGAAAUUGUCUUUCUUUAGGGAUUGGUAUAGGGGUUUGCAGAUAUACCCGUAGUUUUGGAUGAACCUUCUGUCGUAACCAGUAAGACCUAAGAAGCUUCUCAGGUGGGUGACAUUUUCAGGAGUUGGCCAUUUGACUAUUGCCUCAUUUUUUGUGGGGUCAAUGGCAACUCCAUCUCCUCUGAUUACAUGUCCCAAAUACUCUACCUAAGGUUGUGCAAAAGUGCAUUUACUGAGCUUAGCAUAUAGUUGGUUUGAAUGCAAGGCUUCGAGAACCAGUUGUAGGUGUUCAAGAUGCUCCUUCGGGUUUCUGCUGUAAAUCAAAAUGUCAUCAAAGAAAACCAACACAAAUUUUCUGAGGUAAGGUGCCAGGAUAGUAUUCAUGAGUUGUUGGAAAGUGGCUGGAGCAUUGGUCAAUCCAAAGGGCAUGACUAAGUAUUCAUAGUGGCCACAAUGGGUACUGAAAGCAGUUUUGCCAAUGUCCUCGUCUUGCAUUUUGAUUUGGUGGUAGCCACUUCUUAGAUCCAGCUUGGAGAACACAGUAACUCCCUUUAAUUCAUCCAGGAGGUCAUCUACGACAGGAAUAGGGUAUUUAUUUUUAACAGUUUUCUCAUUGAUCUUUCUAAAAUCAUUCACCAAUCUCCAGGUCAUGUCCUUUUUCUUGACCAGGAGGGCAGGGGAAGAAUAGGGGCUAGUGUUGUCCCUAAUUACUUUAGUUUUGAUCAUCUCCUUGAUGAUGCCUUCCAUAGCAUCCUUUUGGUGGUGUGGUAGUCUGUAGGUCCUUUGAUUAACGAUUUUACCCUGAGGGGUGAAGGUGAUGACAUGGUCAACAGAUCUUUUUGGAGGGAGAGUAAUUGGAGUACUUAAAACAGGUGAGUACUUAUUUAAGAUCUGUUGAACAGGUUCAGGCACAACAUUUUCCACUGGUUCCUGCACAGAUAUUAUGUCGAGGAAGAGUACAGCUCCACAAACAGGUUCAUCCGGAAGGCCUCCUCAUCCUUGAAAAUUUUCUUCUCCCCAUUUUCCAAAGUGAUCUUGACUUGCAUUUCAUCAAAGUCCAGCUCUACUGGGCUGAAAGAGGCCAUCCAAUCUGCUCCCAAAAUUACAUCAUAGCCCUGGGUUUAGGGUUUAGGUUAGGGUUUAGUAGUUUUUUUUUUCGAGAAAACGCAAAAGACUUUUGCGGUUCAUUGAAUUGAAAAAUAAGGGUUUUAGUACAAUCCUCCUAGGAGGCAUAUUUACAAGGUGAACACAUGCACACUAGUGGACAUCCCAUGUUUGUGGCAAGAUGGCCCGGAGCCCCAAGGCGCCCGCUCUGGCCCAGAGGCCGGCCUCUUCCUUAAUCGUAGCCGCCAGGGAGGUAACCGACGGUGUUGCACCCUCAAACACGCAUCCGUUGCGAUGCUUCCAAAUCAUCCAAGGGACGAGCAAAGAGCGGAAGCCAAUCCCUUGUGCAUAGGCGGCUUAGGGGUGUCGUGUCGUGCAGAGCACCACCAGUCGUGGAGAGUGGCAUCGUUAUUGGGCAGCGGGCAAGAGAGGCGCAGCCAUGAGAGGAUCUCGUGCCACACUUCACGGCUGAAAGGGCAUUCCAGGAGAAGAUGAUGAAUCGUCUCCGGAGCCUGAUCGCAAAGAGGGCAGCGCUGUGGGUGCGGCAGGUUGCGCCUCGCGAGGUGGUCGGCCGUCCAGCACCGAUCGAGGUUGGCAAGCCAGUGGAAGAAGCGCACCCGAGGCGGUGCCCAGCACUUCCAGGUAAGUUUCCAAGCUUGGCAUCUCGCGGAGCCUUGAAAAGUGGCAAGGUAUGCGGACUUGGCGGAGUACUCGCCGUUCGCGGUCCACUUCCAGCGAAUGCGGUCUGGUGCGUCAGUGAGGACAGUUUCGGCGAGCAUGUGCCAGAGGCGCAGGUAUUCUCCAAUCUCCGGGAUGCCAAUCAUGCCGUGAAUGUCCGCGGCCCAUUGGUUCGCGUGAAGGCCGUCCGCAACAGUUCUUGACUUGCGACGCUGUUUGGGGAUGAGAUCAAAAAGGAGAGGCGCGAUCUCUCGGAUCGCACGUCCGUUGAUCCAUCGGUCCUCCCAGAACAGGGCGCGCUAGCCAUUGCCGAUAGCCAUGAUAGUAGAGGCGAAGAAGAGCGCGCGCUCCUCGAGCGCGAAGUGCAGGUCAAGGCCGCUCCAGGCCCUGCCAGCAUCGACUCGGCUGAGCCACUGCCACCGCAUGCGAAGGGCGAAGCCAGUGCGCUCGAGGUCGUGAACGCCGAGGCCCCCAAACUGGAUGGGCCGGCAGACGCGCUGCCAGUUGACAUGACAAUUGCCUCCGUGGGCCUCGGCGCGGCCAGCCCAGAGGAAUCCUCUCUCAAUCUUCUCCAAGAGUUUGAUGGUCUUCUUUGGCGGCGCAAGCACAAGGAGCUGAUGAAUGGGGAUCGCGCUCAAGACAGCCUUGGCGAAAGCAAGGCGGCCGGCUUUGUUCAUGAGCCAGGCCUUCCAGGAGGGCAGCUUCCCAGCGACCUUAUCGAAGACGGGUUGCAGUUGGGCAGUCGUGGGGCGACGCAGCGUGAGCGGGAUGCCCAAGUAAGCGGGAAUUCGACGAUGGGGCAGCCCAGGUGCGGAACAACAUGAGCAGCGUCCACGGUGUCGCAGCGUCCACGGUGUCGCAGCGGAUGAGGGCCGCAGCGCUCUUCUGGAAGUUCACAUGCAGGCCAGAGGCGCGUCCAAAGAGCUGCAGAAUCUCCUUCACCGCCGCGAUAUCGUCCGGCGAGGGGUGGCACAGAAGAAUUACGUCGCCGGCGUAGAGGGAUAUGGUGGGGAUGGCGCGGCGCGGAUGCAGCUGCUGCAUGACUCGGAGCUCGACCGCGCGAUGAAAGAGCCUGCCCAACGUAUCGACAGCAAGGACGAAGAGCUGCGGGGAGACUGGAUCACCUUGGCGCAGUCCACGGCGGUGCCAAAUCGCUGGUCCAGGGUUGCCGUUGAGGAGAACCUUGGUGCUGGCCGACGACGGGAGAAGGGCGAUCCAACCAAGGAAGCGGUUGCCGAAGCCAUGGCAUCGCAGCACCUCGAAUAGGAAGGGCCACGAGACGGAGUCGAAAGCCCGUGCCAAGUCAAGUUUCAGCAGCACGCGAGGGGCACCCAGCUGAUGCAAUAGUCGUGCGGAUUGACGCACUAGGAUGAAGUUGUCGUGAAGACUUCGCCCGGGGAUGAACGCGUUUUGAACGUUGCUGACGAGGUUGUUGAGCCUGGGAGCUAGGCGGAGCGAAAGCAGCUUGGCCAGGACCUUGGCGACGAUGUGAAUUAGGCUUAUGGGUCUAUAAUCACCCAGGCCAGUGGCCUCGGCGCGCUUGGGGAGGAGCGUGAUCAGCGCCUGGUUAAGGCAGCUAAACCCUCGUCCACGCAGCGCGUAAAUCUGGUCAAAGACGCAUCAGAGGUCAUGCUUGAUGAUCUGCCAGCAGGAUCGGAGGAACUCCGCGGUGAAGCCGUCGGGGCCGGGCGCCUUGCGGGACGGCAUGCUUUUGAUGGCUUGCCAAAUCUCAUCCUCGCUGAAUGGCGCGUCAAGAUCUUCCAGGUUUGAGGGCUCGAUGAAUUGCGACAGGCUAAUGGUGCAGUCACGCUGCAUGUUCGUCCCAAUCCGGCUGUCAAAGUGCUCGAAAGUGGCCGCGGCCAUGUCGGUAUGAUCGGUGAUAACGGCGCCGUCGACAGAGAUGCCAUGUAUCCGGUUCUUCUGCUUGCGGUAUGCGCACUGGCGAUGGUAGAAUGUAGUGUUCGCGUCGCCAUCUCUGAGGAAGGCAAUGCGAGCGCGCUGCCGGGCGAUCGUCCGCUCAAGGGAAGCAAGGCCAAGGUAAGAGAGCUUGAGUUGACGACGCAGCCAGUCCUCAUGCGGUGAUAGGGCCCGUUGCUCUUGCGCGGCGUCAAAGCGGAGCAGCAGCUCAUGAGAGAUCGCAAGCUGGUCUCGCACGUUGCCAACAGAACGCGCGCUCCAGCUGGUGAGCUUGCGUGCUGUGGCCUGCAUGCGCCGCAUGAACCGCUGAAACGGGUCGACAUCAUCCACCGAAUGCCAUGAGGCCGCCACGAUCUCCGGGAAACCGGCGAGACGAGUCCAGUACUCCUCGAAGUGGAAUCGUCGACGCGUUGCUGGGAGUGGCGAGCAGUCGAGCAAGAGGGGGGAGUGAUCCGAGGCCAGGCAACGCAGGUGGCAUCCGCCGUGCCGCUCAUCCCAGUCCGUGGAGCACAGCACCCGAUCGAGAUGGACCAGGGUGGGCGGGUUCUGCUCGUUGGACCAUGUAUAGCGCCGGCCGCUGAGGUAAAUCUCCUUGAGCGCGAGGUCGUUGAGAACGCGACGGAACCGCCCCGUCAUUCUCCGAUUGAGAUUGUCGUUGUUCUUGUCUUCGUCACGGUAGAUCAUAUUGAAGUCCCCGCAGAUGAGCCAUGGCCCGGGGCAUGCGUCGCGGACGUCGUGAAUCUCCUGCAGAAAAGCUAUCUUGGCGUUGUUGUCCUGGGGGCCAUAGACGAUAGAUAGCCACCACGGCAAGCUCGUGCUACCAGGUGUGUUAACUCGGGCGGAGAUGGUAUUGGUGGUGAACAUCGGGUCCGUGAUCGUCACGUCCUGGCUCUUCCACGCCAGUAGUAUCCCGCCACGGGUGCCGUUCGCUGGGAGAUAAACAUAUUCAUCAAACUCAGAGCCCAACGUCUCAAGGACAGUCGACGAGUAGACGAAUUCCAUUUUAGUCUCCUGGAAGCAAGCGAUCGAAGCGCUGGAAGUUACAACUAGCGAGCGAACUGUCGUAUGUCUAGCACGGGCGUUGAGGCCCCGAACGUUCCAGUUGAUGAUUUUGAGGCCGUGAUCCAUUAGGCAGAGGCCGACAAAUGGGCUCGCGACGGCGCGGCUAGGCCUCGAUCGGGCUGCCCGAUAUCACCGUGGUGACAGGCGCCAUGGACGGGUCGGCGGGCAGCGCGCGGCCAACGAGCGCGGCAAUGGCCGUCAACACAGCAUGUGAGAGGGGCGCAGCAAAGACCCCAUCAUAAGCCUUCAUAGCCUCGGCGGAGAUCACCUGAUCGGUGCCGAUGAUGCCGAGGGUGCGCAGUAUCUGGACCUGCGCACGGCGCUCAGCGGUGGGCGGCACGCCGGGCUUGGUCUUCACAACGGUGGCAGAUCGUCCGCGGCGCGGCGAGAAGUUCAGGGGCUGUCGGCGACGUUUGCAUCCGGGGUUGGGGAGGGCAGAGCAAGUCUGCUUAGUUGUCGCGGCGAGGAAGUCUCCAAGGGUCCAGGAGCUGACAGAGGCCGGCUGUCAGGUACGUCGCAGAGUGAUUGGCGGCGUGGCAAAGCGCCCUGCGCUGCGCAUUUGAGGCGCAUGGGACGCAGGGGUGGAUUGCGGCGUUGACGGGCUUGGGGAAGCGGGCCUGUUGGCGUGGGCAUCAGGAGGCGUGGGCCUUCGCAGUAUGCUUCUGGGCUCCUGGGCCGCGGGGAGGGGCAGCCCAAGUCAACGUCCCCGAUGGCAGCGGCAGGAGGGGGCGAAGGCGCGAUGGAUGGGGUCCCACCACUCGCGUCCCACGUUGGCGAGGAGAGGGUGCCAUGCAGAUCCGGCAGGGCCGCAGGGGUGGACGUGGGCACUGCAUCAUGUGUAGUAGUGGCGGGGUCGGCAUGCAAAGCAGCAGGUGACAUAUCAGCCACAGGAGCUGACGAGGGCGAAGCAUCGCUUUGCCCCGACAGUGGAUCAGCCUCGGGAGCCACAGGUGGUGAGGAUGAGCCGUCCGGAUCCCGAAACGCGCAGGCAUUGGCCGUGGUGGGUCCAUCGCCCGAGGGGGUGUCUCCCUGCGCGCUAGGCGACGCGCACGACCGGGUCGUUGCGGGCCCGGCUGCAGGAGUAGGGUUUAGUAGUUGUAGGACUCUGAAGUCAGUUGAGAACUGGGUUCCUUGCAGGGAGAAGGGGGUGUGUAGAGCAACAAAUUCAGACCAGAGGGUCUCUCCAUUUGCUACUAUCGCAUGAAAGAGGCCAUCCAAUCUGCUCCCAAAAUUACAUCAUAGCCCUGUAGUUGUAGGACUCUGAAGUCAGUUGAGAACUGGGUUCCUUGCAGGGAGAAGGGGGUGUGCAGAGCAACAAAUUCAGACCAGAGGGUCUCUCCAUUUGCUACUAUCACAUGUCUUCUUUUGGUUGGUGAGAGAGCACAUUUUGCUAAGGCAGCAAUCUUGGGUGUGAGAAAAGUAGCAGUACUGCCACUAUCAAUUAGUGCAGCAGUAGGAGUGUUGCCAACAUAACUGUAACUAUGAAACUGAGCUUUCUGGUUGAUCUCAUGCCCAUAAGAGCAUGCAUGGAUAUUCGUAGGGGUGUAUCAUCACCAUCAAAGGGAAGGGGGCAUCAGCUUCAUCAGUGACUUCAGUAUAGUAAACCAGCUCAGCAUCCUCUGGACAAGCAUUUUGUAAGGCCUGAAUUUGAGCUUGGUUUGCUAACUUACACACCUUCUUAUGGCCAGGGAACCAAGGCUCCUUGCACUUAUAGCAAAUUCCUUUUACCCUUGCUUGUUGGAUUAUAGUAGCUGUGUUGGUGGGGCCUGGUUUGCCUGGGUCAAACUGUAAUUGCUUCCUGACUUGUGUGAAGUUAGUUGCAGUGGAAGCAUUUUUUCUUUGUGGCUGUGCUUGUUCAAUUCUUCUAGCUAGCCACAUAGCCUUUUGCAAAUCUGCAGGUUCAUGGCACUGGACAUGGUGUUGUAUAUUAUCCUGCAGUCCAGAGAUAAAACUGGAUUUGUAAUAGUCUUGUGGUAGAGCGGGAUUGUCUCUCCGCAUUAAGUACAUAGCUUGUUCAAACUUGAGGACAUACUCAUUGACAGUUCCUGUUUGAGUGAGAACAUGGAAUAACCUGACAUUAUCACAAACUGAAGUUUCAGCAAACCUGUCACCCAGCAGUCUGCAAAACCUGUACCAAGGUGGAGUGUUUGCAAUGAUUCCAGUCUCUCUCCACCAUUCAGUUGCAAGUCCCUUGAGGUAAGUUACUGCAAUUUCAGUCUUCUGUUCCAAUGGUGUUCUUGCAGCUUCAAAGUAGAGCUCAAUAGUUUGUAUCCAGGAAUCAGUGCCCAUGCCAUCAAAUUCAGGAAUAUUGUAUUUUGCUGGCUUGACUAGAGCAAGUGGUCUUCUGUUGUGAAGCACUGGUUCUCUAGUACCAUUUGCCAUUCUUCCUUCCUGGUGAGGAACUUAGUCGGGUUGUCCCUGGUCAUUGAGUAAAAGCUGUUGUGCAUUGGUUGCAGGAGGGCCAGCAGUAUGUGGUCUUGCUUCUGGAGGAAUGUGCAUGUUUGCUGCAAAGUGUGGGUGCCUGUAAGGUACUUUGUUGCUACCAUCCAGGUUGAGUUCCUUCCCCGUCUGCUUGUCCACCAGGGUGGCAGAUCCAGCAGUAACAGGAGUGUGAUGGGCGUCCUGGGGAUUCAAGGUAGGCCCGUGGGGAGUUCGGUGUUCACCACUACCCUGUGCUAUCUCUUCGGGGUUGGGUGGGUUCUCUCUUGGUUUAGGGAAACCUGCGAUGAAAUUGGACAAGGUGUUCUGUAGUUCUCCCAGAGUGCUCUGCAACGUGCCAAAACUGAUAUGCUCUUGGAAGACCUCAAAAUCGUGUCUGUCCGAUUCCCUAUUCUGUUGCAGGAUCUUGACAUCCAAUUGCAGGGAUUGCCAUUCCAGACGAUCCGAGGAAGAGGAAUCCGUCGGGCCUGUCAUCUUGUCCAGAAGGGAGCAAAAGGGUUUCAGAACUGGCCAAGAGCCAAGUAACCCUCUGCCGGAGAUCUUCGGGCAGAAAAGGGAGGAAUUUUACCACAGCCGGAGCUGCAACCCGACCUUUGCCGUCGAUCCUGCCGCCGCCAGCACCGCCGCCGGAAGUACACCGGAUUUGGGAGGGAGGGUGGGAUUUUACUGCAGAGACGGUGUGUUUCCGCAACCACAUCCCGCACCAAACCUGUACCGAAUUUCUCACCGCCACCACUACGCCGCCGGAGUUCACCAUCGCCACUAGUCCCCGGUGAGAGAGGGAGGAUUUUACGGCUCCUCCUACUCCAUCUCGCGCCGCCAAGGAGAAACCUUGCUCUGAUUACCACUUGUCAGACCCAGGAGUGUCUGAAGAUCAACAAUCAACGCAUGACAGCAGUAUUUCCUUGCAAAUAGCUCGAUUUCAGGGACGAAUUCAGGGAGUUCUAGUACAGGUAGAGGAACCUAAGCCGGCCAGGAACACUGGCAGCGCAAAAGGGGGAAACCCUAAAUCAAGUUAUGCCCACAAACUAGCUGGAAUUCAUGGCUUUAUAGCCUUACAAAGUGAGGUAAAACGAAGAGGGCAAAAAUGGUGGCCGGCGUUCCUGUAGCAGGGGCUGGAGAGCCACAAGCCACAGCGACGCGCGCGCAGGGGAGAGCCGUCCGAUCGAAGAUGAACGCGAUCCGAGGCCACCUAACUCAGCGAAGCGGUAUGGCCGACAGUGGAGCGUUGGAUCGAAGAUGGACGGGUGGACCUGGUUCGCGCCAACAGCUGGAAGUUCAGAACAUGCUGUAAUCACUGAAUGGAAACCUGCAUCUUCAGUUGGGUCCUGACAUAACCCUGGCAAAGAGGUGCUCCAUAACAUGGACAUUUAGUGUUCUAUAAAGCAGCUCUCUUUUUGCUGCUAGGUUGCAACAUUUCAUUUGUUCUUACUUGGCACUAAUCAAUGACCCGAUAGUGGUGUAACUCACCACAGACAGAUCUUGAGCACAAUUUAUUUACGUUCUGCAGUAGAAUCCUUCAUUUUUUGAACAUGUUCAUUAGUGAUACUCCAAAGACAUCUUGAUCACACAGAAGUAUACAGAAAAAUGGAGGCGUACUUUAAGGAGGCACUUUAUGGGUUUUGGGAAGUUUAAACCAUGUAUUAAUAUUUAAAUGGAAGCUAUCUAAAUUAUUGGAACCAAUAAACAGACAGGUAACUCGCAACUUUCACCUAUAACUUAACUCCCUGUUAACAUUUCAGAAACCAAAGCUCCCUCUGACAUGAUUCUACAUAUUUCUACUGUGUGACAUCCNNNNNNNNNNNNNNNNNNNNNNNAGAGAGAGAAUGUGUGACAUCCUAUGCAAGGGAAUAAUGCAUAUGGAUGAGUGAGACAUUUCCAGCAUGAUCUUCGUCCAGUUGACUGUAGAACGAGAUUUUAUUCACAUGAAAAAAGGUGGAAUCUGAUGACCAGUUGGCCUUCACAUACAUAUGGAGAAAAUUCACAGGCAACUUAAAACUAGAAUACAGACAUACCAGCAAAGACAAGCUCACAGAAAACUCAAAGUUCACAGGAGGGAGAACAGCAAGCUCUAUGGAAUAGUGUCAUUACCUUCUUAAAGUCUACAUUUGAUCUGAAGACAGCUUCAUGGCAAGAACCAACUCUCCCAGAAGGCACUGAUGUGAAAAAGGGAUGAUCUCCCAGUAAGGAACCAUCUAGAACACAAGUUGGUGGGUGAAGAAACACUUCAACAUCAGCGGCACGUGCGAAUUGUGGAAUUUUCGUGUCAAGUUUUGUGGAGACUAGAACAGUCCUUGCAAGAUCAGGAUCAACCUGCAGUACCAAAAAGGGAACACAAUGUAGCUGGAAGGCAGCACCUCCUCACUUAAUGAAGGAUUAUAUUAACUGAAUUGUCUGGUUGAAGAUUAGAAUAUGGAACAGUCAGUGCAUUUUUUAUAUUUAACAUAGCUGCCCAGUAAAAGAGUUGGAACUUGGCAAAAGCUUCAGGAGUUGUGUAGUAAAAUCUGCCUUCAUGAGACUGAGAGUAACGAUAAGUGCAUGUGGUUACUUGAGAGCAGUGAAAUAUUUUUAUGUUCUGCUAAAAACUAGUAAUAAGGUUAAAUGGCCCCAUAGAAAGUUUUGGUUUAUUAAAGUGCCUCUGAACUACUCCCUCCUUUCCUAAAUAUAAGUCUUUUUAGAGGUUUCACUAAUAGACUACAUACGGAUGUAUAUAGACAUACUUUAGAGUGUAGAUUCAAUCAUUUUGCUCCGUAUGUAGACCCCUAGUGAAAUCGUUUAAAAGACUUAUAUUUAGGAACGGAGGGAGUAGUAAUAAGAUUAAAUGCCUUCUUGAGAUAAGUGAAGUCUUGUAUGGUUAGGUUUUAGAGAUAGCAUCCUCGCUAAGGAUAACUUUUUAAAAAGAGGUUAGACAAUAAACCUAAGUUUAUGUAUUGUAUUCACAUGGAAUAGUAAGUCACAAGACAAAUUAUGUUUUGAAUGUGCAAUAGCUAAGUAUACUUGCAAUGUACUCCCUCUGUACCGGAAUAUAGGUCGCUGGAGUAGCUAAACUACUUUAGCUACUCCAGCGACCUAUAUUCCGGUACAGAGGGAGUAGUUGGUUGUACAACUCCUAUGGUAAUUUAAUAGAUGCAUUAGAGAGCAUUGCAUGUCAUCAUGUUUAAAUUUUCCUUUAAUUGGAAAAUGAGGAGAAUUCAGAACCGCGUGAUUUAAAGAGUUAAACCCUAAAAACUGCUCGUUGUUCCAAAAUGCCCUUCCAAAAACCCUAAGAUUUAGGCAUGAGUCCAUAUGUGUCAUGUGGACCCCACCCUAAAUUUAUAAGGCUUGAAUAGGGAAUGUAUGGGGGGGAUUUUGAAUUAAAUCAUAAUCUAGUUUAGUUCUUUCUUUUUUUUUGAGAAAACGCGGAGGACUUGCAUUUCAUUGCAUUGAAAAGGUGGAGUUUUGAUACAAUCCUCCUAGGAGGUCAAGUACAGGUGAAAAACAUUGAAACUAAUGCACAUCCCAUGUGGAUGGCAUGAUGAUGCGGAGGCCGUGUGCGCCGGCUCUUGCCCACUGCUCGGCCUCUUCCUUGAUCUUGGAUACCAGGACAUGAACCAGGGGCUGGGCGCCGUGAAAGAUGCAUUCAUUACGCUGCUUCCAUAUCAUCCAUGGUGUCAAUAGGGCAAUGGAGGCAAGGCCUUUACGCAUCAGUGUCGGCGUGUUCUGCCUGGCCUGUAGUCACCAUUCCAUGAGGUAGUCUUCGUGACUUGGUCCUAUGGUGGUCAUCCGCAGCCAGGAGAGGAUUUUGUACCAAGUUUGCCUGGCGAAGGGGCAUUCCAUGAGGAGGUGGCGCACCGUCUCGGGGGCUUGGUCACAGAGUGGGCAUCAUGGCUGCUAUUGGAGACCUCGUCUAGCCAGGCGGUCAGUCGUCCAAGUGUCCAACACCUGUCCUGGCUGGCCAACCAGUGGAAGAACUUCAUUCGUGGCGGCACCCAAUUCUUCCAAAUGAGCUUCCAUGAGAAGCAAGUUGUGGAGCCUUGCAACGUGGCGAGGUAGCAGGAGCUAGCAGUGUAUGAACCAGAGGCCGUCCACUUCCAUACUAGCUGGUCUGGGGCGUCUGAAAGUGUGAUGUGUUCGAUCAUCAGCCAUACACGGAGGUACUGACCGAUCUCGUGUACGCCCAGGGUCCCGCAGAUGUCUCUAGCCCAGCUAUGUCCUUGCAGCCCGUCUGCGACGGUCCUGAUUUUGCGGCGGCACUUGGGGACGCAGGUGUAAAGGGCUGGGGCGAUUUCGCUUAUGGACUGCCCGUUAAUCCAGCGGUCUUCCCAGAAAGAUGUCGUAGCUCCGUCCCCGAUGGUCAUCGUGGUGGACUUGAAGAAUAAUGCUCGCUCCUCGGCAGAAAAUUGGAGGUCCAGGCCACUCCAAGCGUGCUUAUGGUCGGUGCGCGAGAACCAUAGCCAUCUUAAUCACAGGGCUAGGCCUGCGUGCUCCAGAUCCUGAACUCCCGAGCCUCCGUGCGAUAUAGGUCGAUAAACGAGGCACCAAUUGACGUGGCAGUGACCACCGUUGGCCGCGGUGUGACCGGCCCACAAGAAUCCGCGCUCAAUCUUCUCAAUUUGACAGAGCGUCUUCUUCGACGGCGUGUAGGCGGGUAGUUGAUGUACUGGAAUGGCACUCAGCACCGACUCUACCAGCGCAAGCCGCCCAGUUUUGUUCAUCAGGUUGGCCUUCCAGGUGGGGAGUCGGCCUGCAAUCCCAUCAACUAGAGGCUGCAACUGGCUGGCAGUCGGCCGGCCAAUGGUGAGGGAGAUCCCGAGGUAGGUGAUCGGCAGGUCGACGAUCGGGCAGCCUAAGUUAGCCAAUGCGGCUAUUGCCUCGUCCGUGUCGCAGUGGAGCGGCGAGGCGGACCUCUUGGCAUGGUUGACCACCAGACCGGAGGCGCGGCCGAAGGGUGCCAAAACCUCGCGCAUGGCGAUGAUGUCGCUGGUCGAGCAGUGACAGAAUAGCACCACGUCGUCCGCGUAUAGGGACACUGUAGGGAUCGAACGCCUCGGGUGCAGCUGUGCCAUGAUUCCGGUGUCAAUAGCGCGCUUGAUGAGCCUGCCCAGGAUGUCGACGGCGAGCACGAAGAGCUGUGGUAAUACAAGAUCACCCUGUCGGAGUCCCUUGUGGUGCCAAACGGGCGGGCUUGGCUCCCCGUUCAUCAAAACCCGCGUGCUUGCCAAGGAGAGGAGGAUGGUGAUCCACUCCGUGAACCUGUUCCCAAAGUCCUAUUGGUGUAGGGCCUCCAUCAGGAUGGGCGGGCCUGGCCCCCCGUUAAUCUAAUUUAGUUAGGUUUAUAUUUUUAGAAAUAGAAAUAUAAACCUAAAAAACCUGAAAUUAUUUAUAUGCGAUUGGAAGGGUCCAAAGACGUCACAUAAAUAGUUUCAUAAAAUUUGGUACUCUUUUGGAUCCCCAACAAAAUAGACAAAGAACAUUGUAGUUGUAGCCAGCACUGUGCAAGUGAGCCCAGCCCAGCCCACAGGGGCACAGGCGUCUUCUACCUCCAGCCAGCGCGACGGGCACCUGCGUCAGUUGCGGCCUUUCCCGUCCUUAUCCUCUCGCCCCUAGCUUCCCCUCGACCUCCUCUGACGUUUCCUGGAGCUGGUGGUCAACCUUCGUUCCCCUAGCUCCCUCCCCGCAGCCUGUCCAGAGCACAGCCAUCGCCGCUGUGCUUCGCCCGCACGCCAACGGACUCCCCCAGACAAGCCAUGAUGUCAUCAAGCUUUGCUUCAUUGCGCUCUAGCUCCCCGCGAAAGUAAUCACGCGAAGACAAAUGGAAUGGAGCGAUCCAUCGCUGUCUUCUCCUCUGCACCGCAUGUCCACUCCCAGACAAACCGAGCACGCCACGUGCUCUUGGAGCUCCCUUAGGACCCUUAGUUAUCUUGGACGCGUCCCUUCCCGUGUUCGCACCCGCUGCGGAGCUCGUCGACCCCAACGACUCCGGCUUCCCCAGACCUCCUGUUGGUUGCACUGGAUGCGUAAAGGCUAACCACACAGAACCUCGGCCAGCCUCCCCAUGGCCUUCUAGUAGGACAACACCGUGAUUUAUGGUCUAAUCAAGGUUAGCUCGGUCAUUGAUGGGUGGCCCCCUACUGGUUAAUUAACACUAACUUAGCUAAUGUUAAUUUAACCCUAACUUCCAUGGGCCCCAACUGACGUAGACCGGGCCCCAUUAAUCAGCGACUGCGGCUAGCCAAGUAGUGUGGCACAAGUAUUUCUAGGAAUACUGUAUUUUGGAAAUGAUUUUAUGAUUUCCAGAACAUGCUUUAAACUUUGGAAAUUCAUAGAAAAUCCAUCCUAGCUCAUAAAAAUAUGUACAAUGUAUCAAAAAAAUCAGAAAAAUGCACACUGUUUGUUUAUGCCACGUUCAUGCAUGUAUGAGCAGCCUAAAAUUGAUGUUUAGGGCAAACAAGAAUAAUCUCUUAUCUUUAUUUAUUUGGAGUUUAGGAAAUACUAUAAAUAGAUAAUUUCCACUUCAAUGAAAUUGCUUGCUGCUGCAUUACAUCAAUUCAGCUCCAUUUUAUGCCAUGACAUGCUUCUGUGGAGUGGGCAUUGCAAUGUACUGAUUUUCGUCCUUUGCCUUUUUGGUGUUUACUUCUUCUCAAUAGAUCCAUUAUUAGAUGUAGGUUCCAACGACACCGAAGAGCAGUAUCCAUCUACUGAGCUUCUAGGCAAGCAAACCCCCUUGAACACGUUGAUAAAUCCUAAUCCUGAAACUUACAUCCUUGUUCCACUACAUUAGGGUUUACCAUUUCAACUGCCUUCAUUUUUCAAUAGCUAGAUGAAACCUAUCCUUUGCAUGACCUAUCCUUGUAACCUUACAUGGCUUAAUCUUGAUUCUAGCAUGAUUAGGACUCGCUUGAUACUCAUAAUGCGGCCCUACUUCAUGUCGUGCUUAGCCAUGCUUAGAGUUUUGCAAGUCUCGAUCCAUCAUGGGCGAUGAAUCAGAUGUGGUAGUGAUCAUGUUCAUGAUAUCAUUGGGGUAUAACUGUGAAUAUGACUAAAUGUGAAGAUGAGAGACCAUAUUGGAGAACAUGGUGGGUUGUCUCAUUUACGCCCCUCUUAGGACUCGAGUUCUCACUUCUUUGAUCCAAGACUGAGCGUACCACCACACGAGGGCAAAUGGACCCCCUCUCGACCUAUUAACUUGCCUCAGACUGGUCCAGGAGUCGCACCUAGUUUAGGCUUUCCAUUUGGCAUCGUACGUGGAGAAGGUGUGGCAUAUCUUGUUAGGAUGUGGGUCGGCUUAUCAAGUGAAGUACCAUCUCGGCAUGAUGGGCUUGGGGGGCGUGUCUCGCAAUGUUUGAGUCUGUAUCGAAGACACUAGGCCGGACUCACGAUACGGGUUCGACUCUUAGGAGUGACUCCCUGGACUAGAGUUGAGUGUAAGGUGAAAGUCAUGGUCGAUAAGCCUUUGUCGGCAUACAACGUGAAGUGUGCUAAUAUCAACGGUGUUAAGAGACGAUUGGCACUUGUGGGCAAAGUUGUACACCCCUACAGGGUUAAAUCUAUUCAAUCAUCCGUGUUUGCAGUUAUGUGACUACUUGGUGAACUAAGCUUGAUCAUAGAACAACUUCAACGAUUACUCUAAAAUUGCCAAGAUAAGUGUGAGUGCCUUGAAUUGCUUCCUCAUGGGUAGUCGAGGGAGGAUUCAUGGUAGUGUAUUGAUGUGGUGAUUAAGCUAGAUGACGGGCUCGUGUGCGCUCUCUUACCUUUGUCACACAAAACUACUUGUAGUCAUAGCUUAGAGUAGUUCCCAAGUCAAAGUUGGCAUUCUGCAAACUAGUCCAUUUACCUUUACCUCGAUACAGAUGUAGAAUAUAGCUAUUUCUGAUGCAAGUCUUGCGGAGUACAACUAUACUUUUUUUCAAGAAAACGCAAAGGACCUUUGCGCUUCAUUGCAUUGGAAAGAUAGAGUGUUGGUACAUCCUCCUAGGAGGCUAGGUUACAGAGCUAUCAAAGAGAUCAAUGGAAAUCCCAGGAUGCUGGCAAACGACCCAAAGGCCUUGAGCCCGGGCCUUUGCCCAACAUCUGGCCUCGUCUUUGAUCUUGUCGACGAGCUCAUCAAUCGAUGGGUUUACAUGGUCAAACACGCACGCAUUUCUAUGCUUCCAAAGCAUCCAAGGCACAAGUAAUGCAACAGAUUGCAAAGCCUUGCGUUGCGUUGGCGGUGUAGCUUUGCGCGUAGCCACCAGUCCAUGAGGGAGGCGUCGUGCUCAGGCACCGGAGCCAGCAAGCGCAACCAAGAGAGGAUCAUGUGCCAUGUUUGCUUCGUGAAGGGGCAUGUGAGCAGCAAGUGCCUGAUCGUCUCGGGUUCUUGGUCACACAGGAGGCAUCGAGGGUGAUGUUGCAGACCACGACGGGCAAGUCUCUCAGCGGUCCAACAUCGGUAUUGGCUUGCCAGCCAAUGGAAGAAUUUCACUCUUGGUGGCGCCCAGCUUUGCCACGUAAGUUUCCAGGAUUGGCAGAUCAUCGACCCCUGGAAGGUGGCCUGAUAACAGGACUGCGCUGAGUACACUCCGUUGGUUGUCCACCUCCAGUAGAACUUGUCUGGUUCGCCAGAGAGCGCAAUGCGUUGCACGGCUUGCCAAAGCCUGAGGUAUUGCCCGCUCUCGUGGUGGCCGAGGACGCCGUGGAUAUCACGCGCCCAUCUAUUUCCAGCGAUGCCUUUCGCCACAGUUCGCGACUUCCGGUGGCGCUUGGGGAUGCACUAGUAGAGCAUGGGCGCAAACUCUCGGAUGGAUUGACCGUUGAACUAACGGUCUUCCCAAAAGAGGGCAGUCACGCCGUCCCCGAUGGCCAUGGUCGUGGAGGCGUAGAAUAACGCCCGCUCCUCUGUAGUGAACUGUAGAUCCAGGCCCUACAAAGCGCGGCCGGUGUCCGUUCGGGCGAGCCAAAGCCAACGUAGCCGCAGCGCGAGCCCGGUACGCUCGAGGUCACGAAUGCCGAGGCCACCAUAUUCGAUCGGGCGGCAGACGCGACGCCAAUUCACGUGACAAUGCCCGCUGUUGGCAGCCGCGCGGCCUGCCCAAAGGAAUCCUCGCUGAAUCUUCUCAAGUUCUUUCAAGAGUCUUCUUUGGGGGCGCGAGUGGGGGCAUCUGGUGCACGGGGAUUGCGCUGAGCACAGUUAAUGCCAGCUGCCCGGCCUUGUUCAUCAACCAUGCCUUCCAGGUUGGUAGUCGGCCUGCCACGGAAUCAACAAGUGGUUGCAGCUGCGCGGCCAAAGGACGACGAGUCCUGAGCGGGAUGCCUAGAUAGGUGACAGGCAGGUCUACCGCCGGGCAUCCCAGUUGCUCGAUCAGCUUGGCAUUGUAGUCGUCGCCGUGUAGAACGGUGGCCGAGCUCAUGGUGUAGUUCACCUGGAGGCCGGAAGCCAUACCAAACACAGCGAGAAUGCCUUGGACAGCGGCAACAUCCCCUGGCGUGGCGUGGCAGAAGAGCAUCACGUCGUCGGCGUAGAGGGAUAUUGUCGGGAUGGAGCGGCGAGGGUGGAGUCGUUGCAGUACACCGGUCUGAAGGGCGCGUUGCAUUAGCCUCCCGAGCGUGUCCACGGCCAGCACGAAAAGUUGCGGGGAGGUGGAGUCGCCUUGGCGCAGCCCUUUAAUUAACUUGUUGCAGAGGAGGCCAUCGAUCCAUUGGUGGCUUCUACAUGGAGAUCAAUAUCGACGAGUAGCUUGGACCUUGGAGGUUCCAAAUGGCAGUUUGUUACCUUGGAAGGGUCGUUGUAUCUUAUUUUACAACCUCUUAGGCUUUCAUUAAACUUUGUCUGUAUCAGACAAUAAUUUGCUUCCACUGAUGCUUGUAGUGUGUUGGGUCAUGUGACCUCUACUUGUAAUAGCACUGCUAUGUUUGCUCUUUAGAGCCUUUGAAUAGUAUAUGUUCUGAGUCAUAGUUUACGUUGUGUUGCUUGUUGUUUCCACACACACAGCAUGCAUAAUGCAUGUAUGUUUAUAAAGUGCACAUUGUGUGUAGGGUCUUGGAAUCUUUGAUAUACACUUGCUAGCAAUUAGUCAACCCAGGGUGAAGUGACUCAUUUAAACUGAGAGUUUGGGAGCUAUAUCACUCUACUCCAACCAUGUAUUCAUUUACCGGUUGUGGCUCGCUACAGGUUGAUGCCCCGACUCAAUUAGAUUGAGUAUUGGUGUUCAGAACAAGUUCCAAUACAGGCUGGAACAGUUCGAUACAUGCUGAUAUUGUCUGAACACUAAUAUAUGGUAUUCAGGACCAGAUCCAAUAAAGGCUGGAAAGUUCUGAUACAGGUUGUUAUUGCCUGAGUAAAAAUCUCGGUUUCCUGUGCGAUGCACUGCGGCUUGACUUCUCUACCUUGGAUCUCGGGUCGACAUUGGGUGUGCUUUUGAUAUACUCUCGUGCCUAAGUUCUUUUUCACUUUAUGUACUUGGGCAUAGAACUUUCCACUUCAUAGUAGACAACUAGUUGCUUCAAGGGUAGCUUCUUAGGUAUGAUCAGUUUGGAAGACUAGGGACGCUGCUUGUUUUCAGAAGAUUUCGCCCACGGGAUCCAAGUACUGUAAUUUUUCAAAUGGCUCGCUCAUUGUCUUCUUGGGUUGGUCUUCACAAGGACUGUGAUGCAGGGUGGCCUCUGAGGUGCUCGGCCAGAGACAAGGAUGGGGUCCAACGGUUCUCAGGCUUGAGGAUGGUUAAGAACGUUCUGUGUUUCUGUCAGGGCGUUCGGGAGUACCAAACUUUUAGUUUGGUAGGGUGUCCUAGCACAUUGCCCAUGAGUUGCUACGAAGCCACAGAGAAGACGAGGGUUUCGGCCACCAACUAGGGAGAUCGUCGAAAGAUAAUAGUGUCCCAGGACCGCUGACUCGCAAUUGAAAAGUGAGCAAGAUGCACGCCGCGAGGUGUUGAAGAUUCUAAAGCGGACAUGGAAGGACCAUUGAAAGAUUUCAAAAUCAGACACGAUUUCGAGUUUUGAAAUGCAGGAGAAUGGGCAUUAGGUAGGAGACAUCACGAGGAUAGUGAUCCGGUAAGAACUCAUUAGGUAGGACGCAAGUCUAUCGUGCGUCAAACUACAUGAUAUUGUUAUCUUCUCCUAAUGCUAUGAUACAAAAUUUAGAGGGUUGGGCAGAGGAACUAAGAUCAAGACUCAAGAGCAUAGUUUUGAGCUGGAGUUUCAUUUGUGUAUAUGUUUAUUUAUGUCUUUUACAGGUUUGUUGAUCUUACAUUUGUGUAAAAGUGCAUUUGUUUAUUUGUGGCAUGUGCCACAUGUGAGUGAGAGUGCAUUUAUUAAUUUAUCUAUUUAUGUCUUCCCGGAGGUUGCUAGUCUCGUAUGUGAGCAAAAAAUACGUUUAUUUAUUUGUAACUUUUGCAAGGAUUGGUCCCACAAAUAAGUAAUAGUGGAAGAAGAGGUCGAGGAGUGAACUCAACUCACCACCAAAUCCAAAUUUUAUAAGUAGGAAAGAUUUCCAUAUGAGGGGUAGAGAAGGUACUCCACUUAUCAAGUUUGUAAUAAUAAGCUUAAGUAUGUACCUGCUGUUUGACGUUUCCUGGUGGUAGUACAUAUAGUUUUCUAUCAUGCUAGGGUCGUAGGGUAGUAGAGUUUGCUGGAUAACAGAGCAUUGUUCCUUGUUAUCCCUCAUAAUUAUCCAGCCAUUGUUGCCUUAUCAGCUCAAGGAAAUGAGACUAGGAGCAAUAAGCUCCUUCUUCAAAGAAAAUGAGAUACAGCUAGUGUGGAUUCAUCCAAGGAUGUUGGACAGGACCUUUCCAUAGAAAAGUUUUAAAAUAACAAACCUGCAUCACCACUCUCCUUGUAGUUGCAUUGCUCCAAUCACUACAAUCUUCAAGGCACAGAAUUAUGGUUUCUUUAUGCUGGAUUUUCGCAUGAACAAGGGCCUCAACAGCACAAGCCUGACUCUGCAGGUUGCAAGAUUACCAGCAAAGGUCACUUUGCAAAUAUUAGAACGUCAAAGAGUCCAGACUUUAGCAGUAAGUGCAGUUUCUGUUGAAACAAAGGAACAUAAAAAGCUACAAGGAAUUAGUGUUAACCGAUAGAGUACCUGCAAAACUCGGUUUUUACGGCCAGGAGCUGCAAGAAUGAGACCUGGAGUGUCAAUAAUGGUGAGAUUGGGGCAAUGUUUGUAUUCUAUCCUUAUUAUAAUUUCCUUCGCCGAAAAUUGGGAGGGAUCAUUCUCCAGCCUCUUGUUUUCAGCUUCAAUAUAUGCCUGAAAGUAGCUAUUGUUAUUAAAUAAUAUUGGCACGCAGUGGUAGAGGGUCAGUGAAUCAAGUAAUCCGACAACAGUUCAGUCUUAUCAAUGUUUCAAGUUGACAAUACCAACAAAGUGAUAUACUUGUUUCCUACAAAAUUAAUAAUGCAAUGAAAAAGGUACUGCAUGCUUUGCUUGAGAACCAUAGCAAUUGGGUCACGCCAUCUAUCAGGUUGUUGCAUAGACAGCACUUAUUUUAUGCAAAUCAACCUACUAGUUCCCAUAGAUUCAGUGUUCUAAGGGUGUGCUUGGUUGCGGAACGAAGUGGAAUGGAAUGUCAUGGUUCCAUGACAUUCCAUUCCACUAGAAUGGGUCGAUUCCAUUCUUAUGUUUGAUUGAGACAAUAGAUGGAAAGGAAUGGUUACAUUUGGAUGUUUUUUUGUUUAGACAAAAUAAAACGAAUUUGGUGAUUUUGAUAUGAUAACAUGUACUCCCUCCAUUUUGAUGAAAGAAGCAAUUUACAUAUAAGAACCAAUAAUUUAUGAAAGGUACGAUCUGCCACCGCUCUUGCACCUCCAGCAAAAAAAGAAUAUAUUAUAUCAUCGCUAACUCAAAAAAAGCAAUUUACACAGAAGAUGCUACAGCAGCCCCAGCAGGCUUGGUCGCCGCAGCACCAGGCAGCCGCACACCAGCAGAUCAGGCCGCUGGCGCCGCCUCCGGUAGAUCAGACCGCCGACGCCGACCCCAAACAGAUCAGGCCGUCGCCGCCGCGGGAACGGGUCCUGGGAACGCCGCCUCCUGCAGAUCAGGCUGCCGCGCACCAGUAGAUCAGGCCGUCAACGGCGCACCCAAGCAGAUCAGGCCGUCGCCGCCGCGGGAACGGGUCCUAGGAACGCCGCUGCCCCCGCAGGUCAUGCCUGUUGGAGUUAUAAUAUAAGUCAUAUACCCCUUUGUAUUUAUCCCGUUGUAUAAAGGGUUUCCUGCAUAUGUUCCACACCUGUACAUGUAUAUAUAUCGGCCUAUGGCCUCAUGGAAAUACAAGUUGCAUAUUCCUAACAUGGUAUUAGAGCUAGGUCAAUUUUAUGCACGCUGCAACUCCUAUUGAUCCGUCUCUCCUUCCCGAUCGAAGUCGCCGGCCUCGAUCUCCUGCUCCUCGAUCUCUUCCCGUCCCAGUCGACGCAGGAGGCUCUGCCUGGUGUCGAUCUCUUCCGCCGGCCUGGCCUCGAUCUCCUCUCCCGUCAGGCCUGGAUCCGUUGCCUCGUUUCAGAUCGCAGUCAAUCCCGUGAGGCUCUGCCUGGUCUCAAUCUCUCCCGCCAGGACUGGAUCCCCCUAUCUCGUCUCAGAUCAAAGCUAAUCCCGUGGUCGCCUGCACCUGCUGCUGAUCCGCCGCCGCCGUCAGCCGUCGCCCCGAUUGGAUCGCAGACUCCUCCAUCGCGGAUCACCAUCGCGCUGUUAGGAAAGCAACUUAUCUUUAUUGAAGGCCCAAGGGGCAUAUAUAUACUACACAUGACUUGAGGUGCAAGGAAAGUAAACAUAGACUAAUAAGGACUCCUAGACUAAUACUAAUACUUCCUAACACCCCCCUCAAAUGCAAAGCGUAUGCAAUAGCAUUGCAUUUGAAGAAGUGUAAUACUAAAAAAAUGAUAAUCCAAAUCCGCGUCUUGAGAGUGUCGUCGUAGCAUGAAGAGUCUUCAAAACUUGUCGAGUCGCCGAAGGAGAUAACGAAGAGAUGGCACAUCAGAGGUAGACACCGCAUCACUUAAAGAUACAAGAUAAGUAUCAAGAGAAGAUGGGUUGUCAAAAGAAGAUGACACAUCAAGAGGAAGACACCGCAUCACUUGAAGGUACAAGAUAAGUAUCAAUAGAAGAUGGGUUGUCAAAAGAAGAUGACACAUCAAGAGAAUAAAGCAUUGCGCGGAAAAUCAUAGUCCACGACAACCGUCGGCGAAAGAAGCUCGGCGGAUAAGACACGAUGGACGUAGAUCGACAAUGCAAAAGAAGUCCAGGAAAUCCUAUAGAAAACAACAAGGGCAAAUAGGCCACAAAAGUUGCAUAGAAAGGAUUAGGACCAAAGGACCAAAGAAAGGUUGACGGACUAAGGUAUGGUGGACUCGCAUGGCAUGAGAAAACACAAAAUAUCAACGGAUUUGGUGGACGCGGCGGAAUUAUAGAAACUAAAAGAACUAGGAACAACGGGGACAUGAGCACCACCUAGUAGCAGGGAACAUCACCACGUAUGAGCACCACGUAGUAGCAGGGAACAUCACCACAUAGGAUAGGAGGAAGCAGCUAGCAGCAGCACGUAGUAGCAGGGAACAUCACCACAUAGUAUAGGAGGAAGCAGCUAGCAGCAGCACGUAGUCAGGCCAGCUUGCGACAGUAGACGGAGCAGCAUGCCUGCAGCAGCAAAACGCAACCAGCCGCUAGCAGUAGUUGAAGGAAAAGCCGCACGCGGGCCAUCUUGAUCUGGCGCACGGGGGAGUGAACGCGGCGCAGUAGCCAACCAGGUCGAGCCAGUCAGCCAGAGAUUUGACCCAUUGGGCGGAUCGAGUCGGCAGCCUGUCAUGCAGGCGAUCAUGGUUGGGCAAGCGCACGUCAUGGGCGGAUGGUCAUCACGACCGCAAGUUACGGGCAUCACCAGCUUGGAUCUGGCGAGCGGAGAUCCGGAUCCAAUCGGGAUCGGGACAAUCCUGGUCCAGCGGUAGGAGAUGGGGAGUUCAGGAGCAGGGCCACCGUUCGGCGCCGCGACCUGGAGCGGCGGGAGAUGAGGCGGCGCGACCUGGAGCGGCUGGAUCCAGGAGCUGCAGCGGGAGCAGGAAGAAGAAGCCUCUCGCCUCCCUCCGCAAGAUCUGGAGCCAGCCUUGACUGGGGCGGCCCAAUCUCCUGACCUGGAGAGAGCGUUGACCAGGAAGGACCUGGGCAGGGCGCGUGAAGGGGGAGGGAGAGCAGCGCGAGACGGCCAGAGGACGAUGGCGGCAUCGCCAGGGGAGGGCGUUCGGCCGAGAGGAGGUUGGUGGCGGCGCGAAAUUGGAUCUACACGAGUUGCGUGUGCGAAAAAAUAACCUAAGGCUCUAAUACCAUGUUAGGAAAGCAACUUAUCUUUAUUGAAGGCCCAAGGGGCAUAUAUAUACUACACAUGACUUGAGGUGCAAGGAAAGUAAACAUAGACUAAUAAGGACUCCUAGACUAAUACUAAUACUUCCUAACACGCGCCAUCCCGUAGAUCCUCUGUCGCCGCCGCUGUCGUGCUGCCCUACUCCGGCCACCCUCCACUCCGGCCGCCGGAGCAUACCACUGCUCCUCCAGAUCGGAUCAGGGUUCUCCCCUGGUUGUUCUCCAAAUCAACGCUCCCGUGCUACGCCUGGUUUGAGCACUCCCGAUUGGAUCUGGUCUUCCCUGGUCGUUGACCUCCAAAAAAAAAUGGUCUACACCAGCACGCAACGUUGCAGUCCCUUGCUUCCCGUGACUCCUGACGGCUGUGCUGGUAGUUCUUCUGUUGCUCCUGCGAGCUCUACAUAUCGUGAUUGUCGCUCUACACUGACUCCUCUCGCGACUUUCAUCGGUGCAUGUCGCUCUUCCCCGACACCUCUCGCGACUUUCACCGGUUGUCCUGGUGCCUAUGACUCCAUGGACUGCUCUUCAUCCACGCGUCUUCCCUUGGCGCUUCGUGCUUGUCUGCACACGGCCUCGUCUUCUCCACCAGUCUUUGCCGACGACACUGGACAUGCUACACCGCCAUAUUUAGCGGCUUCCACAGGUGGUGGUGGUCGCUUCUCUCCUCGUGCCAUUACGUCGCCAACGUCAGUUGUGUACUUCACCGAGGACGAGAUUGCGCGACUCCGCGCCCUGCUGCUUGCCUCCGACUCUCCAUUGUCGGGUGUGUCUACAUCGACAUCUUCAGUUGCGCCCCUGACUGAGCAGGAGAUUGGACGAUUUCGAUGUCUGCUAGCUCCAUCUUUUGUUUCUUCAUCGACAGGUUCUGUUGGUUCUGGUACGGACUCUUCUGGCAUUGUGAGACCACCUUCUACACACGCUGUUAGAGCAUAUAUCUCCAUAUGUGGUUUUGGUAAUUGAUGACAAUUCCUAUGGACUAAUGGUUGCCUUAAGUUAUAUUUAUAGGAUUUGUCCAUAGGCACUUCUUGAAGUCCAUCUGUUGGGUUCAAGGAGUUUAUAUGUUGACCAAGAUGUUAUUCAAGGUAUUAUCCAAAGAAUGGUCAUAGAAACACUAGGUUGAUCAAGAUCUCAGACUAAGAGUAAAUCAAGAUGAUCAACACACAAAGCGUAUAAGAUGUACCGAGAGGAUCAAGUGAUCCCAUGGUAUGGUAAGCAUUGUCCAUUACGUGUUUGUGUACUAACCCAUGGUCUUUGUGAGACUCCUAGGUGGGGGUUAGGUGUGUUUCCAUUGGGCUUGCGUCAAAAGGAAGAUCUCAUACAACCCAUGAAGGAUGACGUCAAGUGGUGAUCGUCAUCAAGAUUGUGGUGUGCAAGUUCAAGUGGAUCAGCACGAAUAUAUCAUUGAAACUAUUGUCAAUGAUCAUGUGUUGAUAAGGACAAUCUCAUGUGCUAACAAGGACAAGAUCAAGAUAAGCAUUCUUGAGCACUACAUGCUUGGUUCUUGUAGAUGUUCACAUGGUGGACAAAUGAAGAUAAAUACAUAAGCUAGGCUUUCCGCAUUAUGUAUGGGAAAGCUACUUGAAGACUUCAUCAUGUCUUGCUUUCAACUUGAGCCAAGAAGGAACAACAACAUCAAGCUCAGGUGAAAGGGCUAACUCAAAGGUAUCAGUUUCCUUUGACGUUAGUGGUGCGGAGUGAUGAUCAGCGAAUAAAAGUAUACACUCAAGUAUGGAUCAUCAGUACUCUUUUAUGAUUCUUGAGUCCUUAGGGAUCCCGCACUAUUAAGAGGGGAUCACAGGUUUUGCGAUGAACUUGCUCAAACUACAUCAUCACUUUCUGCUCAGUCCACAUCUCCACUGUUUUGUUGUUAUCUGAAAACAGAACCAGUGCCUCGGACAUCCGGCUUUCUCCGGACGUCCGAGGACCGGAUGACCGACUAGUUCGGAAAUCCGGAAUCCUAUACCAGAGAAAUCAGAGACAUAUAACUCGGACUUCCGGCUCCCUCCGGACGUCCGAGGCCCGGAUGUCCGGCCAAGUCCCGGAAAUCCGGAAGCCUGCACCAGUAGAAGUUGAGUUCUAUAUCUCGGAAAUCCGGCUCCCUCCGGACGUCCGAGCGCCGGACGUCCGACACCCGUCGAAAAUCCGGAACCUACCACCAGUAGAAGUUGAGUUGUAUAACUCGGAUUUCCGGUCCUCUCCGGACGUCCGGUGGCUGAUAAAUUCAACAUAGGUUCAGUCGUAUCUACAGGCCUCGGACGACCGACCCCUGUCGGACGUCCGGUCGCUGUUUAAUUCAAAAUAGUUUCAGUCGUAUCUACAGGCCUCGGACGACCGACCCCUGUCGGACGCCCGGACUUCCGACAACUGUCGGACGUCCGGACCCUAUGUGACUUAAAGUGUCCCCAACGGCUCUUUUUCUCUCCCCACUAUAAAUACCCCCCUCCCACUUCGUGAGAGGGUUGCCCAACACAGCCUUAUCCUCAUAAGAACACAUUUCCACCUCACACACAUUCGCUCACUCCAAAUCUUAGAUCCCAAGAGCAUUUGUGAGCCCCUUUGAGAGUUGUUCCAAUCAAAAGAUAGAUCGUCUCCCUCUCCUUCUCUCAACCCAAGCUAUUUGUGAUUUGAGCAAGUUUUGAGCAUUCCCCGUGAUCUUGUUACUCUUGGAGGUUGGAGACUCCUAGGCGGUAGGAGUUCUUCGGAGAGGAAUCAAUCCGUGUGAUUUCCCCCGGAAAAGUUUGUGAGGGUUUAGAAGCCACCUCAAAGGCUUACCACUAGUGGUUGAGAAACGCCUUCGUGGUGUUGUCUCAAAGGGAGAAUAGGGUGAGCCUUCGUGGCGUUGGUGUGCCUUCGUGGUAACAUCCACCUCUCUAACGGUGACUAGCUUCCCUCCAAGGAAGUGAACAUCGGGAUACAUCUUCGUCUCAGUGACCUUGGUUAUCCUUAACCCUAACUCCUUACGUGUGGUUUACUUGUGUUAUUUGAGCAUACAUACAUUGCAUAUUGGUUGUGCUCAUUAUAUUGUGUUGGCUAUUUCUUGUACAAGAUUAAUCAUUCAAGCAUACCCUCUAUAUCCACACGUUCACACUUGCAGCUUUUGAUAUAUUGUGUGAUAUAGUGUGAUCAAGUAUCUUGUGUCGUUCACCUACUUGUCAUGUGAUAUAGCUCAAGUAAGUUUGUGUAACUUACUUGUGAUUGUUAGUAACUGUAUUGUGUCCAUCUUGGUAGAUCGUGUUGUUGAUACACGUUGCAGUGCCUAGUGCAUUUAGGAUUUGUGCUUGACAAGUACCCUCCUAGUUUAUUUCCGCAUUAGGUUCAAGCCAAAUCCGAAGAAGUUUUUAAAUAGCCUAUUCACCCCCCCCCCUCUAGGCGUCAUCGAGGUCUUUUCACACGCAGGUACAUCUCCGUGGGUUCUUGAUACUGGAGCAUCUUUUCAUAUGACUCAUGAUCCAUCCACUCUGUCAUCUACUCGACCUCUUGAUUCUCCUGUUCAUGUUCUUACUGCUGAUGGUACUUCUCUCCCGGUUACUGGCCGAGGCACUCUUAGCACUUCAUCUUUUCAUGUUCCCGAUGUUGCUCAUGUUCCCUGGCUUACCAUGCAGCUCCUUUCUGGUGGCCAGAUUGUUGACUCUGGUUGUCGGGUCAUUCUUGACUUUGACUCAUGUUCAGUGUUGGACUGUCACAUUGGUGCUCUUCUUGGUGCUGGCCCCCGGCGUCGUGACUCUCAGGGUCUCUGGGAGCUUGACUGGCUUCACCUUCCAUCCGCUGCCACCGCAACCAGUCUCACCUCCUUUGUUGCCUUGUCUACCAGCUCUUUUCAACAAUGGCAUCAUCGUCUGGGUCAUUUAUGUGGCUCCCGUCUCUCAUCCUUAGUUCGACGUGGUCUUCUUGGAUUCGUCUCCGGUGGUGUGUCUUUAGACUGUCAGGGCUGUCGGCUUCGUAAACAGGUUCAGUUACCUUAUCCUCAUAGCGAGACUGUGUCUCAGCGUCCUUUUGACCUUGUUCACUCGGAUGUUUGGGGUCCAGCUCCCUUUGCCUCGAAGGGAGGCCAUCGCUACUAUAUUAUCUUUAUAGAUGAUUUCUCUCGAUACACGUGGAUCUAUUUUAUGUCUUCUCAUAGUGAGGUAUUAUCUAUCUAUAAGCGUUUUGCUGCCAUGGUUCACAUUCAGUUCUCUACGCCUAUUCGUGUGUUCCGUGCUGACUCUGCUGAAGAGUAUAUCUCCAAGAUGUUGCGUGGAUUUCUCGCUGAGCAGGGUAGACUUGCUCAGUUCUCUUGUACUGGUGCUCAUGCUCAGAAUGGUGUGGCUGAGCGCAAGCAUCGUCACCUUCUUGAGACGGCUCGUGCAAUGAUGAUAGUCGCCUCUCUUCCGCCUCACUUUUGGGUUGAGGUUGUCUCCACCUCCACCUAUCUCAUCAAUCUACAACCUUCCGCUGCUCUACAGGGUGGUGUUCCUUUCGAGCGUCUUUUUGAUCGUUCUCGUGAUUAUUCGAUGCUUCGCUUGUUUGGUUGUGUUUAUUAUGUUCUUCUUGCCCCUCGCGAACGCACCAAACUAACUGCUCAGUCUAUUGAGUGUGUCUUCUUAGGCUACAGUGAUGAGCAUAAGGGCUGUCGUUGUUGGGAUCCUAUCGGUCAUCGGAUGUGUAUCUCUCGAGACGUGACUUUUGAUGAGUCUCGUCCCUUCUACCCACGCCCAUCUUCCUCGACCUUUUCAGUGGAGGAUAUCUCUUUCUUCACUUUUCCUGACUCACCUAUCACCCCAUCGAGCCUUUGCCUAUUCGUUCCGCUCCCUCUGCUUCUCCACCUCUAGUUGAUUUGCCGCCACCAUCUUCCAUGGUCUCCUCGCCUAGCAUGUCACCGGAUUAUAUACCUUCAUCUCCGGUGACUUCUUCGUCACCACCCCCCGAUUCUAACUUGGCGAUUCCUCCAUCCAUUGUUCCAUCUUUUCCUCAGUGUUACACUCGUCGUUCACGUCCUGUGGAUGUGUCGUCAUCCUCGUCUCAGCCUACUUAUGGCUUGCGUUCUCGUCCUCGUCCGCCUGUUGAUCACUUUGGAUUUCCCACCGCUGGUACUGCUGUUCUUGAACCGACUUCUUAUCGUUAUGCUGUUGUUCAUCCUGAAUGGCAGUUUGCGAUGGCAGAGGAGAUUGUUGCUCUUGAACGCACCGGUACAUGGGAUCUUGUUUCCCUUCCUCCCGGAGUCCGUCCCAUCACUUGUAAGUGGGUCUACAAGGUUAAGACUCGCUCCGAUGGUUCUCUUGAGCGUCACAAAGCUCGUCUUGUGGCUCGUGGUUUUCAGCAGGAGCAUGGUCGUGAUUAUGACGAGACUUUUGCUCCUGUGGCCUAUAUGACCACUGUUCGUACACUACUUGUCGUGGCCUCUGCACCCCACUGGUCUAUAUCUCAGCUUGAUGUUAAGAAUGCCUUUCUUAAUGGUGAGUUGCGUGAGGAGGUGUACAUGCAGCCACCACCUGGGUAUUCUGUUCCUGAUGACAUGGUAUGUCGUCUUCGUCGCUCUCUCUAUGGCCAUAAGCAAGCCCCCCAUGCCUGGUUUGAGCGUUUUGCCUCUGUGGUGACUGCCGCUGGUUUUUCAGCAAGUGCUCAUGAUCCAGCAUUAUCUAUUCACCUUUCUCCUCGUGGUCGGACUCUUCUUCUUCUCUAUGUUGAUGACAUGAUCAUCACUAGGGAUGACCCCGACUAUAUUGCCUUUGCAAAGGCCCGUCUUAGUGAGCAGUUUCUUAUGUCUGCUCUUGGACCUCUUCGCUACUUUCUUGGGAUUGAAGUCUCUUCUACCUCUGAUAGCUUUUUUAUAUCCCAGGAAAAGUAUAUCCAGAAUCUUCUUGCUCGUGUUGCUCUUACUGACGAGCGCAUUGUUGAGACUCCUAUGGAGCUCAAUGUUCACCUCCGUGCUACUGAUGGUGAUCCCCUGCCUGACUCGACGCGUUAUCGUCAUCUUGUUGGCAGUCUUGUCUAUCUAGCUGUCACUCGUCCGGAUAUCUCUUAUCUGGUUCAUAUUCUGAGUCAGUUCGUCUCCGCUCCCACAUCGGUUCACUAUAGUCAUCUCCUUCGUGUUCUCCGAUAUCUUCGGGGCACGAUCUCUCACCGUCUAUUCUUUCCUCGCUCCAGUUCUUUACAGCUUCAGGCCUAUUCGGAUGCUACGUGGGCUAGUGAUCCUUCAGAUCGUCGUUCACUUUCUGCUUGCUGUGUUUUUCUUGGUGGUUCUCUCAUUGCCUGGAAGACGAAGAAACAGAUUGCAGUUUCCCGUUCGAGUGCAGAGGCUGAGUUGCAAGCAAUGGCUCUUUUGACGGCAGAGGUGACUUGUUACGAUGGUUACUUCAGGGUUUUGGUGUUUCUGUCACUACACCGACUCUUCUCUUAUCUGACAGUACAGGUGCUAUUAGCAUUACGUGCGAUCCUGUGAAGCAUGAGCUCACCAAGCAUAUUGGUGUUGAUGCUUUCUAUGUGCGCGCUGGUGUGUAGGAUCAGCUUAUUGCUCUUCAAUAUGUGCCUUCCGAGUUACAGUUGGCGGAUUUCCUGACGAAGGCCCAGACUAGAGCACAGCAUGGCUUUUAUCUCUCCAAACUCGGUGUUGUUCAUCCACCAUGAGUUUGAGGGGGGGUGUUAGAGUUAUAAUAUAAGUCAUGUGCCGUUUGUAUUUAUCCCGUUGUAUAAGGGGUUUCCUGCAUAUGUUCCACACUCGUACAUGUAUAUAUAUCGGCCUAUGGCCUCAUGGGUAUACAAGUUGCAUAUUCCUAACAAUACCAUCGCCCUCCAGUGGCUCGGCCGCCGCACCUGCUCCUCUUCAGAUCAACACAGGGAGGGACAACGAAGAGGCGACGCAAGAUGAUUUCUCGGGAGUGAGAGGAGUGAGACCCAGACCGGUUCCGCGUGAUUCCUCCGAUUUGGAGGUAUCGGCGCGUUCCGGAUAUGGGCCAAAUAUUCCUUUGGUGAGAACCAGUUGGUUAUUGUUCCACUUGCAUACCAAACGCAGAUGACUGAAACCAAACACACCCUAAAUAAGGGUGUUAUGCCUUUUUGCAAGGCCUUUUACCAGGUAAAGGUAGCUAACCCGCUAUGAUUAUUAACAGUUCUUGGUUUGCCUUUUCUUUAAAUGGUCAAACGGGGGGGGAGGGGGGGGCGAAACUUGCGCAGGGUUUUCUCCUUCGUAAGUACGGCAUCUUGCGGCACAUUUGCAGGAGGCGGUCCAAGCUCGGCUGUUGCUCCUGGAACGCAAAGGCAUUUCGGUUCUUUCGUAGGUUCCAGAAGCAGAGCAGAAGGAAAGCAGCAGACAUCUUGGGCUGGAUGACCGCCGGGGGGUCGCACAUGUGCAGCAGCUUGACAUUUGGAGAUGGAGGAAAACGACCUCCGACGCGCCGCCAGAAGUUCAUUGCAAACUCGCACUCAAACAUGAUGUGGUUUGCAUCUUCCUGGGCAUGGCCGCAGAUUGGGCAACACACCCCAUCAGCAGUGAGGAUUUCCUUCUUGAGCAGGUCAGCAUGGGUUUGGAUGCGCGCGCAGACUACCAACCACCCAAAGAACUUCAUCCGUAGAGUGGGGUGGGGGUGAAGGAGGCUCAACCCCUCCAAAGCAGCAAAGACAUACAUCGCCACCACGCCUAGAGCCAUUUAAACAUAACAUCCUUUUACACAACUUUAGAUGGCAUACAUUAAAGGCAUCUCUGGUGAAAGACCAAAGGGGAAAUUCAAUGGUAAUUUGGACCAUGAUAACAUACAAGAUAUACGAAUACAGCAAUCAAGAUGUUCAUUUACCAUUUAAUAAUUCUCAUCAUUCUGAAUAUAUCAUGGAUUAGAAGAUCAACAAUGACAGCAUCACUGUGAAGCAUAUGGCAAGUACAAGCAUAUGACACUGGUAAAAUCCUUUUUCUUUAUGUAUACAGGAAAAACGAAUUGUGUGCUUAUUUUAUGGGAAAACAUCUGUACAAAUGUCUCUGAAUAUUCAGGAAGUCAAGGGUUUACACAAGAUUACUUCCUUAUAAAAAGCUAAAAUGUGGGAUGACCAUUCAGUAACCUUUUACCGAUACUUAGAUAUUUGAUUUAUCCAAAUGAUAACGCCCACACGUGUGGUAUAUCUGUACUUCACCCACACGUGUGGUAUAUCUGUACUUCGCCCACACGCAUUGUUCUCCGUCUAUUACGUUUUGUACGAAUCUUGAAAGAAUUUCUUGGAAUUUCAGUGACACGUAGGCAUGCGUGUUGUGUGGGUGUUAGAGCGCUCGCCCACACGACGAAUUUCAGUGCCACGUAGGCAUAGCGUGUUGUGUGUGUGUUAGAGCGCUCGCCCACAUGACCCACAGGGCGCGGUUGCCAGCUGCGCCAUGUGGGCGAACCAGUUCUCGCCCACACAGUCACCACCCAGUCCGUGCGCGUGUGGGUGAACUGCUCUUCUCCCACACGACGGUUGUAGGGUGCUAGAUGGCAACUACAGUUGCGCGUAUGUGGCAACUAGGUAAUUACACAUGGCAACUAUGGUUAAUCAUACAUGGCAAUUAUGGUUGGACCUCACGUGGCAACUAGUUAAUCACACAUGACAACUAUUGCUUGACCACAUGUGGCAAGUAGUUAACCACAUAUGGCAACUAUGGUUUGAUUACACGCGACAAUUAUCGUUAAUUAGACAUGGCAACUAUAGUUAACCAAAAUAAAAAAAGUUGACAUACUUCACAACUAUGGUUGCCAUCCCGGUAACUAAAGUUGUCAUCCCCGGGUAUCUAAAGUUGCCAUUCUCCAGGUAACUAAAGUUGAUGCGUGAGUAUGUGUGGGUAGAUUUUGCGGUUCGUGUGGGCUGUAUACCACACAUGGUGUGCCGGUGGUGUUUAAUAUAUCACACGUAUGAUGAAUAUUAAGACCCUUGAUUUAUUUAUUCAUUUUUCGAAGAGGGGUUAUUUAGGUCAUUAAUAGAAUCUUCCAAGCAAUAGCACAAACAUGUACGGUGCGUUACAAAGACGACACCACAAUAGGUAGAAAAAUGACACCGGCAUAUCAACAACCACCAGUGGGCAUCUAAACUUACCUGGAUGUCGGCGAGCGGCAUUGCGCGGUCAGCAGCCCCGGCGUCGUCCUCUGCGUCCCCCUCGCCCGAGCCGGCGAGGAGUCGGCAGUUGGGGGAGUGGCAUCGCGGGUUGAAGCGGAGAUGGAGCGCGAUGGGUCGACGGGUCUUGGUGCCGCCACCGACGUGGUUGAAUUGGAACCCCAUGAGCGCCUCGACCAGCGCGCUCUUCCCGUCCGUCUGGUGGCCGACCACCACCACCGCUGGUGCCGGCACCGCUGCGCCACCCAGCUCGGUCGCCAGGCCCUGCAGCUCGCUGUACGCCUCAUAGAGACGCCCCCGCGCGCUCACCUCCUCAUCCUCAUCCGGCGAGAGCAGCUCCGGCCGCGGCGUUGCCAUUUAUCAGAAUGGUUUUCUGGGGGUUUUGUUGGGGGAAUGGCGAGGGGGUUUGUGCGUUAUCCUUUCUGUGUUUUUAUUUUCCAAAGGCGAGUAAUAGACAACUGUGGCCGGCCGAAAUUUUGACCAGGCUCAUGACGGUCAUACGAUUGGGGCCUGUGCACCGUUAGAUCUCUCCUGCUCCAUUCGUUCUUUGCUAGCACAACCUUUUCCGUGUGGCAGUACGUGCUCAGGUAGCAACUUCCCUUCCCUCAUCUCACCCAUGACGUCGUCCAAACACCUCCGUGGUAGCAUCGCCCCCCGUUGCCAUGGCCAUGGGGUCGUCGAACUCCUGCGCGAGGGGUGUCGUCAUGGCCUUAUUCGUCGAGCUUCAUUGUUGGGGCACUCCUAUGUCGGUUGCGGCACCCGUCGACAGCGGAUGUAGCACUGUCAUAGUUGCUUGCAAAACCACUGAUAUAGUCGCCUACAUCUGUCAUAGCAAACGUCAUUGCUACUUUGACUGGUUGCACUGUUUGUCGAUGUCGGACAUAGCAAACGCCAUUGCCGGUUGUAGCACUCGGCUCGUCCUUCGUCACCGUCAUUGCCGCUUUUAUGGACGUUGGUUGCAAUUAUGUCUAUUGUCGGUUCCAUCUUUUUUCGAUGAUGGUUGCAACUUUGCUCGGCGUUGGUCGUAGCAAAACACAAUUGCCCGACGUAAUGUCUUGCGGUCAUGGUUCGAGGUGUGCAGUUAGUCUGUUCCAGCAUUUGUAAACCACGGUUGCAGCUACAACGUCAAAUGAUUCUAGCAUCUCGCCUCCGUCGCUUCCAGCAAAUCCGGCCAUCGAUUGUAGCGCAAGCAUCCAAUGGUUCAAGCUUUUUUUGUCAUCGUGUUGUUCCCAAUCAAAGUGCGGAGGCUUCUUUACAACGCCGGUUGGUGGCGGUCGUUCUGCUCGUCGGCAUGAUGGAGAAUGAACACAAGCUGUGGCAAUGAAGGAGCACUCCCGUGGUAGGUGGGGGGAAAGCAACGACGAGAGAGAAAACAUGAGGAGGAAGACGGAUGGUGGGAGGAAGGGAUAAGGUUUGGGCCCACGAGAACCACAUGACGUGUUUUCCUAUUGAUUUGCUUCCACCGCAUGCAUGCAUGCAUGUGACGAGCCGGGCGGCCUAAUUCUUAGCCCGUCGUGUGGCAGGAAAUGUUUCCCUUUUUCAAUAUAUAUACUCCCUUUGAUGAGGACAUCAAUAUCAUUGUUGCACCCACAACCCCUGAUGCUAUACAUAUUGGUACUAGAGCUCGCGCACGCCAAUUGAAUUACCAGGUACUUUCGUUUCUUGGAAAUCCUUCUAAUGUUCAUGAACAUAUGAUGAUGUCUAAAUUAGGUACUUUUGUUUUACUUAUGAAUGAAGGACCUAACAUGGACAAGAAUGAUGGCCAUUGGAGGGGGAUCAAGCAUGGAGGGGAAGGUGCGCAUGCGGGAAAGAAUAAUUGAGCUUCUAGUGGUGAUUUUCGGACUUUGAAGCCGCCAUAAGGAGAGCGUGAAGGUUUGAACAAAAUAUACACACUUUAUAAAAUUCGUCCAUAGGUUAUUAUAGAUGAUGUGUCACCUUAUUUCUGGGCCAGGCCCAUGUAAUUUUGAAAUAUUACAUUAUAGGUUGUUUUUAGAGUCUGUAUGCAUGGGGAAACUGAGUUAGGGUCGUUUUCGAACCCCUCCUCCAAGGGGUCACGAAGAUCCCUCUCUAUUCCUCAUAUAUACAGCCCUUAGGGCACCGUUUAGACUUGGUUUUUUUAGAUUACAAGUUCGUCGUAGCUGCAACUACAUGUUCUUCGUUUGUGUUCUACGACCAGACCAAGACAUCAUAGAACCCCACUUUCAUCAGUAAAGAUUUCCUCUUAUAUUCGCAAUAUCCAGAUCACAAUUUUAGUUUCUUACUUGUUCUUCAUUUGCGUGUAGGAAACACACCCUCGUGGUCAGGUUGAUCGUGCUCCGGCGUGGUCAAUAACCUCUUGGAGUUGGUUUAGCGAUUGCUAAGGCACGAUGUCCUCACACGUUCGUAGUCAGAUCAUCAAAGUCUACUCCACCGAAAACGAUAACCACCAUCUCAUCGAAAGACAGUGACAACUUCGCCUCUAUCAAGUGGUAUCAGAUUUCCAGGUUGCUCGUUGAGAUUUUCCUAGAUUUCCAUAGUUUAGAUCGCAUAUGUUCUUCAUACCUAUAGUCCACGAAAAAAGACACAAAAAAAUUAGGGUUAGUUCAUCUUAUCCGAAUCAAUCUGAUCCUUUUGCAAUUUUUUGUUCAAUGUUUUGCUUUAUUUAAUUUGUGGUUGCAUCAUCGUGUCGAGUUGCUGGUCUUAGCAUCUAGUCUUUUCGAGUUUCGAGUUAUGUCCACAAGUUGUCACGCCGCCGCCACACCAUCUUCAUUGUUGCCUUCCUCCAUCACCACGCGAGAGUCAUCAAUGCUACCUUAUACCACCACCACGCCACCAUCAUCACUUGUGCCAUAUGCCACCACUCCGAGUCCAUCACCUAUUAGAUUUCUUUUCAAGAUCCAUCUGUUGUCAGAUUCAUGUUUCCUAGGCUGAGUAGGUUUCGGAUUUCAUCAAUUGAUCUUUGUUCAUAGACGAGGGUGAUAUAAAAAAGAGUCCGGUAGACACCCUCCAUUCUCGCCCAAAAAAUUCAAAAAACGCACGGUCAAAAAAAUGGCUAUCCUAUUUUUAGGUGUAGUAGAGGGUUUUGAGAUAGUCGGUUUUAUAGAAAAAAUGGGUAGUUUCCAUUUUUGCUCCGGACGUCCACAAAAAAAAUAGUCAAAAAAAUUAUGCAUAUCCUCUUUUUAGACCUUCGGAAGAGUUUUGAGACACUCGUCAUUAUAGUGAUUUUCUGGGAAAAAGAGCGCAAAAAGGCGCCAAAAAGAGAGAAAAAAUCAGAGUGUGCUCUUCCUUUGUCGUCUACUGGUGCACGGCAAAGAGCAGGAGGGCAGACGGCAAAGAGCACGGGGCGGCCCACCACACACCCCCUCCCACCCCAUAACGGCCGCUCUCUUUGCCAUCUGCCUUACACCUCUUUGUCGUCGGGGGGCGGACGGCAAAGAGAGGGGGCCCCUAACGGCCGUCUCCCCCACCCCACGUCCCCAUCUUUUCGACAGAUCCAACCAUCGCCCUCGCCCCCUCUAUGUGUCUCUCUCACCCCCUCUCUCUGCGAGCGCCGCCUCCCACGCCGUCCCCCCUUCGCCCGCGCCCGCGCCCUCUCCCUCGCCCUCCUCGCUAUCCUCCCUCCGCCCGCGCCCUCGCCCUUUCCCUCCUCGCCGUCCUCCCUCCUGUCUCUUAUACACAUCUNNNNNNNNNNNNNNNNNNNNNNNNNNNNNNNNNNNNNNNNNNNNNNNNNNNNNNNNNNNNNNNNNNNNNNNNNNNNNNNNNNNNNNNNNNNNNNNNNNNNNNNNNNNNNNNNNNNNNNNNNNNNNNNNNNNNNNNNNNNNNNNNNNNNNNNNNNNNNNNNNNNNNNNNNNNNNNNNNNNNNNNNNNNNNNNNNNNNNNNNNNNNNNNNNNNNNNNNNNNNNNNNNNNNNNNNNNNNNNNNNNNNNNNNNNNNNNNNNNNNNNNNNNNNNNNNNNNNNNNNNNNNNNNNNNNNNNNNNNNNNNNNNNNNNNNNNNNNNNNNNNNNNNNNNNNNNNNNNNNNNNNNNNNNNNNNNNNNNNNNNNNNNNNNNNNNNNNNNNNNNNNNNNNNNNNNNNNNNNNNNNNNNNNNNNNNNNNNNNNNNNNNNNNNNNNNNNNNNNNNNNNNNNNNNNNNNNNNNNNNNNNNNNNNNNNNNNNNNNNNNNNNNNNNNNNNNNNNNNNNNNNNNNNNNNNNNNNNNNNNNNNNNNNNNNNNNNNNNCGCAACUAACCCCGACCCCCGACGCCACCGACACCCGACACCACCGACCCUCGACGCCACUAAGCCCCGACCCCCGACACCUCUUGUGCCUACUGUUGAACGAGAAGGUGCUUUUCGGCCUUCUAGAGGUCGGCAGGGUCAUAGUUUUGUAAAUUAUGAGUUAGGUCACAUAUUUUCCGAUUAUGUUAAAACAUCAUAUUUGUGUUGAUCGUGUGAAUUUCAAUGUGCAGUUGUUCGACGACCUCCACGUGCGUUGGACGAGCUCCGCCCCUGCGUUUAUUGGUGAGCACAAAUGACUUCUCCUCCUACCCCUUAAUUUGCUCUGCUCCGGUCUUCGUGCCGAUGAAACUUGCUAGCUAUAGGUUUCUUCAAUCAUGAGUAUGCGUGACCAGUAUGCGUCUCCCGUUCGAAAGGGCGACAUUUAUAAAUAUGCAUGUCUUUGCAUAUUUAUAACCGCCAUCCUUUCGAAUUGACCAACGUUAUCUAUGGACAGCCCGAGUAUGUGUAGAUUGGGUUCGUUUUCCCGUAUGCUGUGCUCUGGAUCCGAUGUGGAAUGUUGUUCUUCGGGUACACAUCCUCUCUGCUUAGACGUGUAUCAGGAGAACAGCGGGGAGGUGUUGCCGAAAUUCUGCGUCGCACCUGGAGCAGAGCAUGGGAAAACGAACCCAAUCUACACAUACUUGGGUGGGAUUAGGACCUAUCUUUACCUAUUAGCGUGUAGGUUGCAUGGACGUAAUAAAACUGACAAACUUGAUUAGCGGAUGAAUAUAGAUGAUGAAUUAUAUAUUUAUUUCUUGUGUGCCCAUAGGUAGCUAGGCAACAUGAGUGAUCGUGCUUGGAUGUACACUAGUCACCCUAGUCAGAAAGACAUGACCAAUGAAUGGUUAACAAAAACCAAGGGGUUUGUGAGAGCCGCAUUUGCAAAUGGCCACCAAAAAACAUGGUGCCCCUGUCCCAACUGCGACAACUGAAAAAAGCAGACAGAGUUUGAAAUGGGUAAACACCUGCAGAAGUGGGGUUUUACGGCUAAUUAUACUGUGUGGACUUUUCAUGGUGAGUCUGACCAACGUGCCAGAGCUGAGGUGAUUCGUCGUCGCACCGAAGAGCAUGGUACCGGGAUCGAAGACAUGGUGCAAGACUUUGAUGAUGCUCGGGAUUCGAACGAUGAGAUGGAGGAAUCUGCAAUGGCCUUCUAUGAAAUGUUGGAGUCUUCAAAACGUCCUCUCCACGAGCAGACUGAGCUUUGUCAGCUGGAUGCCAUCUGAUACGUCUCCGUCGUAUCUACUUUUUCGAACUCUUUUGCCCUUGUUUUGGACUCUAAUUUGCAUGAUUUGGAUGGAACUAACCCGGACUAACGUUGUUUUCAGCAGAAUUGCCAUGGUGUUGUUUUUGCGCAGAAAUAAAAGUUCUCGGAAUGACCUGAAAAUUUAUGGAGAAUUUUUGUGGAAUAUAUAAAAAAUACCGGCGCAAGAAUCAACGGAGGAAGUGGAGCUGUGAGCCCACAAGCCCACCAGGUGCGGGCCCCCCUGGUCGCGCCUACCAGGCUUGUGGGGCCCACAAUGCUCCACCGCCUCCAAUCUCAGAUCUAUUUAGUCCCUUUCAUCCGGAAAGAAAUAAAAGAGAAGAGUUCAUCGCGCUUUACGAUACGGAGGCGCCGCCACCUCCUAUUCUUCAUCUGGAGGGCAGAUCUGGAGUCCGUUUUGGGCUCCGGAGAGGGGAGAUCGUCGCCAUCGUCAUCACCAACCUUCCUUCAUCGCCAAUUCCAUGAUGCUCUUCACUGUUCUUGAGUAAUCUCAUCGUAGGCUUGCUGGACGGUGAUGGGUUGGAUGAGAUCUAUCAUGUAAUCAAGUUAGUUUUGACGGGGAUUGAUCCCUAGUAUCCACUAUGUUCUGAGAUUGAUGUUGUUACUACUUUGCCAUGCUUAAUGCUUGUCACUAGGGACCGAGUGCCAUGAUUUCAUAUGUGAACCUAUUAUGUUGUCGCCAAUAUAUGUGUGUUCUUGAUCCUAUCUUGCAAGUUGUAGUCACCUACUAUGUGUUAUGACCCGGCAACCCCGGAGUGACAACAGCGGGAACCACUCCGGGAGAUGACCAUAGUAUGAGGAGUUCAUGUAUUCACCAAGUGUUAAUGCGUUGGUCCAGUUCUUUAUUAAAAGGAGAACCUUAAUAUCCCAUAGUUUCCAUUAGGACCCCGCUGCCACGGGAGGGAUGGACAAUAGAUGUCAUGCAAGUUCUUUUCCCUAAGCACGUAUGACUACGUACAAAAUACAUGCCUAUAUUAGAUUGACGAACUCGAGCUAGUUACAUAUCUCUCCGUGUUAUAACUGUUACAUGAUGAAUAGCAUCCGGCAUAAUCAUCCAUCAUCAAUCCAAUGCCUACGAGUCUUUCCUAUUGGUCCUUGCUACGUUACUCUGCCGCUACUGCUGUCAUUGAUGCUACUGUUACUGUGUUGCUACUGUUGUUACUCUGCUGCUACUGCUGUCACUUUGUUGCUACUGGUUACUAUUGCUACUACUGCUAUCAUACUACUUUGCUACUGAUACUUUGCUGCAGAUACUAAAUCUUUCCGGUGUGGUUGAAUUGACAACUCAACUGCUAAUACUUGAGAAUAUUCUUUGGCUUCCCCUUGAGUCGAAGCAAUAAAUUUGGGUUGAAUACUCUACCCUCGAAAACUCUUGCGAUCGCCUAUACUUGUGGGUUAUCAAGACCUUUUUCUGGCGCCGUUGCCGGGGAAGCACAACUAUAUUCUCUGAGUCACUUGGGAUUUACGUGUGCUGAUCACUAUGAGGAAUCCGAUAGAUCAAGAACUAAAGUCUUGCCCUCCACUACGAGGAUAGGUAAGGAACUGCCAUCUAGCUCUGCACUUGAUUCACCUUCAGUUAUGAGUAAGUUUGCGACACCACCUCCUGCUAGAAAUCUUGAUAUGUCGCCUUGGCUUGAUGAUGCUACUUCUGCUGCCCAUGAUGCUUAUGAUGAUGCUAUGCUUGAUACUGCUUUGCCACUUGGUGCAUUCCUUGAUGCACAAAUUGCUAGAGUUGCUGCUAGAUGUGAUGAUACUUCUGAAACUGCUGAUACUAUUGAAGUAGAACCUGCAAUUUUGCCUGCUAGAACUAGCUCUCCUAGAUAUGAAUUGCCUGAUAUGCCUGAGUGUUAUGUUAUGGAGGGAGAGAUAGAUGAGGACUUUCUUGCUUGUAAGGAUAGAUAUGAUGUUGAGAACUUACUGCGCAAGUGGAAAGAAAAAUCUUUGAACGCUAAGAUGAAAUACGACCCGAAGUUUGCAACUUUGCCUAUAUUUGUGACCGAUGAGGAUUAUGAAUUCUCUAUCGACCCUGAGUUAAUCACUCUGGUCGAAUCUGAUCCUUUUCACAGUUAUGAGUCUGAAACGGUUGUAGCCCAUCUUACCAAACUGCACGAUAUAGCCACCAUAUUCACGAGUGAGGAAAAGAUCCGCCACUAAUAUAUCCUCAAGUUGUUUCCUUUCUCGCUAAAGGAUGAUGCUAAGACUUGGUUCACUUCUCUUGCUCCUGGUUGUGUGCGUAGCCCCCAUGAUAUGGUCUACUACUUCUCUGAAAAAUAUUUCCCUGCCCAUAAGAAGCAAGCUGCCUUGUAGGAAAUAUACAACUUUGCUCAAGCUGAAGAAGAGAAUCUCCCACGAGCUUGGGGGAGGCUCGUCCAGCUAUUGAAUGCUUUGCCUGAUCACCCUCUUGAGAAGAAUGAAAUACUUGAUAUCUUCUAUAAUGGACUUACCGAUGCUUCUAGAGACCACCUAGAUAGUUGUGUUGGUUGUGUUUUUAGGGAACGAACUGUAGAACAAGCUGAGAUCCUAUUGAAUAAUAUCUUGUGCAAUGAGAAUGCUUGGACUAUUCCCAAACCACCUCCUAAGUCAACACCGAAGAAAAGAGGUAUUCUAUUCCUCGGUCCUGAAGUAUGCAAGAAGCUAAGAAAUCUAUCAAAGAGAAAGGCAUUAAAUCUGGAGAUGUCAAAAAUCUACCACCUAUCGAAGAGAUCCAUGGUCUUGAUAACCCGAUACAGGUAGUAGAAGUAAAUUCUCUGCGUAGGUUUGAUGAGAGUGAUAUUCCUUUUGAUAAACCUGCUAGCUUAUGCCUGGAUGAAUUUGAUAACUUUGUUGCCAAACAACAGAGUUUCAGUGAUUAUGUUAGCAGACAAUUGGAAGAGAAUGCUUGUAUGCUUAGUCAUUUAAGUGCUUGUGUGGACAAAAACGUCAAUGAUCUUAAGCUCUUGAGUAAACAUGCCUCUAUGGUUACUACUCAAGUAGAACAAGUACUUAAGGCUCAAAAUGACUUGCUCAAUGAGUUGAAUGAAAAUUCUGUCAGAGUCGUCACUAGAGUCGGUAGAAUGACCGAGGAACCUUUGUAUCCUGAGGGUCAUCCUAAGAGAAUUGAACAAGAUUCUCAAGGAGUUAACACUGCUGCACCUAGUCAUCCUAGGAAGAAGAAGAAAGAUGAUAGGAACCUGCACGCUAGCAACCCGGAUGCUGAUACACCUGAGAGUCCAAACGAUGUCUCUGUUUGUGAUGCCGAGACACAAUCUGGUGAUUAAUAUGAGCCUAAUGAUAAUAUCAAUAGUGAUGUAAGAUGCUCAAUCUAGCAAUGAUAAGGAUGUGGAGAUUGAACCUGUUGAUCUUGAUAACCCACAGCCUAAGACUAAGAGAUAUGAUGAGAAUGACUUCGCUGCUAGGAAGCAUGGUAAAGAAAGGGAACCAUGGGUUCAGAAACCCAUGCCCUUUCCUCCCAAACCAUCCAAGAAAAAGGAUGAUGAGGAUUUUGAGCGAUUUGUUGAAAUGACCAGUCCUGUCUUUCUGCAAAUGUGUUUGACAGAUAUGCUCAAAAUGUCUCCGUAUGCUAAGUACAUGAAAGAUAUUGUGACUAAUAAGAGGAGGAUACCUGAGGUUGAGAUUUCCACCAUGCUUGCUAAUUAUACCUUCAGGGGUGGAACUCCUAAGAAACUAGGUGAUCCCGGUGUGCCCACUAUACCUUGCUCCAUUAAAGGCAACUACGUUAGAACUGUUUUAUGCGACCUUGGAGCCGGUGUUAGUGUCAUGCCUCUCUCUCUUUAUCAUAGACUUGAACUGGAUAAGUUGACACCCACUAAAAUAUCUCUGCAAAUGGCCGACAAAUCAACUGCUUUCCCUAUCGGCAUUUGCGAGCAUGUCGUUAAAACUUUGAGUAGUAAUGAAAUUACUACCAUGGAUUUCAAGAAAUUCAAUUAUCAUAGUUGCUCCUUGAUUGAAUGCAUUUCUUUGAUGCAAUCCAUGUUAAACUCUCCACACGCUUGUAGCCAAAACAAAGCCUUUACCGAUCAUAUCGUCGAAGCUAUGAUAAAAGCUCUUGAAGAGAAACUUGAAUUGGAAGUAUCUAUCCCUAGAAAGCUUCAUGAUGAGUGGGAACCUAACAUCAAAAUCAAAAUCAAAAACUAUGAAUGUAACGCUUUGUGUGAUUUGGGUGCUAGUGUUUCUGCGAUUCCAAAGUCUUUAUGUGAUGUUCUGGGUUUUAAUGAGAUUGAAGAGUGUUCUCUUAAUUUGCAUAUUGCUGAUUCUACUAUCAAGAAUCCAUGGGAAGGAUCAAUGAUGUUCUUAUUAUUGCAAAUAGGAACUAUGUACCCGUGGAUUUCAUUGUGCUUGACAUUGAUUGCAAUCCUACAUGCCCUAUUAUUCUUGGUAGACCUUUCCUAAGGACUAUCGGUGCUAUCAUCGAUAUGAAGGAAGGGAAUAUUAGAUUUCAAUUUCCUUUAAGGAAGGGCAUGGAACACUUUCCUAGAAAUAAAAUAAGAUUGCCUUAUGAAUCCAUGAUGAGGGCUACUUAUGGUUUGAGCACCAAAGACGACGAUACGUGAUUCUAUCGCUUCUAUGCCUAGCUAAGGGCGUUAAACAAUAGCGCUUGUUGGGAGGCAACCCAAUGAAUUUAUCUUUUUCUUUCUGUUUUGUUGCGUCCACACUUUCAUAAUUAUGUUGUGAUUGUGUUUUUUGUGUUUCUUUUUGUGUUUGAGCCAAGCAAAACCUUUAUAACUAGUCUUGGUAAUGGUUGUUUGANNNNNNNNNNNNNNNNNNNNNNNNNNNNNNNNNNNNNNNNNNNNNNNNNNNNNNNNNNNNNNNNNNNNNNNNNNNNNNNNNNNNNNNNNNNNNNNNNNNNUAUUACUACUAAAGCUACAUCCUAGCAAAAUAGUAAACGCAUCUGCAAGCACAAACAUUAGUAUAAAGACAACCCUAUGGCUCCUGCCGGUUGCCGUACCAUCGACAUGCAAGUCGAUAUUUCUAUUACAACAUGAUCAUCUCAUACAUCCAAUAUAUCACAUCACAUCGUUGGCCAUAUCAAAUCACAAUCAUACCCUGCAAAAACAAGUUAGACGUCCUCUAAUUUUGUUGUUGCAUGUUUUACGUGGUGACCAAGGGUAUCUAGUAGGAUCGCAUCUUACUUACGCAAACACCACAACGGAGAUAUAUGAGUUGCUAUUUAACCUCAUCCAAGGACCUCCUCGGUCAAUUCCGAUUCAACUUAAGUUGGAGAAACUGACACCCGCCAGUCAUCUUUGAGCAACGGAGUUACUCGUAGCGAUGAAACCAGUCUCUCGUAAGCGUACGAGUAAUGUCGGUCCGAGCCGCUUCGAUCCAACAAUACCGCGGAAACAAGAAAAGACUAAGGAGGGCAGCAAAACGCACAUCACCGCCCACAAAAACUUUUGUGUUCUACUCGAGAAGACAUCUACGCAUGAACCCAGCUCAUGAUGCCACUCUUGGGGACGUCGCAUGGGAAACAAAAAAUUUCCUACGCGCACGAAGACCUAUCAUGGUGAUGUCCANNNNNNNNNNAUACCCUUGUAGACCGUACAACAGAAGCGUUAGUGAAUGCGGUUGAUGUAGUGGAAUGUCCUCACGUCCCUCGAUCCGCCCCGCGAACCGUCCCGCGAUCAGUCCCACGAUCUAGUGCCGAACGGACGGCACCUCCGCGUUCAACACACGUACAGCUCGACGAUGAUCUCGGCCUUCUUGAUCCAGCAAGAGAGACGUAGAAGAGUUCUCCGGCAGCGUGACGGCGCUCCGGAGGUUGGUGAUGNNNNNNNNNNUCUUGUCUCCGCAGGGCUCCGCCCGAGCUCCGCAGAAACGCUAUCUAGAGGUAAAACCGUGGAGAUAUGUGGUCGGGCUGCCGUGGCAAAGUUGUCCCAAAUCAGCCCUAAAACCUCCAUAUAUAUAGGGGGAAGAGGGGGAGCCUUGCCUUGGGGCUCAAGGGGCCCCAAGGGGGUCGGCCGAGCCAAGGGGGGCAACCCUCCCCUUCCAAACCGAGUCCAACUAGGUUNNNNNNNNNNGAUCUAGAGGUAAAACCGUGGAGAUAUGUGGUCGGGCUGUCGUGGCAAAGUUGUCCCAAAUCAGCCCUAAAACCUCCGUAUAUAUAGGGGGAAGAGGGGGAGCCUUGCCUUGGUGCUCAAGGGGCCCCAAGGGGGUCGGCUGAGCCAAGGGGGGCAACCCUCCCCUUCCAAACCGAGUCCAACUAGGUUUGGAAGGAGGAGUCCUUCCCCUUUUUCCCACCUCCUCUUUUAUUUUUCUCUUUGAUUUUCUUCCUAUGGCGCAUAGGGCCUUCUUGGGCUGUCCCACCAGCCCACUAAGGGCUGGUGCGCCACCCCCAAGGCCUAUGGGCUUCCCCGGGGUGGGCUGCCCCCCCGGUGAACACCCGGAACCCAUUCGUCAUUCCCGGUACAUUCCCGGUAACUCCGAAAACCUUCCGGUAAUCAAAUGAGGUCAUCCUAUAUAUCAAUCUUUGUUUCCGGACCAUUCNNNNNNNNNNNNNNNNNNNNNNNNNNNNNNNNNNNNNNNNNNNNNNNNNNNNNNNNNNNNNNNNNNNNNNNNNNNNNNNNNNNNNNNNNNNNNNNNNNNNGGGCGCCCGCCACAGAUGACUAAUGUGGUUAUAGCAGUGGCAAGAGGUCAGUGGCGGGCACCCCUAGGAUCCUGGCUCGCCACUGAUGGCCUUUUUGCACNNNNNNNNNNNNNNNNNNNNNNNNNNNNNNNNNNNNNNNNNNNNNNNNNNNNNNNNNNNNNNNNNNNNNNNNNNNNNNNNNNNNNNNNNNNNNNNNNNNNNNNNNNNNNNNNNNCACUACUAAGCAUUCCUGCAGUAGUGUGUGUGCAUUAAGCCUUUCAGAUAAUCUAUCAUAUGGAACAAGAUGAUCCGAGCCCCCUCGGGGAUAGUAGUGAAGACGAUUAGUUUCCCACGUUUCGUUUUUGGUGGAAUUGAGUCCUAGGAGAACCGUACUAUUAAGAGAGUGUAUACUUCAGAAAGGUUUGGGUGGAAUCAACACGUACACACUUUCAUUUGCACCCUUGUUCCUUUCCCGCAUCAAUGGAGUAGCUCCUCUAGGUAGAUUGCUGAGGUCGUGAAGGCCCCAAGCGGUUGUACCGCUCUGGCAAGCGGUAGUACCUCCUAUAAGCGGUAGUACCGCUCUGGGCAAGUGUUAGUACUACCUACAUGCGGUAGUACCCCUGUCCAGUGUCGUGUGUACUACCACUUCCUCUGGGGGUCUCGACUUUUCAUGUCUGACUACGCGGUACUGGGAAGAUAGUGCGGCGCGGUAGUACCGCCCGUCAUUACCACUCCAACUACCGCUCCCCUUCAGGACCUUAGAACUCUCAAUGGAGGUAGGGCGGCAGUGGGGCGAGGCACUACCGCUUGUAAGCAGUAAUACCGCUUAAGCGGUACUGCCUCCGUCCCCAAUCUCUAUCGUGCCUCUAGGAGCCCUUUGCUGCAACCCCAGUGGUAGUAACGCUUGGGCGAGCAAUAGUACCGCUCCGAUGGCACUACCACCUCGUGGCUUCAUGCCAUUGCACUGCAUAGCGAGCACUGCGACCCAAGCGGUAGUACCGCUCCCAUGAGCGAUAGUACCGCUCCCAUGAGCGGUAGUACAACUUGUGUGCGGGCUAAGAGGGGGUAACAGUUGGAUCUUUUCCCAAAAAGGGGGUCUUCUUCCCAAAGAAGACCACUUCUUCCUUCUCUAAGCUCCAUUUCCACCUCGUCUCUCUGACUAGCCAACAUAACUUGUUAAUUCUCUAGGGUUUGGUUGAGAGGGCCCCGAUCUACAAUUCCACCAAGAGAAAUUUGAUCCCCCCACUAAUCCCUUGCAGAUCUUAUUACUCUUGGGUGUUUGAGAACCCUAGACAGUUGAGGUCACCUCAGAGCCACAAUCCAUUAUAGUGAAGCUUCGUGGUGGUGUUGGGAGCCUCCACUUAAGUUGUGGAGAUUGCCCCAACCUUGUUUGUAAAGGUUUGGUUGCCGCCUUCAAGGCACCACUAGUGGAAUCAUGGCAUCUCGCAUUGCGUGAGUGUGUGAGGAUAAUAAGGUGUCCCUAGUGGCUUCUUGGGGAGCAUUGUGCCUCCACACCGCUCCAAGGAAGACGUACUUCCACUCAAAGGGAAGGAACUUCGUUAACACAUCCUCGUCUCUAACGACUCCACUUGGGGUUACUUCUUACCUUUUAUUUGUGCAAGAUAUAUUUUUGUUGUAUUCUUUGCUUGCUUGUAUUGUUAUUGUUGCUAGCAUCAUAUAGGUUGCUCACCUAGUUGCAUAUCUGGACAACCUAUUUGUUGCUAAACCUAAUUUGUUAAGAAAGGAUAAAAAAUGUUGGUUGCCUAUUCACCCCUCCCCCUAGUCAACUAUACCAAUCCUUCCACCAACCAAAAAAUAUCGCUCUGAUGUCCCAAAUUUUAAACAGGAACUAAUUUUGUAACUUUCUCCACAUUUCAGACAAGCGCAUCCCAAAUACAUGGUUCCCCCUCCCCCCCUCCGUUUCCCAAUUCAUACACCAUCGGUGCCAAAACACCCUCUCCACCCUAGCCAGCCUCCUCCGUCUGCCACACCAUCCUCCACCAUACCAAAGCCGCUACCCCGACCCCGUCGUCCAGUGCAAGAUAUCGACGUCUCCCAUCCACGACACCGGACGAGGAUCCUUGCAUCGCUUCGUCCACACUGUCGUCCACCUUGUCGGGGCCGCUCCUACAGACGCCUCAUCUACCGUAAUGGGACUUAUCCCCCAAUGUCGCCGUCUGUCGUCUCAGAUAUGCUUCCAUACCGCCGACAACCAUCGCACACGCACCACCCACAAUGUAUCACCAGAUGCCUACACAUCACCGCAAGAGAGGUAGUACUCUUCAUAUCUGGUCAACUUGUAUAUCUCAACCACAAAAUAGAUCGUCGCUUGUUUUGGCGCCCACUUGCUUUCCGACCACAACAUCGUUUCCUCACCGGUGUUGCCCACCCCCUGAUUGUAGCAUCAAUGGCGACAACGUCGUCACUCACACCCGAAGUCGGUGGUAGCAAAAAGUUAUGUGUUGAUUCCAGCAAAAUCAAGGGACUGUUGUACCAAAAUUAUGUGCUCGUUGCAGCAAAAUCAAGAGACUGUUGUAGCAAAAACAUGUGUUGGUCCCAACAAUAUGAAAAGUCAGUGGUAGCAACAAAAAUGUACUGGUUCCAGCAAAAUCAAAACAUGAUGGUAGCAAAUAAAUAGUCUUGUUCCAGCAAAAAUCCGAAGAUGGUGGUUGAAAAAGAAGUGGAGUUGUCUCCAUGAAAAUCAAAAGAUGGUGGCACCAAAAAUUAGGACUAGUUCCAACAAAAUCGAAAGAUGGUGGUAGCAAAAUUUAGGACUAGUUCCAGCAAAAUCAAAAGACCAUGGCAUCAAAAGAAGUGGGCUAGUUCUAGCAAAAUCAAAAGACGAUGGUAGCAAAAAUUGUGGCUGGUUCGAGCAAAAAAAAAUUGUUUUGGCUUCCUGGAAAAUUGGAUUGUCUGAAACGCCGAAUGCAUCGAGGAUUUCCUACAUCCAUGGUCUUCGGUUGUAUCAACGUCGUGUGCUGAUAGUAGCAAUGGUGGUACGCGCUCCACCUUGCAGCAUAGGUCGCGCGAGCGCCUCUAAUGGCAACGCCGACGGACUCUCACCAACGCUCACCAGUGCCACUCAAGGUGACGUCGACGGCCUCGCACCAACGCUCGACGUCGCUCGCGGGUAGUCCUUCAACGACAUGGAUGACCACCUCGAAGCGGUAGGAUUGGAGAGGGAGGCCAUGGGCGGGUCAGAGAGGUAUCCCACUGCUGUGUCAAGGGAGAUGGUGUCUGAUGAAGACAUCAAUACCAUUGUUACACCCACAACACCUGCUGAUAUACAUACAUGACCAGUUGUCAGAGCUCGCGCACGCUAAUUGAAUUACCAGGUACUUUCGUUUCUUGGAAAUCAUUCUAAUAUUUAUGAACAUAUGAUGCUGUCUAAGUUAGAUACUUUUGUUUUACCUAUGAAUGAAGGACCUCACAUGGACAAGAAGGAUGACCAUUGGAGCGAGAACAAGCAUGGAGAAGAAGGUGCGCGCGCGGGAAAGAACAAUAAAGCUUCGAGUGGUGAUUUUCGCACUUUAAAGCCACUAUAACGAGAGCAUGAAGGCUUGGACGAAAUACUAAAGACAUCACUUUACAAAUUUCGUUUGUAUGUUAUUACUCGUGUUGCGCCACCUUAUUUUUGGGCCGAGUCCAUGUGAUUUUGAAAUACCAUAUUAUAGGCUGUUUUUAGAGUUUGUAUGUGUGGGGAAACUAAGUUAGGGCCGGUUUCGGACCCCACCUCCAAGAGGCCACGAAAUUCCCCUCUAUUUCCCCAUAUAUACAGCCCUUAGGGCACCAUUUAGACUUGUGUUUUGUUUAGAUUACAAGUUCGCCAUAGCUGCAACUUCGCGUCCUUCGUUUGUGUUCUAGGACCAGACAAAGACGUCAUAGAACCCCACUUUCAUCAAUAAAGCAUUCCUCGUAUAUUCGCAAUAUCCAGAUUGCAAUUUCAGUUUUUUGCUUGUUCUUCGUUUGCGUGCAGGAAACAGACCCUCGUGGUCAGGUUGACCGUGCUUCGGCGUGAUCAAUAACCUCUCGGAGUUUCUUUUGCGAUUGCUAAGGCGCGAUGUCUUCCACCGUUCGUAGUCGUAUCGUCAAAGUCUACUUCAUCAAAAAAUGAUAGUCGCAUCUCAUGAAAAGACAGGAACAACUUCGCCUUUAUCAGUGUCGAGGUGCCAUGUUGGGCGACGGCGUGCUGGUUGUAGGCGGUGGCGGCAUCAAGCAGGAAGAGAAGGCAUGCGGGGCAGGUGGCCGUGGGAAGAGAUCACCGACAUUGGUCAGAUUACGAAGAAAUGAAAAGAUGAUUGAAAAUGAUACAAAGAAAUGGAUAAGGACGAAGGAAAGCGAUGCCCAUGAUGAGCCGCACUCACGAAUUGUAGACCUGGAUAUGUCCCUGAUCAAACAUCGCACACGUGUCCGACAUGACGCGUGAUGAGUCGUCCGAUAAGAAACAUUUUCUCUAUUAUUAAGCGUGGGAUUCAUCCUACUUUCUGUGCCCAAAAUCGUUACAUUUAAGAAAUAAUGCAAAUGUAAAAGCAUUCUAAAAACGGUUUUAUAUUACGAGACAAGGCGAGUAUUUGUUUAUAUAAGAGAUUUACUAAAAGUCUAAAACUCUACAUAAGCUAACCGUCGUUGGAUCGAACUGAGUAAGUAACUUUUUUGUAGAAUCUGUGCGUAAAAAUAGCGUUGGUCUUUUUUUGAAGUGUGGAAAUCCUUCUACUUUCCAUCGUUACACUUAAACUCGGACUUAUAGAUAAUCUAGCUGAAACGAGUCGCACACAAGGUGGUGAAAACGAGUCCCCAGGUCAUGUUACGUCCACAUAGCAUUUGCUAAUUAAAUUUGCAAGGAUUAGGCUGGGCGGAUCAGUAAAACAGAUUGCCCUGGCCUUUGAUCCUGAAGGGCAUCCCGAAGUUCUGGUACACCCUUAUCUCGCCGCUCAAGGUGGCCGUGACUACCACCAAGCCCCACGCGUUGCCGGUGUCCGAGGCGUUGGCUCCGCUCUUGCUGGCGUGCCGCGUGUCUAGCGGGCCCGAGUGCGGCGAUGGCGACGGCGCGGCGGGGCUGCUCAGCUCGCCGCUCUUGCUCACCCUGCUCAGCUCGCCGCUCUUGCUCACGUCCGGCUUGGCGGCGUGGCUGGCCAUGCUGCACACCUCGUCGUUGCACGACACGACGCCAUGGUGUGACUGCGGGCUGCCUGGCAGGGACGGCGAGUGGGUCCACGGGAUGGCGGCGGAGACGUCCUUGCAGUAGAAGUUCUCGUAGGAGCGGAUGGUGCACCACGUCUUGGGCUUCAUGCCGAUGCCGAUGGCCGCCGCGGCGGGCGCGCUCCGGGUGGUCCUCCAGAUGUAGACGUGCGAAUCCUCGCUCGCGCACACCACGUACCGCCCGUCGGAGGUGUAGGCCGCCGCGAUCUGGCUGCUCGUGUUCUUGAAUCCUGCGUUCGUUGUUCACUUGUCAUCUUUCUUUCUUUCUUCUUCUUCAUCUUCUUCNNNNNNNNNNNNNNNNNNNNNNNNNNNNNNNNNNNNNNNNNNNNNNNNNNNNNNNNNNNNNNNNNNNNNNNNNNNNNNNNNNNNNNNNNNNNNNNNNNNNCUCUGGCCUUCCUUGUGAAGAUGCCGCAUCCCAUCUCAAUACCUUCAUUGAGCUUUGCGAUAUGCAAAAGAAGAGAGAUGUGGAUAAUGACGUGAUUAAAUUGAAGCUUUUUUCCUUUCUCGUUGCAAGAUCGCGCAAAAACUUGGUUUUCUUCUUUGCCCAAAAAUAGUAUCGAUUCUUGGGAUAAGUGCAAAGAUGCUUAUAUAUCGAAGUAUUUUCCGCCGGCUAAGAUCAUCUCUCUCCAUAAUGAUAUCAUGAAUUUCAAUCAACUUGAUCAUGAACAUGUUGCACAAUCUUGGGAGAGAAUGAAAUUAAUGAUUAGAAAUUGUCCCGCUCAUGGCUUGAGUCUUUGGAUGAUUAUUCCAAUCUUUUACGUUGGCUUGAAUUUUGCUUCUAGAAAUAUCUUGGACUAACGUUCAUGGAAAUCACGUCAGGAGAAGCCACAAAGCUCUUAGACAACAUCAUGACGAACUACUCUGAGUGGCACACUGAAAGGUCACCUACUAGUAAGAAGGUACACGCUAUAGAAGAAAUUAACUCGUUGAAUGCUAAGAUGGACGAGUUAUUGAAUUUGGUUGCUAGUAGAAGUGCUCCUUUGGAUCCUAAUGAUAUGCCCGUGUCUUCUUUGAUUGAGAGUAGCAACGCUAGCUUGGACGUUAAUUUUGUUGGUAGGAAUAACUUUGGCAACAACAAUGCUUUUAGAGGAAACUAUGUUCCUAGGCCUUUUCCUAGUAACUCCUCUAAUAAUUUUGGCAACUCCUACAACAAUACCCAUGGAAAUUACAAUACAUUACCCUCUGAUCUAGAGAGUAAUAUCAAAGAGUUCAUAAACUAUCAAAAGAUUUUCAAUGCAUCCAUAGAGGAAAAGCUACUCAAAAUUGACGAUUUGGCUAGGAGCGUUGAUAGAAUGUCUAGUGAUGUUGAUGCUUUGAAAGUUAGAUGUGCUCCUCCCAAAAUCAACAUGGAUGAAACUUUUAAAGUUAUGCAUGUUUCCAUGAUUGAGAGCCAAGAAAGAACCGCCCAAAUUCGUGCUAGACAUGAAUGGCUUAAAAAGGUGUGUUCUCGUGAUGAGAAUCACGAAGAUCUUAAAGUGCUUGGUGUGACUCCCAUUGAAUCUUUGUUUGCUUGUGUCAAACCUAAUUUUGGAGCUGGAUAUGAAUCCACUUUGGUUGAAAAGUGCCCCAAUGAUUCGGAGUCCAUCUAUCUUGAUGCUAAAAGCAUUAAAAGUGGAGUAGAGGAUGUUAAAACUUUGAGUAGUAAUGAAAUUACUACCGUGGAUUUCAAGGAAUUCAAUUACGAUAGUUGCUCCUUGAUUGAAUGCAUUUCUUUGAUGCAAUCCAUGUUAAAUUCUCCACACGCUUAUAGCCAAAACAAGGCCUUUACCGAUCAUAUCGUCNNNNNNNNNNAGCUAUGAUAAAAUCUCUUGAAGAGAAACUUGAGUUGGAAGUCUCUAUUCCUAGAAAGCUUCAUGAUGAGUGGGAACCUAUCAUCAAAAUCAAAAUCAAAAACUAUGAAUGCAAUGCUUUGUGUGAUUUGGGUGCUAGUGUUUCUGCGAUUCCAAAGUCUUUAUGUGAUGUUCUGGGUUUUAAUGAGAUUGAAGAGUGUUCUCUUAAUUUGCAUCUUGCUGAUUCUACUGUCAAGAAACCCAUGGGAAGGAUCAAUGAUAUUCUUAUUAUUUCAAAUAGGAACUAUGUACCCGUGGAUUUCAUUGUGCUUGACAUUGAUUGCAAUCCUACAUGCCCUAUUAUUCUUGGUAGACCUUUCCUAAGGACUAUCGGUGCUAUCAUCGAUAUGAAGGAAAAGAAUAUUAGAUUUCAAUUUCCUUUAAGGAAGGGCAUGGAACACUCUCCUAGAAAGAAAAUAAGAUUGCCUUAUGAAUCCAUGAUGAGGGCCACCUAUGGGUUGAGCACCAAAGACGACGAUACGUGAUUCUAUCGCUUUUGUGCCUAGCUAAGGGCGUUAAACAAUAACGCUUGUUGGGAGGCAACCCAAUGAAUUUAUCAUUUUCUUUCUGUUUUGUUGCGUCCACGCCAUCACAAUUAUGUUGUGAUUGUAUUUUUUGUGUUUCUUUUUGUGUUUGAGCCAAGCAAAACCUUUAUGUCUAGUCUUGGUAAUGGUUGUUUGAUCCUGCUGGAAAAAGAGAGAAACUUUUCGCUCACGAGAUGAUUUUUCAUUUUUAUUCAGAAAGAGCUUUUGAGUUGAUUCUUUUUUUGUGCUGGUUGAUAUACUUUUUGCCCAGGCCGUCCUAAAUUUUCAGAUUUUUUGAGGUACCAGAAGUAUACGAAGUAUACAGAUUUCUACAGACUGGUCUGUUUUUGACAGAUUCUGUUUUUGUUGAGUUGGUUGCUUGUUUUGAUGAAACUAUGGUUAGUAUCGGGGGGGUACUAGCCAUGGAAAAGUGAGAAUACAGUAGCCCAACACCAAUAUAGAUGGAAUUCAUGUUUGCUACAGUACCAAAAGAAGUGGUAGUUUGUUUUCUUGUGCUAAUGUUAUCACGAGUUUCUGUUUAAGUUUUGUGUUGUGAAGUUUUUAAGUUUUGGAUGAUGUUCUCAUGUACAAAGAGAUAAGGAGUGGAAAGAGCUCAAGCUUGGGGAUGCCCAAGGCAUCCCAAGCCAAAUUCAAGGACACCAAAAGCCUAAGCUUGGGGAUGCCCCGGGAAGGCAUCCCCUCUUUCGUCUUCAAUCCAUCGGUAACAUCACUUGGAGCUAUAUUUUUAUUCACCACAUGAUAUGUGUUUUGCUUGAAGCGUCUUGUAUCUUAGGAGUCUUUUCUUUUCGUUGUAUCACAAUCAUCCUUGCUGCACACCUUUUUGAGAGAGAGACAUGCACUCAUCGUGAUUUUGCUAGAAUGCUCAUAGUGCUUCACUUAUAUCUUUUGAGCUAGACACUUUUGCUCUAUGUGCUUCACUUAUAUCUUUUAGAGAACGGGGGUGCAUGAUUUGAUAGUUGGCUUAUUCUUUGAAAGUAGUCCCAAAUGUGAUAGGUACCCAAAGAGGAUGUAAAAUCCUCCAUCUUCAUGUGCAUUGAGUAGAAAGAGAAGUUUUGGUUCCUCUCAAAUAGUUUUGAGACAUGGAUUUGGUAAUAUUAAGAGCUAUGUUAGUAGGUUGUCGUGAAUCUAUAAAUACUUGUGUUGAAGGUAGUGAUUCCCGUAGCAUGCACGUAUGGUGAACCGCUAUGUUAGGAAGUCGGAGCAUAAUUGAUCUAUUGAUUGUCAUCCUUUGUGUUGAGGUCGGGAUCGCGCGAUGGUUAACACCUACCAACCCUUCCCCUCGAAGUAUGCGUUUAGCACUUUGUUUCAAUUACUAGUAAAAACUUUUGCAACAAGUAUGUGAGUUCUUCAUGACUAAUGUGAGUCCAUGGUAUAGAUGCACUUUCAACUUACACCAUUGCUAGCUUCUCUACUGCCGCGCAAUUCUCGUCGGUGCACAAACCCACCAAAUUCCUUCCUUAAAACAGCCACCAUACCUACCUACUAUGGCAUUUUCAUAGCCAUUCCGAGAUAUAUUGCCAUGUGAUACGUCUCAAACGUAUCUAUAAUUUUUGAUGGUUUCAUGCUGUUAUCUUGUCAACUUUGGAUGUUUUAUGUACCUUUUAUAUCUUUUUUGGGACUAACUUAUUAAUUCAGUGCCAAGUGCCAGUUCAUGUUUUUUCUGUGUUUUUGACUCUUUUCAGAUCUGAUUUUGGAACGGAGUCCAAACGGAAUAAAAUCCCCAAAAUAAAUUUUUCCAGAACGGAAGAAGAUCAGGGGACUUGAGGGCCAAGGCAGGAGAGCCACAGGGGGCCCACAAGCCUGGUACCUGCCGCCCCAGGGGGGGCGGCGGCUACCAGGCUUGUGGCCUCCCUGGCGCCCCCUGACCUAGCUCCUUCGCCUAUAUAUUCCCUAAAAUACAGAAAAAAUAGGGGAAUCCACGAAAACACUUUUUCGCCGCCGUAAGCUUCCGUUUCCGCGAGAUCUUAUCUGGAGACCCUUCCCGGUGCCCUGCCGGAGGGGACUUUGGAGUUGGAGGGCUUCUACAUCAACAUCAUCGCCCCUCCAAUGACUCGUCAAUAGUUCACUUCAGACGUACGGGUCCGUAGUUAGUAGCUAGAUGGCUUCUUCUCUCUCUUGGAUCUUCAAUACAAAGUUCUCCAUGAUCUUCAUGGAGAUCUAUCCGAUGUAAUCCUCUUUGGCGGUGUGUUUGUCGAGAUUCGAUGAAUUGUGGAUUUGUGAUCAGAUUAUCUAUGAUAUAUAUUUGAGUCUUUGCUGAUUUCUUAUAUGCAUGAUUUGAUAUCCUUGUAAGUCUCUCCGAGUCUUGGGUUUUGUUUGGCCAACUAGAUUUAUGAUUCUUGCAAUGGGAGAAGUGCUUAGUUUUGGGUUCUUACCGUGUGGUGACCUUUCCCAGUGACAGUAGGGGCAGCAAGGCACACAUCGUGUAGUUGCCAUCAAGGGUAACAAGGUGGGCUCUGUCGUAGAUAUGAGAUUGUCCAUCUACAUCAUGUCAUCUUGCUUAAGGCGUUACUCUAUUCUUUUGGACUUAAUACACUAGAUGCAUGCUGGAUAGNNNNNNNNNNNNNNNNNNNNNNNNNNNNNNNNNNNNNNNNNNNNNNNNNNNNNNNNNNNNNNNNNNNNNNNNNNNNNNNNNNNNNNNNNNNNNNNNNNNNAAUAAAAGAAAAAAAGAGGCCUAAGAGCCCAAAUAAAAAAAGAGAAAAGAGAGAAAAAGAGAGAAGGGACAAUGCUAUAUCUUUUUCCACACUUGUGCUUCAUAAUAGCACCAUGUUCUUCAUGAUUGAGAGUUUUUGCGUUGUCAGUACCAUAUGCCAGUGGGAACCUUCAUUAUGUAACUUCACUUGUAUAUUCUAAUGAUGGGCUUCCUCAAAAUUUCCCUAGGUCUUCGUGAGCAACCAAGUUGGAUGCACACCCACUAGUCCUCCUUUUGAGCUUUCACAUACUUAUAGCUCUAGUGCAUCUCUUGUAUGGCAAUCCCUACUCAUUCACAUUGAUAUCUAUUAAUGGGCAUCUCCAUAGCCCUUUGAUACGCCGAGUCAAUGUGACCAUCUCCUCCUUUUUGUCUCACAACCACCAUCACACUCUAUUCCACCUAUAGUGCUAUAUCCAUGGCUCGCGCUCAUGUAUUGCGUGAUAGUUAUAAAAAGUUUGAGAAAGUAAGAGUGCGAAAACAAUUACUUGGCCAAUACCGGGGNNNNNNNNNNCAUUAGUUGUGUGAGGAUGAUGGAGCAUAGCCAGACCAUAUGAUUUUGUAGGGAUAACUUUCCUUGGCCUAGUUAUUUUGAAAGUUCAUGAUUACCUUGCUAGUUUGCUUGAAGUAUUAUUGUUUUCAUGUCAAUAGCAAACUAUUGUUUUGAAUCUUACGGAUCUGAACAUUCAUGUCACGUGAAAGAAGUUGCAAAGGACAACUAUGCUAGGUAGCAUUCCACAUUAAAAAUUCAUUAUUUAUCACUUCCCUACUCGAGGACGAGCAGGAGUUAAGCUUGGGGAUGCUUGAUACGUCUCCAACGUAUCUAUAAUUUUUGAUGGUUUCAUGCUAUUAUCUUGUCAAACUUUGGAUGUUUUGCAUGCUUUUUAUAUAUUUUUUGGGACUAACUUAUUAACUGAGUGCCAAGUGCAAGUUCAUGUUUUUCAUAUUUUUGACCCCUUUCAGAGGAGAUUUUGAAACGGAGUCCAAACGGAAGAAAAUCCCCGAAAAGAUUUUUUUCCGUAAUGGAAGAAGAUCGGGAAGCCUGAGAGCCAAGGCAGGGGAGCCUUAGGGGCCCCACAUGCCCCCACCCCGUGGCCAGGGGGGUAGGCCGCGGCCCACAGGCUUGUGGGCCCCCUGGGCGCCCUCUUACCUAGGGGUUGCGCCUAUAUAUUCCCUGAAAAUCCCAAAAAAACAGGAGAUCAUCGAAAUCACUUUUCCGCCGCCGCAAGCUUCUGUCUCCGCAAGAUCCCAUCUGGGCACGUUCUGGUGUCCUGCCGUAGGGGGGAUUCGGACAUGGAGGGCUUCUUCAUCAACACCAUGACCUCUACGAUGAUGCGUGAGUAGUUCACCAUAGACCUACGAGUCCAUCGCUAGUAACUAGAUGGCUUCUUCUCUCUCUUGGAUCUUCAAUACAAAGUUCUCCAUGAUCUUCAUGGAGAUCUAUCCGAUGUAAUCCUCUUUUGCGGUGUGUUUGUCGAGAUCUGAUGAAUUGUGGAUUUAUGAUCAGAUUAUCUAUGAAUCUUAUUUGAGUUUCUUCUGAUCUCUCUUAUGCAUGAUUUCAUAUCCUUGUAAUUCUCUUUGAGUUGUGGGUUUUGUUUGGCCAACUAGAUCUAUGAUUCUUGCAAUGGGAGAAGUGCUUGGUUUUGGGUUCAUACCGUGCGGUGACCUCACCCAGUGACAGAAGGGGUAGCGAGGCACGAAUCAUGUUGUUGCCAUCAAGGGUAAAAAGAUGGGGUUUUCAUCACUGGUUUGAGAUUAUCACUCUACAUCAUGUCAUCUUGCUUAAGGCGUUACUCUGUUCAUCAUGAACUCAAUACACUAGAUGCAUGCUGGAUAGAGGUGUAUGUGUGGAGUAAUGGUAGUAGAUGCAGAAAGUAUCGGUCUACUUGUCUCGGACGUGAUGCCUAUAUGUAUGAUUCAUUGCCUUAGAUAUCGUCAUAACUUUGCGCGGUUCUAUCAAUUGCUCGACAGUAAUUUGUUCACCCACCUUGAUAUUUGCUAUUUUGAGAGAAGCCUCUAGUGAACACUAUGGCCCCCGGGUCUACUCCACACCAUAUUUUCAGCCUUACACUUUUUACUUCGUUGCACUUUCCGCCUUCAGAUCGCACUUUGCAAACAAUCUUGAAAGGAUUGACAACCCCUUUGAAGCGUUGGGUGCAAGCUUGUUUGUGUUUGCGCAGGUACUCUCGACUUGACGAGACCCUCCUCUCCAUUUAUACCUUGGUUCUCAAACUGAGGGAAAUACUUACUGCUCCUGUGCUGCAUCACCCUUUCCUCUUCAAGGGAAAAACUGACGCGAACAAGAGAAGUAGCAAGAAGAAUUCCUAGCGCCAAGGAAGGACUUUUCUUACCAUAGCAAAAGAAUUUCUGGCGCCGUUGCCGGGGAGGAAGAUCAAGUCAAGAACUCAUCCAAGUAGGUGUCGCAAACUCAUCUCUUGCAUUUACUNNNNNNNNNNNNNNNNNNNNNNNNNNNNCUUUUCGUUUGCCUUUUUCGUUCGCCCAUUUCGUUCACCCUUUUUCUCACCUGCUCUUCGUUUUCUUGUGUGCAUGCUUCCUUGCUGAAGUCACCAUGAAUGAAAACACCAAACUUUGUCACUUCUCGAAUACUAAUAAUAAUGAUUUUAUUAGUACUCCGAUUGCUCCUGCCACUAGUGCGGAGUCUUACGAAAUCAAUGCCGCUUUGCUGAAUCUUGUUAUGAAAGAGCAAUUNNNNNNNNNNUUGUUUGCCAGUUGCCUCUCGUUUUCCUCUCCCCCACUUCACCAAUUUGCCUUUUUUGUUUGCCUUUUUCGUUCGCCCUUUUCGUUUGCCCUUUUUCUCGCGUGCUCUUUGUUUGCUUGUGUGCAUGCUUGCUUGCUGAAGUCACCAUGAAUGAAAACACCAAACUUUGUGACUUCUCGAAUACUAAUAAUAAUGAUUUUAUUAGUACUCCGAUUGCUCNNNNNNNNNNNNNNNNNNNNNNNNNNNNNNNNNNNNNNNNNNNNNNNNNNNNNNNNNNNNNNNNNNNNNNNNNNNNNNNNNNNNNNNNNNNNNNNNNNNNCGCCCCCCCUCCCCCCCCCCCCCCGAAGGUGGGGCGGGUGGCUGCAACACCGUCGGCUGUAGUGGCGCCGUCGUGUCAAUCCACGUCGGUAGCGGGGACGGCGACAGCGGCCACCGGACCUGGGUGAUCGGCAGGCCCUGGGGCGCGACAGUGGGCGGGGCGGUGGCGCGAAGGGCGCCGCCGGCAGAGGCGGUGGUGGCGGGGUUGCGUACGAAGCCUGGAGGAAAGUCCGGAGGUUCGAGACCGCCAGGUUGAGGUCGCGGAUCGCCGAGGACAUCUCCGCCGGGGAGAGGACGGGGGCGGGUUCGACCGCCAGGGCCGCGGGACCGGAGGCGGCCGGACCUGAGGUGGCCGGCGGCGGCGAUUGCUGCGGGGUGGCGGGNNNNNNNNNNNNNNNNNNNNNNNNNNNNNNNNNNNNNNNNNNNNNNNNNNNNNNNNNNNNNNNNNNNNNNNNNNNNNNNNNNNNNNNNNNNNNNNNNNNNNNNNNNNNNNNNNNNNNNNNNNNNNNNNNNNNNNNNNNNNNNNNNNNNNNNNNNNNNNNNNNNNNNNNNNNNNNNNNNNNNNNNNNNNNNNNNNNNNNNNNNNNNNNNNNNNNNNNNNNNNNNGCGCCGGCGGGUGGGCGCCGUCGCGGCGUGAGAGAGAGAGAGAGAGAGAGAGAGAGAGAGAGAGAGGCGGCUAGGGUUUGGGGCUCUCGUCUCGUGAGGGAGACGACAACAGAAUAUACUGUUUAUUGUCUNNNNNNNNNNNNNNNNNNNNNNNNNNNNNNNNNNNNNNNNNNNNNNNNNNNNNNNNNNNNNNNNNNNNNNNNNNNNNNNNNNNNNNNNNNNNNNNNNNNNGUACUAUGGUCUUUGUGGGGCUGCAGCACAUAGUCCUUUGUGGGGCUGCAGCACAUGGUCCUUGUGGCUGUUAGGAUAGAAUCUUUGACCAUCAAGGACUGGCAGUUAGGAUAGCAUCUUAGACUAGCAUCUUAGCAGCAUCUUAGCAUAUGCUUGGCUGGCUAGCAGCCUAUAAAUAUGUAUCCCCAACCCCUCAGGUUAGCAUGGCAUUUGUGUGAGAAAUAAACCAACGAAAAUUGUCCCAACUCUCCUAGUGUCAUCCACAACUAUCAAUGCUCAGGCUGAAAGAUCUAACAAGUGGUAUCAGAGCCUCGUUAUCUUGUACACUGAGCAUUUCCUGCUCACCUCUCUCACCGGGAGCUGAGCAGCCUAAGCCGGUAGCAGCAGCUGCUCCGACUGCCCCUAGUUACCUCCCUCCCUCCGGACUGUCAAGCAGCAGCAGCUCGUCAGCAACAGCCUCCUCUUCACGCAACAGCCCCCCUGCAGCGAGCCAUGUCUGCAGGUCGCUCUCAGCACACGGCUACCUCGAGCAUACGGCGCCGGCAGGAGGCCGAGCGCGCCGUGGCAGAGGAGCGUGAGCGAGCAGCUGUAGCAGCAGCUGCUGCGGCAGCAAGGGUGUCGAGGCUGGCUGCAGCGGAGCUGGCAGCAGCCAGAGCAGAGGUAGAAGCAGCAGCAGCAGCGGAGGCAGCACAUGAGGCUACGGCGGAUGCCAAGGCACUCCGCGUCGACUCCGCGUCGACUCCGCGCCUGCGGACGACGGCGCCGACGCAGACCGCGCCAAAGUGGCGCAAGAGCGGANNNNNNNNNNNNNNNNNNNNNNNNNNNNNNNNNNNNNNNNNNNNNNNNNNNNNNNNNNNNNNNNNNNNNNNNNNNNNNNNNNNNNNNNNNNNNNNNNNNNAACGGCGACUUGAAGGAGGAAGUCUAUGUGCAUCAGCCACCGGGAUUUGCGAUCCCUGGCCAGGAGGGCAAGGUACUCCGCCUGCGUAAGGCUCUCUACGGCCUACGGCAGGCACCUAGGGCGUGGAACGCCAAGCUGGACUCCACGCUAAAGAAGAUGGGCUUCGAGCAAAGCCCGCAUGAGGCGGCCGUCUACCGACGGGGCAGUGGAGGAAAUGCCCUGCUGGUGGGCGUCUAUGUUGACGACUUGGUGAUCACCGGCAUCAAAGAUGCAGAGGUGGCGGCGUUCAAGGAAGACAUGAAGGCCACCUUCCAGAUGAGUGAUCUGGGGCUCCUCUCCUUCUAUCUAGGGAUCGAGGUGCACCAGGAUCACUCCGGGAUCGCGCUUCGACAGUCCGCCUACGCCAAGCGCAUCGUUGAGCUAGCUGGGCUCACCGACUACCACCCAGCUCUCACUCCGAUGGAGGAGAGGCUGAAACUGAGCCGCGACAACACGACGGAGGAAGUGGACGCUACGCAGUACCGACGCCUUGUGGGGAGCCUUCGCUACCUCGCCCACACACGGCCGGACUUGGCAUUCUCCGUGGGCUAUGUUAGUCAGUUCAUGGAGCGACCGACGUCGGAGCACCAGCAGGCAGUGAAGAGGAUCGUCCGCUACGUGGCAGGGACACUCGACCACGGCCUCCACUACCCUAGGUGUCCGGGGGCGGCACACUUCGUCGGGUACAGCGACAGCGACCACGCCGGCGACAUCGAUACCAGCAAGAGCACGAGCGGGAUCCUCUUCUUCCUCGGCAAGUGUCUCGUGAGCUGGCAAUCGGUCAAGCAGCAGGUGGUGGCCCUGUCCAGCUGUGAGGCCGAGUACAUAGCGGCCUCCACCGCCUGCACUCAGGCGCUCUGGCUCGCUCGACUGCUUGGUGAUCUCCUCGUCCGAGACACCAGAACGGUGCAGCUCCUGGUGGACAGCAAGUCCGCCCUGGCCUGGCAAAGAACCCCGUUUUUCACGAACGGAGCAAGCAAAUCCGACUGAGGUAUCACUUCAUCCGCAGCUGUUUGGAAGAAGGGAGCAUCGAGGCGAGCUACAUCAACACCACGGACCAGCUCGCAGACCUGCUCACCAAGCCUCUUGGGAGGAUCAAGUUCCUCGAACUCUGCUCCAGGAUUGGGAUGAUUCGACUCUCCCACAAGACGACGUACAAGACUUAGGGGGAGAAUGAUGGAUAAGUCUAUGUACUAUGGUCUUUGUGGGGCUGCAGCACAUAGUCCUUUGUGGGGCUGCAGCACAUGGUCCUUGUGGCUGUUAGGAUAGAAUCUUUGACCAUCAAGGACUGGCAGUUAGGAUAGCAUCUUAGACUAGCAUCUUAGCAGCAUCUUAGCAUAUGCUUGGCUGGCUAGCAGCCUAUAAAUAUGUAUCCCCAACCCCUCAGGUUGGCAUGGCAUUUGUGUGAGAAAUAAACCAACGAAAAUUGUCCCAACUCUCCUAGUGUCAUCCACAACUAUCAAUGCUCAGGCUGAAAGGUCUAACAGCCUCUACCAGCUUUCUCUGAUUAAUAUGUCCCUUAAAUUAAAAUAAAUCUUCUCUUUUGUCUGGUGCAGUUGAGUUUUAGGCUGUUGUACAUACUGAAAAGACUGAGUCCGAUAUCUGUUUUUCUGCUGGAGGUACUAAUCUCUAUCCACGGUUUAUUUAAUUCAUGUAUUUUUUUUCCAUUACUAAUGCUCUGGUAGAACUCCAACAGAAGGACGCUGAGCACUUUAGCAGCCAUGAUGUACUUGUGAAGCGUGUCCAAGCUGCUUUCAACAGGUUUGCUGAAUCUACAGAGCAAUCGUGCCGUGAAAGGUGAUGGUGUUCUCAAUUCCAAUACCUUUAAAUUAUUAUCUUUCAGUUUAUUGGUUGUGUGCACUCUAGUCACAUUAUAUUGCAAAAUCAGUUGCAACUAACUCCUUGAGGCUUGUUCCAAUUAAAUAUAUGUUUUAACAUUUCCUCUUGUCUACAGCCAUCAUAUUAACAUUGCGUUGUUAAACUAAACAUCUGUUUGUGACUCUAUCUAGGAGGUCUUAAAGUUGUUGUCUAACUUAGUAGUUACAUCAAUUUAUGACAUUAAUGUACAUUUCCUUCAGCGACGCUUCCUAUUGUUAUCUAGUAGCAAUGUUGGCACUUGGCAGCCACUAGAAUGCCUGAAUCCUUCGCCAACUGGUUAUUUUCUCCAGGCUUCCUUUUCAGAAAUUUAUUCACUGAUGUUGUUAGAUGUCCUCCUUUUUAUGUAGCAAACCAUAUCCGCACCAUAUCAGUUGCCUCCAUAUGAUGUCUGUGCGUUAUAUUCAGUGUAUUCCAUAGCAUAUAUUGCAACCAGUGAUGUCAGACUAUUGUCUCACGGUGCUUUGUGGUACCACAGAUGCAUUCUUAUGUUUUGUUUUUAUCUGUUGACCUAGUAUUUUCAUGUUCUAAUAUGUAAUGCAGAUGUAUGGAAGAUUUGGAGAGCACCACUCGUUAUGUUACCUGGUCCCUUCAUAACAAAGUAAAUUUAUUGAAAUUUAUUUACUUGGUAAUUAAAACUAGUUAAUUUUUAUCGGCUUGCCUAAUGAUAUAUGCCACAUUGGAUACAGAACCGUGCCGGAUUGCGACAUUUUCUCGAUUCGUUUGUUGCACCGGAGCAAUUAUGUGCUAACACACAUACUGCCCACUCAGCUGGGCUGCAUGAGCAAUCCUCUGGGUUGAAUGACAAUAAACAGGAUAGACCAAAGGGAGAGCUGAAAUCUAGUCAUCCUUCAGACUCAAAUCCAUCAGGUGGUGUGUCAGAAAUGAGACUGGUGGAUCUCUUGGACAGCACGCUCUGGAACCGAAGGCUGGCGCCCUCAUCUGAGCGACUUGUGUAUGCACUGGUUCACCAGAUUUUUCAUGGGAUCAAAGAGCAUUUUCUUGUCACUACAGAACUAAAGGUCUGGAUGCAGUAAACCUUGCACUUUCUAGCCGUCUAGACAUGUUCUACUUAUGUUGUUAAUGCUUUGGCCCAUUCAUUAUGCAAACACAGUUCAAUUGCUUCCUCCUGAUGCCAAUUGUUGACAAAUUAGCGGCUCUUCUACGUGAAGACCUUGAAUCAGCUUUUGAAAACGAUCUUGACAACAUCUUGAGUGUCACUCGACUGCGCCACUCACUUGGGCAGAAGAAGCGAGUGCUAGAAAUCGAAUUGAAGCAGGUAGAUAGUCUCUGAAACCAUUCUAAUUAGUCACUUACCAUAUAGCUACCUUAAUUAUCAGUCUUCAACCUAACAUUUUGCUCUUGAAUUCAGAUGAAGUGUUUAAAAGAGAAAUUCACCGAAAUAAGUAAGAAGCUCAAUUCUCUCCAGGUUAGACAACAUGCCUAAGGUAGGGAGGCGGAGUAUUUCGAUGUUGCAAUAAACUAAUAAUAAUCCACCUUGUGUGACUUGCUACCGGUACUUUACUUUAUUCAGACGUAAAUAUGAAUCAUUUCCUUGAUCUGCUCUACUUGUCAACGUGUAUGCACAUGUUUCAAUCAUUCCAUAAAAACUGUUCCUCGCAAGUGGUGUAAGCUUGAGAUGUUGCUUAGUAACUUUAGCAUGAUGUGAAAGAAAGAAAGAAAGAAAGAAAGAAAGGGCAAUCUCAACGGAUAUUCAAGUUGGCUCUAGGAGCAUAUGCUCAAAUGGAAUGAUUGAAACACACAUGUAUUGUUAAAAAUGUAUUUUACAAAUGUAUUAUUUAAAAAAAAAUAGAUGUAUUCGUUGUCACACUUAAAUGGCACAUGCAAAUUUACAUUCUUGAUGGCUUACUAUAUCUCUCCCGUAAAAAGAAAGAAAGAAAGAAAGAAAGAUGGCUUGGGCUUGCUACAUCUGGUUUUGUUUGGGAUCGAAGUAGUUGCUGUAUUUUGAUUUGAUCCUUAACGCUGCUCAUUGCCCAAUGCCCAUCCNNNNNNNNNNNNNNNNNNNNNNNNNNNNNNNNNNNNNNNNNNNNNNNNNNNNNNNNNNNNNNNNNNNNNNNNNNNNNNNNNNNNNNNNNNNNNNNNNNNNAGCGGCCGGCCAAGCCUAUCACGAGACGCCGGUCGGACGGCUUCCUCGCCGUGCGAGAUGGCUCCGGAAAGGGGCCGACUCCUCUGCGUCGUGCUCGCUCCUUGCUCAGCCCGCAUGACCCCUGCAGCAGCUCACUCAUCGAUAAGUUUAAAGCGACACGUGAUAUGCCCAUGCCCGCCGUGGCCAUGCCGGCGCCCGCGGAUAAAGGCACCAAAUGCGACGAGGAGGAUGACGGCGGCCAGACCAAGAAACAGGACAAGAGCAAGGAGGGCGCCGUCAUGGCUGCUGCGCCCAAGGACCAGAACCAGACCGGCGUGCAGCUGGGUCUGGAGGAGAUCGAGAAGUUCAUUGGCAACACCCCCAUCAUGAAGCACCUAAUGCGCCGCGGCCCGAGCCAGCACCACAGCCAGCCAAUGCCGCCGGCUGCAGCCGCGGCAGCUGCACCGCCCAAGGGCGACAAGUCGGCGGCCAAGAAGAAGGGCGGAUGGUUCAAGAACAUCAAGUCAGUCGCCACCACCAUCGGCUUCAUCCAAGACAAUGGUAAGCCGGUCCCAGCCCCCAUGGCCACAGGCGCAGCCCCCAGUCCGGGCCCCGCCAGUGCAACCGUUCCAUCUUCCUCCUCCUCCUCCUCGACGUCCACGGAGAAGCUCAAGGUUCAAAAUUAUGGCAAGUCGAGCAAGGAGCUUACUGGAUUGUACAUGUCCCAGGUGAGUACCCUACCGAGACCGAGAAAUGCCUGCACUGCAUCUGCGUGCAAGAAACUCUUAAUAAUCACGGUGUCGGUGUGUGUGCUGUGGUGUGCAACAAACAAACAAACAGGAGAUCCAGGCGCACGAGGGGUCCAUAUGGAGCAUCAAGUUCAGCGCGGACGGGCGGCGGCUGGCGAGCGCCGGCGAGGACUGCCUGGUGCGCGUGUGGGAGGUGGUGGAGACCAGCGCGCCGCCGAGCUCCGUGCCGCAGGACGGGUCCCUGCCCCCUCUGCCCGGCGGCUCGGGCGGGGCNNNNNNNNNNNNNNNNNNNNNNNNNNNNNNNNNNNNNNNNNNNNNNNNNNNNNNNNNNNNNNNNNNNNNNNNNNNNNNNNNNNNNNNNNNNNNNNNNNNNCCCCACCUCCGUUCGUGGCCAUCAAAUCAUCAUCACACGGAUGCAAUUAGUUUCACCAUAGUUUCCUAACAUCUCUAGUCCAUUUUGAAAAACCUAAACCUAAUCCCUAAAAAUUCUCUCCUUGUCCCAUCAGCGCCGCGCCGCCACUCUCGUCCAAUUAGUUUCACCAUAGUUUCAUAUAUAUAUAUAUAUAUACACAUAGCAUCUCUAGUUCAUUUUAAAAAACCUAAACCUAAUCCUUAAAAAUUCUCUCCUUGUCCCAUCAGCGCCGCGCCGCCACUCCCGUCCAAUCUCCUCCAACCUCGGGAUUUCCCGUGUCUCGCCGAUCCAACAUCCAUCCAACGAGCGUCGCUCCUUCUGAUUCCGCUCGAUCCAUCACAGAGCCCAGGCCCCAGCUCUGCGGACAAGUCCAGUGACUGCAGGCAACCCAGGCCCCAGCCUUACUCUCGUCCGUGAGCUCCCGCAGUUCCGAGCCGAGCUUGCGGCCGUGCCUGAUCCCGCAGCCACUUCCGGCUGCCGCCGACGACCAAGCCCACGAGUAGCAGGCCCCUACGCCCAUUUCCCUCCUCUCGUUUCCUCUCCUAUUGAGUCCCUCUCUCUCUCUCUCUCUCAGUUCUCUCUUUUCCUGUGUUUGCAGUAAGCCAUGACACUGCCGGUGUUGCCGCCAUCGGUGCUCCGUCAUUUGGGUAAGCAGGAGCACGCCGCCAUCGGGAAUGGAUUCCUCUCCACCAGAUCUAGCGUCCCCACUUCUAGAUCUGUCGUCCUCGGGUCGUCCCCAUGCCCAGCAUGCCCUCGCCUCGCGUGCUUCAACUAUUACCGCUGCCGUGUACGUGUUGACUCGCCUCCUUCAGCGUUCUCGCAGCGAGCGCACGGACGCACAAGUCCGCAGCCAGCGCGCGGACGCGCAAUGACGUCGCCCAGGUCCAUUUGCCCCCAGCGUUGCAUCCCGUAGCGAGACCUGCACGCGAGCGCCCUCUGUUUCCCCCCGCUGUGAAUAACCUCCGUAUCUGAACCUUGUUUGUUGUAGAUCUAUUCUGGCGUGCUGCUAUUUUUCUAGGAUCGCCAGUAUGUUUUAGCACGAGCAUGUGAGUGGCCGAGUUGGUAGCGCGCUUAUCUUCUAAACUAUGGAUCUGGGGUUCAUCUGGGUUCAAAUCCCAGGCUUCCCUAUUUUUAUUUUCUGCACUAGUGUGUGUACAUGUCGAGCCGAUAUACAUCUUGUUAAACGUCCCACUGCUAGCUGAGCUGGUCAUCGUUGUUGUGUGUAAACACAGGGGUAUGGGUAGACACAGCUCUUUUGGCCUAUAUUUUUAUUUUUGUCUUCGGUGCCUUGUUUGUUGUAGGUUCAGAUGUGUCUAUAGUUUAUCCUCUCACCCAUCUCACCAAUUUUGCCAUGUUUAUUUUUCCUUUUGCACACACACAAUGUUCUGGGUUCGCUUGCCUGCCACAUCAAUAUUUUGCAUGUUGUUUAUUCAUGGCAUAAUAUACUGUGUUGCACGUAUCUUUUAACCGUAGCUCCGUUCAAUGUUCUUAGGUAUUAACCGGCUAGUAUGUCAUGUAGAAUCACAUUCUUCACCUCUUGUCAUGUUUAACAAAAUUUAAUUUUGCCUUGGAAAUAAACGAGAGUGAACUAAAUUAUUAAAUUGUCAAGUUUCGUCAAUAUGUAACUUGUUGCAUAAUGAGAUUCACUUAAUGUGUAGUAUUUGAUUGUGGUGAAUUGACGUGCCAUGCCUUGCAUAAUUGAAAUUGAUCAUGCAUCAUAUGUAUUGAGCAUCAUGUCGUGCAUGUGCCGUGGUGAAUAUCGUGUGUUGAUUCUUGUUUCUGUUUUGCUUCGUCUCGAUAGAGUUUCGCAAGCGUGUCGGAAUAUGAGGAUCCGUUCGACUACGUUGGUUAGUCAGCUUCACAGAGUCGUUAUUCUUUCAAGCGUGAUCUCUGGCAAGAUGAUCAUUUUUCUAUAUACCAUUAUUAUCGUUGUCAUGCUAGUUGUCCCGUUUUUUUCGAUAUGUAUCGCUGCCUACCACUUAAAUGUCAACCUCUCAACAUUGACAUGAAAUCUUCAACCUUUCUAUAACUUAGCAAACCACUGAUUCGCUAUGUUAUUGUUGGCUUAACCAUUUAACAAUAUUGCUAGUUGCAGGUGCAGUUGUUUUCAUGUGAAAACAUGAGUUCCUUGUUAUAUCAUCAUAUUAAUGCUAUUUAAAUUAAUGCAUUUAUUUACUUGGUAAAAGGUGGAAUGCUUGGCUUUCUAGUCAGGUGUUUUGUUCCAUCUUUGUCGCCCUUAGUUUCGGCCAUCGCUGUUGUUUUUCAUAAUUGAGAGCUCCUAACACGAUCGAGGUUGUUAUGGGGCCUAACUUUGAUACUACAUUUGCCUAAUAACUAAUGAACCACAUAGGGAGUAAUUAUUCCGGGGAAAUUUAAUCAACCCCGGGCCAGUGCUUUGCAUGAGUGUUGGUCCAAAUUGGCAGACUACGGGCCACCGCGGGACAACCCGAGGUUUGGUUUACUCCUAGUGUGACCCAUCCGUCGUGUCCUAAAAACGAGAUACGCGACUUCUAUCAGGUUCGUCGACACGUCGGGUGGCCUUGCUGGAUUAGUUUUACCUUUGAUGAAAUAUCUCGUGCAUCAGGAUUCCAAUGAUGCUUUGGGCUAUCUCAAAGUUUAGAUUUUCCAUUAAGGAAUCCGAGGAGAUCACGAGUUUCGUGUUUGAGGUUUUCUAUGCGGCUUGUGGUAAUUUGUGAUGGACUAGUUGGAGCACUCUCGAAGGUUAGAUCUUUUGGAAAGUCGUGUCCGCGGUUAUGUGGCAACGUGGAAACUUUGUUUAACAUCCGGUUCAAGAAAACUCAAAGCAAUCUUAAUUAAAGUGUCUCUUUCGUGAGCUCCUUUUCCGACCGAGGACACGGUGGGGUUAUGCGUGUCGUAAGUAGGUGUUCAAGAUCAUUCAUUUGAUCAUCAGUAGUUCACGUCCGCUAUGCGUAGAACAUCCCUCUCUUUUAUUCUUAUACUCGUAAGUUAGCCACCUCAAAUAAAUGCUUAGUUGCAUGAUGCAGCCUCACCACUUAACCAUACCUCAUUCAUUGAGCAUUGCUAAUCUUGAUACCUUUGGAAAUGAGUUUGCUGAGUCCCAUGUGGCUUACAGAUUACUACAACAUCAGUUGCAGGUACAUGUAAGGAGUUACUUUGAUGUGAGCGCGCUGAUUGCGUGCUAUUUGGAGUUUAUUCUUCUUCAUCCAUCUAGGAUGGGUUCCAGACCGGCAGCUUGGGAUAGCAAGGAUGAACGUCGUUCUUUUAUAGUUUGUUUUCAUCCAUAGUCGAACCCUGCUCUUCUUAAUGAUAACUGAUUAUGU